UGAGAGCCUGAAACGAACCUGGUGAAUGCUUCACUCCCAACCUCCCAGUGCCUUCAGAGGUGGAACCGUUUCUCUGUAUAAAACUUGUAAAAAUCUAGCCCGUUGAUCCUGCAGACCGGCAAGGAUAUACAUAUAUUAAACUCUUGUAUUUCGGCUGUAUAUCGGCGACCCUUUCUUUCAAAUUUGUAAAGGAAAAAUUCUCUCCUUUUAAUAGAAGAAUGUUGCAGGGCUAAGGCUAACUCCAACGCAGACGAUCCAUUUUGUCCGUCCGUUUGAGUCCGCAUGAACAAAAACGCGGUCAAUGCGUCGCUAACGCAAAUGGAUGGGUGUCUGGUUUUUUUUUUGGGGGGGGGGGGGGGGGGGUUUGGCUGUACAGAUUUGGCCUUAGGAUUGCGUCGGCAAGCGCGACGCCCUCGCUUGUCCUCGCCCUUUGCCCGUCAUGGCACAACGGCCAUUCUUGCCCAUCCCCUUCCACAAUAUACACCCUGACCUUGCCGCAUCCAAUUCCGGCGACCACAUCUAGGUGCUAUCGCCUCAUCCACCAACUUCACCACCGGCAUUGCAUCCAUUGAGGCUGUAGCUGCUACUUGUCAGAGCACGAGAAGGCACACCUGCCAAGGGUUGUCAAAGGGCGCAAGUUUUGACAGGCCUGCUGCCCUUCAUCAGUAGCAACUUGACCACACUCGUAAGGUGUUCGACCUUUUGCCCAUUGUUGAUAGCUUGGAUGAGUUCUUCUACAAUAACAUCAUAUGUUCAUCGGACGAUGAGGAUUUUGUGGUUGCUACUAUGGCGGUCAAUGAGCAUAUUUCUAGGAUGCGACCAAUGUUUAGGGGGUCGAUCCCGGGCCACGCUCCGGCGUUGAAUGUAACAAAGAGAGCGACCAUUGCCUAUUCUAUAUCGAUUAUUUCCUGUGCACGUCCUUAUUCUUUAAUGCCAAGCUUUUCCGACGAACGCUUUCAGAUGAUGAGACAUGUGUUCAAUUGUAUUCGGAAGGGAAUGGUGGACUAUGAUGAUUACUUUAGAUGCAAGAAUGAUGUCCUCGCUAGGGUUGGCUUCUCCACUUAUCAGAAAUAUACUGCAGCUAUUCGGAUGUUGACAUACAAAAUUUCCGGUGAUCUUGUGGAUGAGUAUGUCCGUAUAAGUGAGUCUACAUGCCUUGCAUAAUUUACAAGUUAUGCAAAAGUUAUGAUUAGAGUGUUUGGUUCGGAGUAUCUGACAGAACCAAGUGCUGCAGAUAUAGCCUGAUUGUUGGCAAUGCAAACAGAAAAAAAUAUCAAAGGGUUGACCCAAGGGAGCAUGAUGAUGCCCAUAAAAGAGAGAAUUCCAGUACCAUACUAAAGUAUACACAAGUGUCCCAAAGACUUUGUGUACUGUAUCACUAAAACAUGACUCAUGUAGCAUUGCCAUAUUACAACAGUUUAUUGGGCUGACAGGACAAAAGCAUCCAUGAAUAUAUAUUUUUCUAGCCUCACUUCUACUCCCUUCGUUCCUAAGUACUCCCUCCAUCCAAAAAUAUUUGUCGGAUGAAUGGAUGUAUCUAGAUGUAUUUUAGUUCUAGAUAUAUCCAUUUUAAUCUAUUUUUUGCGACAAGUAAUUACGGACGGAGGGAGUAUAAGUCUUUUUAGAGAUUUCACUAGGGGACUAUAUAUGGAGCAAAAUGAGUAAAUCUAUGUGUAUAUACAUCCGUGUAUAGUCUCCUAGUGAAACCUUUUAAAAACUUAUAUUUAGAAACGGAGGGAGUACAAGUGAAAGCUCGCUCAUUUGGAACCAAAGGAAUUUACUUUGUCUUCCUUGGCCUUGGAAACCUUGGCCUUUUCCUCUUAGGCUUCUUAGCAAGUUUUUUUCCUCGCUCCUCUUGAGCAACCUUACUAAAAGAGAUAGUAAGAUUCUUAAGCACUUUAUUCUGUGUAAUAGGAGAAAUAGCAUUAAAUGAUAAACAUUUUGGGAUAAUUUUUCUUUUGUAACCAUCAUUGUCUAUCUUAAUCUUGUCAUUCUUACCUCAUUUCAACUAAAGGAGUUUCACCCUCCUUUUCUUAGUAUUCUCUUCACCAAAAGGCGACAGAAUCACAUUGGCAGAGGAAUCUUGGGGCCUUAGUGGUAGAGCCACACCACUAGCAGCAGUAUAAAUAGGAGGGGGCUCUCCAUUUAUAUCACUCUUCACCUAUGUAGAGUCUUGAGUCACUUGUGUAGCUAGCUUACAGGCAGGAGUCUGCGAAAUAGAGCACUUAUCAGGAAUAUAGAACAAAAUGGUCUCCUCAUUUAAUUUGUUUCCGGUCAUAAGUUUUCAUAAAGAAGAUUUGAGCAAACAAAGAAAAGAAGCCACUCCUAGCCGACGAAGACACAACCGUUGACCGCACACAAGGAAAGAUGUACCUCCGAGCCAGCAAGGACGCAACCAUCGAACACUCCUCAAGUAGCCGAAUGCCCGGCCGUCAAAGAUGCCUCUCCCAAUAACCAAGCUUAGCAUCUAUAACCGGAUUUAGCAAAUCCACCCCCUAUACGUCCACGGACAUGUCCGCGGGCGCAUCCGGACGACCCCUCAUAUCAAAUAGUGUGCAUCCACAUAUCUUAAAUCUAAACUCUUAAAUACAUGCAAAUUCAUGUACGCCCAUCAUACACAUCAAUGUCACACGUAAAUAGCAAGUGUUUGGUAGCGAAAAUACAUAGUUCUUACAUAAAUUUUAUUUAAAGUGCACAACUCAAUCAUCACUUCAUCAGCUCUUUGAUUUUCAUUAUGGGUCCACAUAUGCCUCAUAAGAUCAUUAAGUAGUUGUGCAUGCACCUGAUGAUCUCGAAGAUUCCGAUGCAUAUGAAGAAAGUUCAUAAGUUGGUUUGCGUCUUGAUCUUUCGGGAUUUUAACUUGUUCUCCGGGCGCUUCAAAAUUAUUGGUUUGGGUAACACCAACACCCUCAUCCUCAACAAACAUGCUGUGCAAAGUAACACAACAUGUUUCUGAUUCUCACAUCAUCGCAACUCAACGAACAAUUCCCCAACAAGCUUGAAGCACUCCGAAUGCCAUCUCCACAUCCUUCCUAGAUGUUUCCUACAAUGUUGCAAAUUGGUUUUGUUUCUUGUCGUGUGAUUCAAAAAUGGUCUUCACAAACGCCGCCCAAUGAGGAUAGAUGCCAUCAUCAAGAUAGUAUCCCAUGUUAUAGUCACGACCAUUGACAGUGUAGUUGCACGGUGACGGUUCCCCAUUAAAAAGCCUCAUGAACACCGGAGACCGUUGAAGCACGUUGAUGUCGUUGUGAAAUCCCAACAUUCCAAAGAAAGCAUGCAAAAUCCAUAAGUCAUGUGAUGCUACUUCUUCCAGUAUGAUGGUGGCCUCUUUGAUGUGACCUUGAUACAUUCCUCGCAAAUCUUUUGAGCAUUUAUUCCAUUGUCAAUGCAUACAAUCAAUUGAUCUGAGCAUUCCUGGAAACCCUCUGACCUCUCUAAUAGCCAACAACUUUUCUGUGUCCUACACAUUUCGUUCUCACAUAGACUCUUCUCCAAAUACCCGCACGACGGCGCGGGCAAACUUGUGAGUUGUCUUCAUGUAUGUGCUCUCCCCCUCACACGGGCCAUCUCACCAACGGAAUAUGUGGCAAUACCAAGUGCAAGCAUCCUCACAACAACUAUGCAUUUUUGUCUAUCCCAAAAAGAAAGUUGGCCAUAACAAUCCUUUUUGAGCUUGAAGUAGUCAUCAUAAGCUUCCACUCCCUCCACAAUGUGCAAAAACAAUGGUUUUCGCAUACGAAAAAGACGACGAAACCAUGGAUCAUCCAAAAAAGUUGGGUCUGGAGAAAAGUAGUCCUUCUACAGUAGUCGUGUGUUGGAGAUCCUAUCCCAAUUGAUCACUCUUCUUCCUUUGAUUGAGCCAUUGAAAUUGAGAAUAUGCUCCACCUGCCAGUCCAUUUCCACCUACAUGCUUAUGAGCAUGAUCAUGUCCACUUAUUUGUCCGAAUUCGGUGAAUUGAAGAACUAAUCUUGAAUCAUUUGAUCAAACUCCAUUGGUCUAUACUCCUCAUCUGAUGAAGCAUCGAAAUCCACCGUUUCACUAAAAAUCACAAGAAAUUGGGUUGGACAAUGUGUCGAACACAUAGAAUGCAAGGGGCAGCCCGAGAGUUGGCGUCCGGGCCGGCGACGACAUCCCUGGUUGCGAGGAUGGGAGAGAGGAGUGAUGUGUGAGUGUUGUCAGCACGGAUGCUCGGAACGGGUGUGGAGUGCGUGCAGCGGAGAGACGGUUGACGAGGAGGAGCAAGAAGAGAAGAGAGCAAAUGGGGUGGAGGAACUACUAGGGAAAAGCCUAGCAGUAGCGCGGGUUUUAGGCGUAUCAGUAGCGCAGGCUCCCAGCUACUGAUACGGCACUACAAACCUUUAGCAGUAGCGCGGGUCCGCCUGCGCUACACCUAAAAUGUAGCAGUAGCGGGUCUUGGCCCGCGCUACUGCUAUACAUGCGUAGAGGUAGCGAGCUUUACAUAAACGCGUUACUGCUAUACAUGUGUAGCCGUAGCGAGCUUUACUAAGCCGCGCUACUGGUAGGGGUUUCUGAUUUUUUAUGCAUAUUUGUUUUGUAUUUGAACAAGCUUUAUACAAUAAUCUUUAGCACAUACAAAUGUCAUCAUCAUACACAUACAAAUGUAAUCAUAGCAUAUACAUACAAAUAGUCUCAUCAAAUCAUGUCAUCAUCAUAAUCAUCAUCCAACACAAAGUGGUCUCUCGUCAUCAUCUUGAAAAUAGCGAUACAAGUCUCGAAUACUUGCAACUACAUCGUCAUCCAUCUAAACAAUGAUAUACGCGAGAAGAGCUAUCACUAUGAGUGAGAGCGGAACUAUGCAGUAUAUGAGGCGGUGGUUAUGAGUCCUCUCUCCGCUAGCAUGUACCUCAAGUAACUAGUUUCUGCUUCUUGUCUGCUUUUGAAGCCUUUAUGGCUGGCGCCCCAGACCCCGUCCACUUGCGCCUGACACUCAGUCCACUCGUCACACACUCCCAGAACCUUCCCUUUGUACAUGACAUAACACUGCUUCUUCGCCAUCAAGAAUCUAGGUACCUGUUAGAGAUGCAUCUUCAUCAAGAGAAUGGACAAUCAUAUGCAACAAAAUAUACUUGAGCAACACGAAAAAGAAAGGGUUAGCAACUAGAUGCAACAUAUAGUAACAUAUAAAUAAUCAACGCAGUUUCAUCGUACGCAAACUAAUUAACUAGAGGUACGCAUGUCAUCGUACCCAAACUAACAAAGUAGUGUUACGCAAGUUCGUCUGGGACCGUGGACAUCACAAAUUUUCAUCGCUACAAAAACUAUACAAGUUCAACCGACACAUAUCAUCAUCAUCGGCAUCGUAAAUCACUAGAAGUUCCAUCCUUCCAAAUAAUUGAGGUUGCACCCUAGCUUCUUGAACGACGUGAGGUCCUGACGUUGCAUGCCUAUGCGAGUUCGGAUGUCAGCUCGCGAUAUAGGGCCGUGGUGGAACAUCCCCUUCUCUUCGACGACUUCUUUCAUGAUGAUCGUCGCAAUGUCCCUCUGGAUGCGAAGGAAGUCAUCUCUAAGUUUAUAAUCCGCUUCUCCAUGAGAUUCUACCCACUUGCGGAUAUGAUCAUCAUUUCUGCCUAUCAUGCGAAGCUUUUGGUGAUCCCUUUUGAACUCCAUCAUGAGAUGUAGGAGGUAGAAUCCAUCGUUCUUGCUUGGUUUUGGGACAUGGAUGUAGCAGAAGUUAGUUUUAUGCGGGAAACCCGUCUUCUUGUUCCUUUGUCUCCUGAUCUGCAGGUAGCCACCCCUCAAGCUGAAGCCUUGGAGAGUGUCAUCUAUAAUAUUCAUUACGUGGGUGUAGUCCGUCUUCUCGUAGUUUCUGGUAGGAUCAAAAUACACGGCGUGGGAGAAUCGCGGGUAAAGAACGAUAAGGACAACGCACCCGUUGCUGUGGGGAAAACACCUCAAAUUAUUCUCCAUAUGAGCAAGAAGGAAUGAUUGAAAUGUAUGAAAGGGUUGUCCGACACUGACUUGCUUUGGAUGAUAAGGCAGGAGGACAAUUUCCUUGUCCUUAUUUUCUACCAUGAAUUUUUCGAGGUACUCCGUAGCAAUUUUAUGCUCAAAGUCGCCGAGAGUCAAGAAGGACUCGUGCAUGUAGUAUGGAUCCGCCACACAGAUUUGCGAGACUUCUUCUCACUUCAUGAUGAAGCUCAUAUGUAGCGCAAAAAGGCGGAUGAUUGUACAAUCGAGCCGCCUUGUCAUAAACAUCUCGAAGAUAUGCUCAAAUCGCAGGAAGAACACCUCCGCGGGUCGUGUGUCGACGUAGCACUUCCCGUCAAGCACACGAGCCGCGUAUGUCUGAUAUCCAGGAUCCUUCGAGGCUAGUAGUCUUUUCUCAGUCGACAAUACAUGGUCAUGCAGUCUCCUGAGAUCCCCUGAUAUUGCCUCCAGCGGUUUCGACGGUAGCAUCGGCUCGCUCAUCACAUGGAACAUGGCCGCACCUUUGACAGGUACACGCUCUUCAAAAUCCGUCGUCUGGCUACUAUGUGCUCUGACUUGUUUGUAGGCAGGAGAGCUUCUCUUCCCCGGUCUCUUCCUCUCCUUUUUCUUGGGCUGACCUUCUAGACCCUUCCUUAACCCUUGUGUGACAUCCCGAUGCCGACGUUCCAGAAGAUUCCCCCUUUAUUCCGUUUUCGUCGUGUGGCUUAUUUUAUUUGUGGCAUCGUCAUCGCAUAAUUCGCAUCAUAUGCAUUGCAUCGGCAUCUCCGUUGCCGCCAAUUUUCAAACUUGCAUCCGUUAGUAGUUGUCGGUUCUCGUCGUUGUCCGUUCUGAGCCCGACCGCACUCGCACGCGCCUGCGACAUCGUUCGAACCCUGUUUUUAAAGUGUGUUGAAAACUUUCUCUGAUCGAGGUGAAACUUGGCAUGCGGUCGUAUUUAGUUAUAGCUAGGCCGCCUGUCGAAUUUCUUCGCGAUCGGAGUUUGUCUGGUACCCGAACGGUCGACCGUAGNCAGGCCCGGAUCCGCGCCGCCGCCCGUUCUGCUCCCGUGCCCCGUGAUCCCGGGCUCCCCCCGUGCUCGAGCCAGCCGAGCUCAUCCCGGCCGCCGGUCACUAGCGCACCACCCUCGCCGGAGGCCCUCGCCGGCGCCGCCUCCCCGUGCGCCAGAGCCCUGCCGGCCCCGCCCUCCGACGGUCACCGUGAGCAGCCGGUGCCCCGAGCUGGGCCUCGAGCCCACGAAGGUAGUCCAUGUUCCCCCAUAUUUUGCGCGCGUGCGUGACUUAGUUAUAUGACGCCAAUGCCCAGUUUCGGCCCGGUAGACACAUUAGGCCCGUUAGCGUUUUUUUAGGUUUUCGUAUUUUAUUUAAAUUUCAGGAAAAUUUGCUUGUUUUUCAAACGCCCGUAGUUUAUUAACCGUUAGUCGGAUCGAGGCGUAUGUUAUAUAGUUUUGGGGUAGUUUUGCGAGUAGAACACGAUUUCACAACUUGCAUAUUUGUUUGGCAUUGUUUCACGUGUCGUAUGUCUAGUUUAGUGUGUUGUCUCGAUAGGUUUAUUGUCGUAGUUAUUUUUCGUGCGUGCCCGAAUAGCUCGAAUACCGUAAUAGAAAUGCCCAUGUUUUAGGAACUAAUUUUCCAUGUAUUUUAGAGCGGUCAUUUGUAUUUUUACGUGUAGGGAUUUGCCGCUAGUUUAUUUUCCCGUAUAUAGGUUAUUUUCUUGCAUUUACGUGUGGCAUUAUUUUUGGUUGCGCAACCCCACAUAUUUUAUAUGUUUUCGGGGUAGAAAAAUCCAUGGGAUUUUACUGUGCAAUUAGUUUUAGCUUUUGAGUAAGUUAGUUCGCGCCAUAUUUUGCCGUGAUGCCCUUUUGUUUAAUUCAUAGGAUUUAUUCCGUGUUUCGUUUGAUGGAGUUGUCAACUAGGGAGUUGUUCUUGGGUGUUUAGACUAGCCCCUGGUAUUUUUAGUUGCAAUAGAAAAGCAUGUUUAGGUGUGGUUUGCUUGCUCUCAAGUUGCUAGAAUAGUGCUGAUUUGGAGGAGCUGAAAUAUUUCUAAGUCUGGAAUCUGUUAUAUUUUGUUGUUGUCUUGUCUUGCUUGUGUCUUUUGAUCUGUAGCUCUUUUGAGGUUGGUCCAAUGGAGUUAGUUAUAAACCUUGUGUUUCUCUAGCAUGCUGUGAAAUUUCAUGCCCUUUGGAGUCCUGUAGCUUAUGGUUUUGCUGCUGUCAAUAUGGCUUCAGAUCGAAAACUGCACUUUCAUGAAGUGUAAUUUUCACUAAGUCUGAAAUAGUGUGUGAGAUGUCAUUUUGUGACUUCUUUCCCUAGUGAUCCAUGAUGCCAUGCUAGUUGUUGUUAGUUUUUUGUUGUAGUGCUUCUUGCCCUCUUUCGUGCCAUGCCUUGGUUGAUUAUGUUUGAGUUGAGUAGCUUGUAGUUGUGGGGUGUAGAAAAUGCUAUGUGGCUGAUUUUGUCAGAUUGUAGUGAUUUCUUGUUUUGCUCGUAUCUUUUGAUCCGUAGCUCCGAUUUGAUCGUGUCCUACAUGAAACUUGCUUAGAAUCUUGUGUAGAUUCAUUUUAUCUUGCUGGUUGUAUGUUUUGAAGUGCUCGUGACCGUCGUUGCACACAUAUUGCAUUCAUGCCAUCAUAUCUUGCGGUGCUUGUAUCUUUUGAACCGUAGCUCCGUUGGAGAUGUUCUUUAUGUGUACAUUGCUUGAAAUGACGCGUAGAAUCACGCGUAACCUAUUUUUUUUUGCUGUUUAACAACUAAUUAAAUGUGUUAGUUCAGAGCUGGACAGAAUUGUAAAUUAACUUGUGAGGUCGUUUCGGAGAUGCUAUAUGACAUUUCCGACCUCAUUUAAAAUGCCUAGAUAGGUAGUUUAAUUACGCUUCACCUCUUUCCAUGUUUAACCACAUUUAAUAUUGCCGUGUAACUAAUCGGGAUAGAACUAAAUAAUUAAACGUGGAGUUUCGUCAAUGUGCAACUCGUUGCAUAUUGAACUUCACUUAAUGUGUAGUGUUUGAUUGUGUGAUUUUUCAUGACCGUGACUUGCAUGUUUUUAGCUGCUCAUGCAUCAUAUGUGUUGUGCAUCGUGUGGUGUAUAUCGUGUGUUGAUUUGUGUUUCCGGUUUGCUUCGUCUCGAUAGAGUUCUGCAGCGUGUCGGAUUGUGAGGACCCGUUCGAAUACCUCGGUUCGUCUGCUUCACGGAGGCAUUCUUCUUCCAAGCGGGAUCUCAGGAAAGAUGACCAUUUCCCUAGAUACCAUUACUAUCAUUGCCAUGCUAGUUCUAUCGCUUCUAUCGAUUAUGUCUCGUUGCCUACCACAUGUUAAAUAUCAGCCUCUCAACAAUGCCAUGAAACCUUCAACCUGUUCAACCUAGCAAACCACUGAUUGGCUAUGAUACCGCUUGCUUAACCCUGUGUUAGCGUUGCUAGUUGCAGGUGCAUUGAUUCCAUGUGAAAACAUGGGUUCCUUGUUAUAACACCAUAUUUAAAUGCUAUUUAAUUUAAUGCACCUAUAUACUUGGUAAAAGGUGGAAGGCCCGGCCUUUCUAGCCUGGUGUUUUGUUCCACCUUUGCCCCCUUAGUUUCGGCUACCGGUGUUAUGUUCCAUAAAUGAGCGCUCGUAACACGAUCGGGGUUGUUAUGGGGACCCCCUUGAUAAUUCGUUUUAGAUUAAAGCUGGUCUGGCAAGGCCCAACUUUGGUACUACAUUUGCCUAAUCACCUAAUAAAAUUGCAUAGGGACUUUCCGGACCCCGAGGAUAAUUUAAUCAACCCCCGGGCCAGUGCUCCUCAAGAGUGUUGGUCCCACCUGAGCGAUGUCCGCCGCCCCUUUGGUCACCCGGAGGUUUAGCGAUCCCGACGUCUAGCUCAUCCGUCGUGUCCUGAGAAUGAGGUACGCGACUCCUAUCGGGAUCGUCGACACAUCGGGCGGCCUUGCUGGAUUAGUUUUACCUUUGAUGAAAUAUCUUGUGCAUUGAGAUUCCGGUGAUGCUUUGUGUAAUCUCAGUGUUGAGGUUUUCCACUAGGGAAUCCGACGAGAUCGCAAGCUUCGUGAUUGAGGAUUUCUAUGCGGCUUGUGGUAAUUUGUGAUGGACUAGUUGGAGCACCCCUACAGGGUUAAAUCUUUUCGGAAAGCCGUGCCCGCGGUUAUGUGGAAAUGUGGAAACUUUGUUUAACACUGGUUCUAGAUAACUUGAAGUUAACUUAAUUAAAACUUGCCAACUAUGUGCGUAACUGUGAUUGUCUCUUUCAUGAGUUCCUUCUCCAAUCGAGGACAUGGUGGGGUUAUGUCUGACGUAGGUAGGUGUUCAGGAUCAUUCAUUUGAUCAUUAGUAGUUCACGUCCGUUAUGCAUAGAUCAUCCCCCUCUUAUUUCUUGUAAUCGUAAGUUUAGCCACCAAAUAUAUGCUUAGCCGCUGCUGCAACCUCACCACUUAACCAUGCCUCACCCAUUAAGCUUUGCUAGUCUUGAUACCUUUGGAAAUGAGAUUGCUGAGUCCCCUGUGGCUCACAGAUUACUACAACACCAGUUGCAGGUACAGGUAAAGGUUACUUGACGCGAGCGUGUUGAUUGUUCAGUUGGAGUUGCUUCUUCUUCUUCUUCUUCAUCAUCGAUCUAGGAUGGGUUCCAGGCCGGCAGCCUGGGAUAGCAAGGAUGGACGUCGUUCUUCUUUUGCCGUUUGUUUUCGUCCGUAGUCGGACCGUGCUCUUCUUCAUGUUGUUUAUGUAUUGUACUGUUGUGACUCUGAUGUUACUAGUGGCGAGUGUAAGCCAAUUCUAUAUAUAUCUCUUCUUUUCAGUACAUGUACUUGUAACGAUAAAUAUUCUUGCGACACGACGAGAUGCGCUUCUAUCCCUGACAAGGCCUUCGUGCCAAAUUGAGGAUAGGGUCUCAUCUUGGGCGUGACACCUUGCCCCAGUGUUGUCGGGCUAAGAACUGUACGACCCUCGGCUAGUUGAGCAUUUGUUGAGGCGACAUCUUCAGGCAUGUCCUGUGAGGAUUGCAUGAAGAGAGACUUCUUGCAAUCCCUGCUAGGACGUUCNCAGCACCCAACCCUUGCAGUUUCCAAGCCGCGACGGGGUCUCGUCGUCCUCUCCCCUAGCCGUACUAGAGGAGGCAAAUCCUCGUGCCCCGAUUUCACACUCGACAAGGUAACCCUGAAGUGCCCACCGGGCAUCGGCUGGUCGUGGAACGUGAGUUCCAAGGGCUUCGUUAUGACCGCAUUUCCCACGUCCACCUUGUGGCCUUUGAUCGAGUAGAGUACGGUGCACGGGGUUUCGUCCGCGUGCAAACAUAUGUCUACGGCGUAAAACAUCCGAAAGGCAACGAAAAUGGAAUAUUCUAGAUAUAUGUUGGUGCGACAUGUAAUUACCGUGAGGGGGUCAAGCUCAGCCAAACACGAAGGCCCGCCUAGCGCGCCAGAGACCGAGGACGGGCUGCUAUAAGCGGGUGCGGGUGUGGGUGCAGGAGCAGGCGCGGUUGCGUAAGUAGGUGAUGGUGCGGUGGUGUUGUUCACCGAGUUGCUCGCAACGAAACUGGGCAUGGGAAAACCAUGUACCGUCUUGUGUGGAUUUUCCUUCGUCCAAUUUAAGAUAGUCGGGCUAAAGUUAGUAGCGAAAUCAUUUCUACACGCAUCUACAGCUGCAUCGACUGCCUACUGUAGCAACUCAUUUUUCUCCUCAACUGCUUUUUUCGCGUCCUAAGCUGCUUUUUUUCUCGAACGCAAGCUUCACCUUCUCAUCGACGAUGUCCGCCUGACUAGACUUCUUUUUCUACUUCUUGGCAUCCAGGCCAUCGUUGUAAAAGACCUUCCACGUGGCGCCAUCUUCGGCGCCGUGCACACGUCCAUAUUGUGGCCGCCGGUACAAAGGGAGUCCCUUAAGUUCGUUCAAGGCCCGAAUGAGAGGGGUGUCCCACUUGGGCUUCAUCAAUAAAGACUGGCUUUCGGCUGCAAGCUGGUGUUGCUUCUCCUGUAGAAGGAACGUGAAUCGUUUACGAAUGUGUAGUCCACUUGAUCAGAAGCUAAAUGUAAGGUGGUAAAAGAAUAAUUACCAGUAUUCUAAUCAAUUUUCUUGUGAUCGGGCCCGUGUAAAAAACCUUAUUUUCCUUGUCCCACUUGUAGUGAACCCUGAUGAAGUCACGCUCCAAGGGGUUGGUGAACUUCGCCGAGAGGCCUGGGAGACCCGCGGCUUCACGUUCCGCGUCCUCCUUAUCCCAUAUGAGCCUUUUGCCAAGGUAGCCACGACUUCUGAGGCGUUGGUUCCUCGUGUUCCUUUGAUAAAGGGUCUUGAAUUUCACAGCCUUAGCCUUGGCUGCCUCCGUAGCAUAACUGUCUUUGAACUUUUGGAACUCAUCUUCCGUAAGUGUCAGAUUUUCCUCCAGAAUCUUGGACAGGGGUUCCCCAGCCUCAAUAGCUCGUUUUACCCUCCCUUUCCAGGAGGCCAAAUCAUUGCUGAACAUGCCCAUGACGUGAUUGUUAAUCUUUUUUAUCUUUGGAUCAUCCCACGGUUGUUCUAUGCUAUCAUCCCGAUCGGGGAACUUGAAUCUCUUGUGCAACUUCGUCAGGAGCAACUGCCUCAAAUGUUCUUUACUCCUUAAGUCAUCGUCAUUGAUGCUCGCGCAUUCUCGUAGGAUGCAUCCUACUUGGUUCCCAUAGAACUUGCGAGGUUCUUCCGGCUCUAAUGGCUCAAAAUUGCCAGGGGCCAUCUUUGUGAUCACGAGUCGUCCGAUGCGGAGUUUGUUAGGUUUUUAUAUCCUUUGCUUCUUCUGCUUCUUCUUUUCGGUAGCAGCUUCGACGCCCGUACCUUCCCCGUCGGUAUAUUCCCCGCCGGUCUCGGCGCCGCCAUCGGUGCUGGCGCCGUCGGUUUGAUGUCGGCGUCAGUACCAUCAUUGAGACCGCUCUGCAAACCUUGACUGUGCUUAGCACAAAAAAGUCCAGGUACUGUUGUUCACCCUCAUAAUCCAUCUCGUCUGCAUCAUGGUCAGAUGGCCCGGUUUCUUCGUUGUUUGACAUGUUUCCUCUGAUUAAGUCUCCUCAUUUAAUUCUAAAACUAUAAUAAAAUGAGAAAUGACAUAAAAAGGUCUAUGGUUUGCUGGAAUGUCGUUUCAUUCCCGUUACACCAAAUCCCGGCACUCGAUAUGCCUACUUUCUAUCACAAGUAUUACCAAAAUUCACGGGAAAUUUCGGCAUGACCUUUGCAAAAAAAGUGGACAUAUCGAGCGCCUGAAAUUCACCAGAAUGGAAAUGAAUCAACAUCCCGGUGAAACAUAGGCCACUCGGAUCAUUUACCCUGCACAUAACCAUUAUUUUCCAGAUAUCACAUGUCCAAAAUAUGACAUGUCCAAAUAUGACAUGUCCCAAUUCCAAAUAUCACAUGUCCAAAUUCCAAAUAUCACAUGUCCACUUCAAAUUUUCAUAUAAGAGGAAGAAAAAUAUAGAACUUGGAGCAAAAUGCAAGAAGUCUUUUUCUUCACAACAUUUGGAACUAGUGUUAAUCAAUUCUAUUUUUUCUUUAAAUAGCCUAUAUGGAACUUGAAGAAAAAUUUGCAACCUAAAAACCUAAUAAAAAUUAGCUUAAGUAACUUAACCAAAGAACCUAAUAAAAAUUAACCUACUAACUUAACUAAAUUAACCUAAGCAACUUAACGUAAGAACAUAAUAGCAACAAGAACCUAAUAACAAUAACCUAACUAAAUUAACCUAAGUAACUUAACCUAACUAAAUUAACCUAAGUAGAUUAACCUUAGCAAAGAGACAAAGAAAGAGAAGGAGGGUCAGAGGACUUACAAGGGGCUAGGGGAGACGUCAGCGACGAGGUGGAGCUCGGGGGAAAUGCCGACGUCGAGGUGGAGCUCGGGGGAAAUGUCGGCGGCAAGGUGGAGCACGGGGGAGAUGCCGGCGGGGAGGGCGCCGGGCGGCGAUGAACAGGGACGGAGGACGCACAGGUAGCGACGGAGGCGAGAGGGACCGAUUGGGGAAUGGGGUAGAGGAAAGAAGCAGAUGCAGUGGGGGUUAUGUCAAGGUAGCAGUAGCGCGUUUUCCAAAAACGCGCUAUAGCUACGGUAGUAGUAGCGCGUUCCGGGAAAACGCGCUACUCCUAACACAAGUAGCUAUAGUGCUUUUUCAAACAUGCGCUUAUGCUAUUGUUUUUCUUCUUUUCUUCUUUUCUUUUGUUUUUAAUUUUUUUCUUAUUUUCUUUUCCUUUUCUUAUCUUUUCUUCUUUUCCUUUUUUUUCCGAGAGCCGGAACGAAGGGAAGCUGAUACAAUGUAUGUAACUAAGGCGAUAUAUAUUGCAUCAUUUGACCCAUAACAUUAAGUGUGCUAUACAAAAUAGGAACAUAUAUAUUACAUCGUUUGACCCAUAACGGUUAAGUGUGCUAUAAAAAAUAGGAACAUAUAUAUUACAUCAUUUGACCCAUAACGGUUAUGUGUGCAUACAAAAUAGAACAUAUAUAUAUAUAUAUAUAUAAAUUAUUCCUCACUCGAGGUCAUUUUACCACCAUUUCAUAAAUAAAUUAAAUUUGAAAUGCAAAUAGAUACAUUUAUAUUGAUUAACUACGGAAAAUUUGCCAUAAUAAAACAAAAAUAUAGAUCAUAAAACCAGAAAAAUCGCAUUUUAUGUAUAAUUUACACUAUGUUUUUAUGUUUGUAAUUUUACGUGACAUAAAAUAUUUUUUACGGUGACUAUGUAUUUUUUUACGGUCUCUUUUUACGUAUGAGAUAAGAUUAAAAUUUAAGAAACGUAAAAUUACGGUGUAUUAAUGUGAAAAUAGAGGGGGUGAAGAAUAACUAUUCCUCACCCAGGGUAUAUAUAUAUAUGUGUGAAUACAUAGACCACAACAUGUCCCUAGUGAGCCUCUAGUUGGCUAGCUCCUUGAUCAAUAGAUGGUCAUGGUUUCCUGAUCAUGGACAUUGGAUGUCAUUGAUAACGGGAUCACAUCAUUAGGAGAAUGAUGUGAUGGACAAGACCCAAUCCUAAGCAUAGCACAAGAUCGUUUAGUUCGUCUGCUAGAGCUUUUAUAAUGUCAAGUAUCAUUUCCUUAGACCAUGAGAUUGUGCAACUCCCGGAUACCGUAGGAGUGCUUUGGGUGUAUAAAACGUCACAACGUAACUGGGUGAUUAUAAAGGUACACUACAGGUAUCUCCAAAAGUGUCUGUUGGGUUGGUAUGAGUCGAGACUGAGAUUUGUCGCUCCGUGUGAUGGAGAGGUAUCUCUAGGCUCAAUCGGUAAUGCAUCAUCAUAUUGAGCUCAAUGUGACUAAGGAGUUAGCCACAGGAUGGUGUGUUACGGAACGAGUAAAGAGACUUACGGUAACGAGAUUGAGCAAGGUAUAGGGAUACCGAUGAUUGAAUCUCAGGCAAGUAUCAUACCGGUAGACAAAGGGAAUUGCAUACGGGAUUGAGUGAAUCCUCGACAUCGUGGUUCAUCCGAUGAGAUCAUCGUGGAACAUGUGGGAUCCAACAUGGAUAUCCAGACACCGUUGUUGGUUAUUGGCCGGAGAGAUGUCUCGGUCAUGUCUGCAUGUUUCCCGAACCCGUAGGGUCUACACACUUAACGUUCGGUGGCGCUCGAGUUGUUAUGGGAAUCGUAUAUGUGGUUACCGAAGGUUGUUCGGAGUCACGGAUGAGAUCCGGACGUCACGAGGAGUUCCGGAAUGGUUCGGAGGUAAAGAUUUAUAUAUGGGAAGUCCAGUUUCGGUCCCUGGAAAAGUUUCGGGGUUUAUCGGUAUUGUAUCGGGACCACCGAAAGGGUACCGGGGGUCCACCGGGAAGGUCCACCUGUCCCGGAGGGCUACAUGGGCUGAAAGGAGAAGGGAACCAGCCCUUGGUGGGCUGGUGCGAGCCAAGGGGAGGAGGCCCAAGGCGCAAGGAGGCCAAACCCUAGGGCGCGGUGGCUACCUUGGGUGGCAAGCCACCCCCUAGGGCACCGCCCCUCCUCCUCCUAGGGCUGACGCACCACCUAUGGUUUCCCUAGGGGUGGCCUCACCCCCUCUCCCUCCCUCCUAUAAAUACCGGAGGUAUUGGGAGGGUUGCACACACACGUCUCUCUCUCCCUCGGCGCAACCCUACCUCUCCACCUCUCCUCAUCUGCGGUGCCUGGCGAAGCCCUGUCGGAAAGCCACGAACUCCAUCGCCACCACACCGUCAUGCUGCUGGAGUUCUCCCUCAACUUACCCUCCCUCCUUGCUGGAUCAAAAAGGAGGAGACGUCCCCGAGCUGUAGGUGUGUUGGACGCAGAGACACCGAACACUCGGUGUUUGGAUCGGAUCGCCGCGAGUACGACUUCAUCGACCGCGUUCAUAGUAACGCUUCUGCUUUGCGAUCUUCAACGGUAUGAAGAUGCUCUUCCUCACUCGUUGCUGGUUUCUCCUAGAUGAUCUUGGUGUGACGUACGAUUUUUUUUGAAUUAUUACUACGAUCCCCAACAAUUACAUCAUUUGAUCGAUAACGGUUUCUCAGCUUCGAUGUUUUCGUUUUUGAGUGAGCUUCUUUCCCUUCUUGUUCCUUGACGAAUAAUUGAGACCCCCAUUGUGACUUUUCCUUUUCCAUGGAGUACGACCUUUCUUAAGUAAUGUAGUAUUGAUUCUUAUUUUGACGUAUACUUCAUCGUCAUCGCCAUCGUCAUCUUCCCUCAUUGGGCUGCCGUACUGGUCGUAGUCUUCCUCGUUGGCGACUCCAUCCAUUCCAAUGGUGUUACUUUUGCCUCUCCUCACGACAACACGACUGAGAUUGGUGAUGCCGGUUAUGAAGAAGCAUUGUGUCACAUGCUUAGCGUGUACCCAUGGCUCGUUUUUUGCGAUGGCGUUCACGGUAGCGCUCUUGGCGUCGGGUAUAGUCAUUGUAGUGAAAUACCGGUUUUCUCUUUCGACAUUUGUAAUGCCCCGGACACACCCGCCAGUGGUCGUUACUCCCGGCGGGAUCUAUACUGGCCCCACAUAUCAAUACUCCUGGCGGGAUCUAGACUGGCCCCACAUAUCAAUACUAGUCUUUUCUGCAUACUUUGUCCUCACUCAUGCGCACCCGGGAUGAACUUCCCGAUCGGUCACCCAUCCUAGAACUACUCCAAGCUGAGCACGCUUAACCUGGGAGUUCUGUUUGAUUGGGCUCCCGGAAAAGAAGGAAUUCCUUAUUGAUAUAAGUAGUCAAUCAUCCCUAAUAAGCCAGGCUAUCAAAACAUUCUUAGCCCAACUGACAGGGAACAUCGUCGCGCUGUGCAGUCGAGAGUAGUCAAGCUCCCAGAUCUCCUUGACCCUUCCGUAAAAUCUCCCAGUUGCGUCGUUGUUGUUGCGAGUCAUGCAUUCCAUCGUCACCCCUGAGUUCUGAAAAUCGUUGUUCAUAUAUUUGGCCUCUGUGUUGAACGUGUAUCCGUUGAUAUCGUAUGCUGAUAGGUGGCGAGGUUGGGCGAGGGGCCAUGUGCUAAGGCGUAUAUGAGCAAUCCAUCCUUAAAGCCCUCUUCCGGGGGAUUAGCAAGAAUAUGCUCUUUGAACCAAUGCAGGAAAGUGGAGUUGUGCUCUCUAGUAACUUCGGCGUCCGUCCUGCAUACCCACCGGUCACAAUACUUCUUUGCGAUAGUUUCUUUGUGUAGUGUCACAAAAGGAUCUACCUGAUCUAGGUGUUGUAGCACUAUGAAGUUUGCUUUGUCAAAGUUGUUGCAUUGAUCUAAAUAGGCCACAUGCAGUUCCCUAUGACCGUUGUAGUGACCUUCUCCUUCGAGCCUCCCAACGUGCUUGUUAAUGGGCAAACCAACAACACACGGCCGGUCUGCGUCAUAUAGAAUUUUUUUGCACAAAGAGAUGCACUCUUGUGUCAGAUAGCCCUGGACGAUGCUUCCAUCCGGACGGGACAUGUUACGAAUGAAUCCUUUGAUGAACCCAUUCAUCCUCUCGAACGGCAUCAUGUUGUGCAGGAAUGACUGCCUGAGGUCUAUUAUGUCAUCCACAAUAUGGACACACACAUGCACCAUGACGUCAAAGAACGCGGGCAGGAAUUACAUCUCAAGAUCAUUUAGUAUCACAACGAUCUCUUCUUGUAGCCUUCGGAGCUGCUUCAUGAUGACCCACAAGUGUAGGGGAUCUAUCGUAGUCCUUUCGAUAAGUAAGAGUGUCGAACCCAACGAGGAGCAGAAGGAAAUGACAAGUGGUUUUCAGCAAGGUAUUCUCUGCAGGCACUGAAACUAUUGGUAACAGAUAGUUGUGUGAUAAGAUAAUUCGUAACGGGUAGCAAGUAACAAUAGUAACAAAGGUGCACGGGGUUUCGUCCGCGUGCAAACAUAUGUCUACGGCGUAAAACAUCCGAAAGGCAACGAAAAUGGAAUAUUCUAGAUAUAUGUUGGUGCGACAUGUAAUUACCGUGAGGGGGUCAAGCUCAGCCAAACACGAAGGCCCGCCUAGCGCGCCAGAGACCGAGGACGGGCUGCUAUAAGCGGGUGCGGGUGUGGGUGCAGGAGCAGGCGCGGUUGCGUAAGUAGGUGAUGGUGCGGUGGCGUUGUUCACCGAGUUGCUCGCAACGAAACUGGGCAUCGGAAAACCAUGUACCGUCUUGUGUGGAUUUUCCUUCGUCCAAUUUAAGAUAGUCGGGCUAAAGUUAGUAGCGAAAUCAUUUCUACACGCAUCUACAGCUGCAUCGACUGCCUGCUGUAGCAACUCAUUUUUCUCCUCAACUGCUUUUUUCGCGUCCUAAGCUGCUUUUUUUCUCGAACGCAAGCUUCACCUUCUCGUCGACGAUGUCCGCCUGACUAGACUUCUUUUUCUACUUCUUGGCAUCCAGGCCAUCGUUGUAAAAGACCUUCCACGUGGCGCCAUCUUCGGCGCCGUGCACACGUCCAUAUUGUGGCCGCCGGUACAAAGGGAGUCCCUUAAGUUCGUUCAAGGCCCGAAUGAGAGGGGUGUCCCAUUUGGGCUUCAUCAAUAAAGACUGGCUUUCGGCUGCAAGCUGGUGUUGCUUCUCCUGUAGAAGGAACGUGAAUCGUUUACGAAUGUGUAGUCCACUUGAUCAGAAGCUAAAUGUAAGGUGGUAAAAGAAUAAUUACCAGUAUUCUAAUCAAUUUUCUUGUGAUCGGGCCCGUGUAAAAAACCUUAUUUUCCUUGUCCCACUUGUAGUGAACCCUGAUGAAGUCACGCUUCAAGGGGUUGGUGAACUUCGCGGAGAGGCCUGGGAGACCCGCGGCUUCACGUUCCGCGUCCUCCUUAUCCCAUAUGAGCCUUUUGCCAAGGUAGCCACGACUUCUGAGGCGUUGGUUCCUCGUGUUCCUUUGAUAAAGGCUCUUGAAUUUCACAGCCUUAGCCUUGGCUGCCUCCGUAGCACAACUGUCUUUGAACUUUUGGAACUCAUCUUCCGUAAGUGUCAGAUUUUCCUCCAGAAUCUUGGACAGGGGUUAACCAGCCUCAAUAGCUCGUUUUACCCUCCCUUUCCAGGAGGCCAAAUCAUUGUUGAACAUGCCCAUGACGUGAUUGUUAAUCUUUUUUAUCUUCGGAUCAUCCCACGGUUGUUCUAUGCUAUCAUCCCGAUCGGGGAACUUGAAUCUCUUGUGCAACUUCGUCAGGAGCAACUGCCUCAAAUGUUCUUUACUCCUUAAGUCAUCGUCAUUGAUGCUCGCGCAUUCUCGUAGGAUGCAUCCUACUUGGUUCCCAUAGAACUUGCGAGGUUCUUCCAGCUCUAAUGGCUCAAAAUUGCCAGGGGCCAUCUUUGUGAUCACCAGUCGUCCGAUGCGGAGUUUGUUAGGUUUUUAUAUCCUUUGCUUCUUCUGCUUCUUCUUUUCGGUAGCAGCUUCGACGCCCGUACCUUCCCCGUCGGUAUAUUCCCCGUGGCGGCGGCGAUUUUUCCCGAAAGCUCUCUCUUGAUUUUUUUUCUGGGAUGAAACCCUCCAUAUAGCAGAAGAUGGGAACCGGAGGGGUAAAAGUGGGCCCACGAGCCCCCCAGGCGCGCCUAGGGGGGUGGGGCGUGCUUGGCAGGCUCAUGACCUCCUGGUGACUGCCCUCCAGUAUUUGUUCCGCCUAGUAUUUUUUAUGUAUUCCAAAAUAAUUCCUCGCUGAUUUUCAUGGCUUUUGGAGUUGUGCAGAAUAGGUAUCUCAAACUUGCACCUUUUUCAGCCCAGAAUUCGAGUUGUCGGCAUUCUCCCUCUUCUUGUAAACCUUAUAAAAUAAGAGAGAAAAGGCAUAAGUAUUGUACCAUAAUGUGUAAUAACAGCCCAUAAUGCGAUAAAUAUCAAUAUAAAAGCAUGAUGCAAAAUGGACGUAUCACUUCACACUGAUCGACUUUCGAGAGAUGACGUCGAAAAAGUUGCACAGACCAAUAAGCGUGUCACAGACAUGCUUGUCCAUUAUCCCUUUAAGGGCAACACGUAGUAUCAGCGUCAUCAUAACAUGACAUUCAUGGGACUUCAUCCCGCUGAACCUUUUCUUCUUUGUGUCUAGAAAUCUGCUUAUCUUCCCACAGUAACCGGAACUAACUUUGAUUCCGGUAAGGCACUUGAAGAAUUGAUUGAUCUCUGCCGGACUUAAGGUGAAGCAAGAAGGGGGGCAAUAAUCCUCAUCCUUUACUUUUUUGCCCUUCUUCUCCGGCUUCUCUCUCUCUGUCUCCUCUGACUUUUUACGGGGGCGGCAUGUGUAGAUCUGCCCUGAUUUUCAAAUCUUGCAAGUCUUUUCUUGCCUUCGGCCCAUCCUUGGUCUUAUCCGGCACGUUCAUUAGUGUCACAAGCAAGCUCUCAAGGACAUUCUUACAAAUAUGCAUUUGAUCAAGGCAAUGAGGCGUGUCGAGUUUGUGCUAGUACUCCAAGUCCUAGAAAACAGACCUCGUCUUCCAUACCUUCAACAUCAGCUCCAGCGCCUUUUUCAUCGUCUUUCCUGGCACGGGGCACUGUUCCCAGUUUUUCAACAACUCGUCGAUUUCGGCACUGCUCCGCUUACAUGGAGGUCCUCAGUGCUCAGCCUCAACAUUGAAUAGAUUUCCAUAGUUUCUCCAUGGAUCAUCCUUCUCGAGCCAUCUUCGAUGCCCCACGUACAUGAUUUUCCCAGACCCGCCAUCUUUCAUUGACGUUAGCUGCUGAGACAUCAUAUCAUCCUUGCACCUUCUGCAUCCGCAAUACCCAUGGCACAACUGGCGUGCGACAUAUCCAUAACCGAGAUAGUCGUGCACCGUCGUGAUGAGCACGCCUCUCAUAUAGAAAUACUCGCCUUUGCUUGCGUCCCAUGUCUUGGCCGGUGUUUUCCAUAACGUGUCUAACUCCUCUAGAAGUAGCCCCAAAUACAGAUUAAUAUUAUUUCCUGGUUGUUUCGGCCCUUGAAUCAACAUGCUCAUGUGUAUGUACUUCGACUUCAUGCACAAACAUGGGGGAGGUUGUACAUCCAUACAAACACGGGACAUGUGCUAUAGUUGGUGUUCUGGUUGCCAAACGGAUUCAUGCCAUCGGUACAUGCGCCGAGCAUGAUGUUCCUUGCAUCACAUGCGAAAUACCGAUAUUUGUCGUUGAACGCUUUCCACUGAAUUCCAUUCACGAGGUGUCUCAGCUUCGAAUCAUCUCCAUCGUCGGGAUUUGUCCUCUCCGUGUGCCAACGCAUGAGCUUUGCUUCCUUGGGAUCUACAAAAUAACGUUGCAGACGAGGAGUGAUCGGUAAGUACCAUACAACUUUCUGGGGAGAUUUCUUCCCGCCCUUCUUGUAUCGAGAAGCAUUGCACACCGGACAGCUGGUUUUUCCCACGUGAUCCUUCUGAUAAAUUAUGUAAUCAUUGAUGCAUGCAUGGUAUCUAACGUGUGGCAGAUCAAGAGGGCACACGAUCUUCUUGGCCUCAUUGUUUUUAGCCUUCGUUUUCAGGAGUUCGAGCGUGAAACUCAAGCGGGUCACGUCGGGAUCGCAACCAUCAUACAAUGGAGUGUUCGAGUCUACCACUAGUUGCUGCACUUUGGCGUCCUCUCUAGAAGCAGCUCUGUCAGUACUCGUCUCCUUGCGAAACAGUGCUUGAACAUGAGGGUCCCGCACGAUUGAACUUAGUACCGACGAAGUCUGCGGCGUGGAGUCCAUGUUUUCUCCGCCGCCAUGUCCGACCCCUUCUCCGCCGCCAUAUUCGGCCCCUUCCCCACCGCCAUUUUCGGCCCCUUCCCCGCCGCCAUGUCCAUCCGCUUCCCCGUCACCAUGUCCGGCCCCUUCUCCGCCGCUAUUAUAGGUCAUCUCUUCGUCUUGCCCCGUGUCAUCAUUGCCUGCCCCGUUGGCGUCCUCAUCAUCAUCCUCAUCUUCAAUUAUCCACUGAGUAUAGCCAUCCAUGAAACCAGUCAUGAGCAGGUGCGCCAUCACACUACCAUCGUCAUAGGGGUCGAGCCAAACUCCUCCUUUGCAUCUUUGACACGGACAUAAAAUCUCUCUCCGGUUAUUUUCUUUCAUGUCCUGCACCGCCGACCAAAACCACUUGUCCACCAUCAUUCCACUGACCAUCAUGAAUGCAUGCACGGUAAUAAUAAACAAAUUGAUUAUAAAAAUACAUGCAUGCAUCAAAGUCAUACAAAAAUUCGGCAUGGCCUUCCCUAAAAAUAGGACAUACAGAGUUUGCCCGAAAUUCGCCGAAACGGAAAUAAAUCGACAUUUCGGCAAAACAUAGGCAACUCACAAGCACAAUUCGGCGGCAACUCAUGCCACACACAAAAUUUCCAUCAUAUCGCCCGAGAUCGAGCACGGUGAUGAUGAUGUCAAUGGGUGUCGCCACACACAACUAUGGAAUGGUCAAAAGUGGACAGAGCUCUUCUUGACAAGGCUAAAUCUAAUUAUGGAGGUACAUAGGUCACUUCACUAAAUGCUAGAUCUACCUAGCUAGCUAGUUUGGGAGGAGACAAGUUCAACUAGUGGAGGGGGGAGGAAAAAGAGAAAGGAGAUGCAUUGAUUAAGGUGGUGUAGUUAGCUAGGAGUAAUAAAGAGAGAGAGAAAGAUAUGUAGAAGAAGGAGAGUAAUGGGGUGGGAGAAGUAGUGAGGAAGAAGCAAAGUGAGGGAGAGAGGAGGUGGGAGCUAGGGUAAAGUGAAGGAAGAGAGGAUGGGGGAGGGGGAGGGGGAGGAAAAUGGUGGUGGCUGCGGUUUAGCAGUAGCGCUCGGUGUAAAACACGUUGCUGCUAAUAAGAUAGCAGUAGCGUGCUUCCGGCAGACGUGCUACUGCUAAGCAGGGUCCGCCAUGUGGCCAGGUUCAAAAUUAGCAGUAUCGCCCUGCAAAAUAUGAGUGCUACUGCUAUUAUAGUAGCAGUAUCGCGUUUAUUGCAGGUGCACUACUGCUAAACCUCGCUUGGCGGGAAUGGUCGGGCAACUUUACUAGUAGCGUUGUUCUAGCGAGACGCGCUACUGCUAAUUCUGUAGGAGUAGCGCCGCGUUAUUACACGUGCUGCUGCUAAUUAGCAGUAGAGCCCCUUCUUUUCCAGCGCUACUGCUAAGAUUCUAUGUAUAAGGUUUUUUUAGUAGUGAGGGGAUGGAUUUGGUGCCAUUUAUGGUGGGAUAGGCCUAUCGGGUAGGCUCUCCCACGCACCCCCAUAUCCGCCCUAGAUUUUGAGCUGGAUAUGAGGGGUGCCGGACAGUUCGAACGUUUGAGGCCCGUUUGACGCAUCCAUAUGAAUCACAUUUUCAUGACCGAUGAGCGAUCGGGCUGUCCGCUCAGACAUUUGAGGCGGGUUUGAGGCGCCCUUUUGUAGAUCCUCGUUAGCCGUCUUCGUGCAAAACCAUCUCUGAAAAUCUGGAAAACACAACAAGCGUCCCAUUUUCCCCCAUCCACACAAAACACGCAACACAAUUGAUGACACCUACGAUGAGGCGUGUCGUGUAGAUCAAAAGCGCGGGAAUAAAUAUCAUGCCCCCAGAAAUAGAGCGCUACAGGAACACAUGACACGAUUGAGGACACGUGUGUUGGCAUGUCGUGCUGACCAAAGGGACCCAUUAGGCGCACGACCUAAUCAAAACCAUGACCAAAUCUAAAAUUGGAUGUUUACAUGGGGCAAAUAGCUCCUAUGCGACGUUUUUGAGGUGAAUUGGAAGAAGUGCGACGUCUUUCGUCUGAAUUGCCCCGGUGCAACAUUUCUGAAUGAGGAAAUAUCCCAUGCACGACAUGGCCCUUAAUAUGAACUGAUGCCCUCGUUAGGUGUUAGGAGCUGGACCCACAACUUAUCCACGUAAGCACGGUCCCUACUUGGCAGUGCAUCUUGUUACGGGCCCCACUUGUCAGUGCAUUAGGUCAAACGUGUCCCCAUGCCUGUCCAAAUGGGUAUCCCCGUCUGAACCUGUGUUGCUCCCUCCUCUUCGUUCCUGGUGGUGAGCCAGCGGCGGCGGUGGAGGUUUUGUUCUGGGUGACAGCAGUGGCGACGCUUUCGUUCUCGGUGACGUCAACGGCUGUGGUGAGAGCCCUGUCCUGUCUAGUACCCGUCCUGUUCUCCUCCGUGUUGAGUUAGAUAUCACCGCAUCGUCUCUGCCCCCUUUGUUUCCCUCUGUUUUUGGUCGAUUUGACCAUAUUGCUGGUUAGGCAAUCGAAAUCUUUAAGAAUUGUGACACCAACAAGAUGAAGGGCAUGACUAUACCUAUCAAAGCCACUUUUGUAAGUCCUUACUCCUCAUGCCUUUGAACUUCGGUGAUGCACUUCAAUGGUUGUAAAAUAUAUUUGUAUAUGCAACACCGCAAUAAUUUGUUGCCAAUCAGAGCGUUGGGUCACCGCAUGGUGCACCUUUCCUCAUGGUCGGGGACGACGGGCCACCGGACUAGGUACGAUGAGGAGAAGCAUCGUCACAGUCAAAGACGACGAGAAAGAUGGAAAAAAUGAAGAAAAAACUUGCAGCAACUCACCUACCGGUGAAUCGGUGAUCCCGAUGAUAUUACAAAACUAAACAAAGGUAUGAUACAAUAUCAAGCCUACACCUAGCAGAAGCAAGUUCCCAAAAGUAGAAGGAGAAACCUCAGAUAUUUUCUUCAUCAAGCUCUUCACACAACCGAGACAUAAGUAUACAGGAGGUUGGAAUUUCACAACUAUUAUGGGUCAUACAGCGAGUGUUGCUAGUAGUGCCAAUUACUAUUUUGAUUUUCCGGCUACUUCACUCUCAUUGCAGAUCUUACUAAAACAAAUACAUGACACCAAUGUCUGCUGAAUUUGUGCACACCAUUUUUUCUUUAGAAAAUAAGCAGGUUAAACCCUCGGCCUCUGCAUCAAUCGAUGCAUAUGGUCAUCUUUAUUAAUUAUUCCACGGAUGUAUGACAAGAACAUAUAUCAAGCCAUCCAAAGUCACUACUCACAUCUGCAAACUUGAUAAUGGAGAAUGCUCUCACUUCUCAUAUAUCAAGCCAGGCCCGGGUUGCUUGGUUGAACUUGUUUUCAUUUGCGAGUUGGUUGAUCUGAGCCCAAUUUCCAGGACCUUUCCUUGUUGUUAUGCCUGCUUUGAGGGUUUUUAGCUUUUUUAGCUGUUGGUAGUUUAUGUGAGAUGUAAAUCGAAUGAUGUCUGCUUUCUUUCAAAACAAAAAGACUCUGAUUUUAUCUGAUGGUAACCAGCUCUCGGAUCAGAUCUGUUUCAUGUAAUCUUAGUAAACCAAACAGCACAAGAUAACUCAUCCAUCUCUCAGAUCAGAUCCAGCUUAGUAAACUAAACAACACAAGAUAACUCAUCCAACAAUUCUUCAACUACAUGCAUUGGGUAUUUCUCUCUUUUGCUAGCAGGAGAAGUAGUUUGUUCAGCCCGGACUUCAAAGUAGUCUCCCCCCUGCGUCCCCUCAUUCUUGUUGCAUGGAAUUAACGUCCUUGAGCCCAACCCCUCGUCCGCGACCUUGGCCACGGCAACGCUGCACUCUCUGGUAGCGCAACAAUUCUUCAGUUAACAUAGUGCAGCAAUUCUUCACUUAAUCGAUGUGGAGGAGCGUAACGUUUUGGUGGAGCUGGGCCGACCAAUGAAAGCGCAGCUCGCGGAUCGCUGACGUAGCCCUACUUCCUGAUCCAGACCGUCCAUUCACGGCGAUCCAAUGGUCCGGACAGGUGCAGGGUUUUGAUGGGGUUUUGAGGUGUUUUUGAUGGGGGUUUUGAGAGGUUUUCAAAUGUUAGGGUUGAGCAUAAGUAAUUCAAAAAAAUCAAAAAAUAGGAAACUUGUGGCAAUCAUCAUUCUAUGUGACUAACUCCAUACAAAAAAUAAGAAAUCUGGACUAUGGAGUUUUUCAUGAAAAAACCUUCACAAACUUGGCUAUCACGAUCGAGGUUGUAGGGUUUUCAAAGGUUAGGGUUGAGCAUAAGUAAUUCAAAAAAAAUCAAAAAAAUACAAAACUUGUGGCAAUCAUCAUUCUAUGUGACUAACUCCAUAGGAAAAAUAAGAAAUCUGGACUAUGGAGUUUUUCAUGAAAAAAACUUCACAAACUUGGCUAUCACGAACGAGGUUGUAGGGUUUUCAAAGGUUAGGGUUGAGCAUAAGUAAUUCAAAAAAAUCAAAAAAAUAGAAAACUGGUGCCAAUCAAUUUGAGUUGUUAGUAUAUGACAAAGUAAGAACAUGUGUACUGGUUUUCCAAUAUUUUAUUUUUUUAAUUUUUGAUGCUCAUUUCAAACUUGGUCAAACCUAAGUUUGACAAACAUUUAAACAAGUUUCAAAUAUGAAAAUGACAAACCAAGCCUGGAUCCUUCUUAGUCACUCCAAAAUGAAGCUUUUGUGAUGUUUUUGAAAUUUGAAGUUCAACACCCAAAACCACUUGUCUUCACACAUGAGUUUCAAAUUAGCUCCAAAGGGGGUAAAUACCCAUUUCUAAACAAGUUUUUUGUCCACCAUGUUUAAAACAGCKAAAUCAAUUUGAGUUGUUAGUAUAUGACAAAGUAAGAAUAUGUGCACUAGUUUUCCUAAUAUUUUUAUUAUUUAUUUAUUUUUAUGCUCAUUUCAAACUUGGUCAAACCAAAGUUUGACAAACAUUUAAACAAGUUUCAAACAUGAACAAGAGAAGUUCAAUGAGGUGCAACGCAAGAAUAGGAUCCCGAAGGAUGGCAUGCCUAUUCAGGAACGUGCAGAAAAGAUGAUGGCUCAAAUGAAAACAGGGCAACGUUCGAAACAGAGCAGGGGCUGACCGGUCAAUCUGACCCAUGGGCCACGGAAGUCAGCGGGCGUCACAUCAGUGUCGCACCCGAGCUACUUAUACAGUGAAAUGUGUCGUACCCUAGCUAUUUCCAGAUCUGCACCGCUCUCGCCCCCUCUCGGCCCUCGCCGCUGGCGACCCCCACCAAAACCACGCAAUCCAGCCCCACUGCCGCAGAUCAAGCGCCACCGUGCGACGAUCAUAAGGCCAGGAUCUUCCAGCUAGCGCGGCCAUUCCGACGACGGAAACCGGAAUGGGGCGAAGCGGACGGCGCUUGACUGUCACUGCGAACAGGCGGCGCGGGUUGCUUCCGACACUGCUUAGAAGCGCGGCGCGCGCAGGUACACCAACUAGGGGCUCGCGCCAUCGCGUUCGUUUGCUCGGCGCGAGGUGGAGGAGUACGACCGCCAGAUGGUGGCAGCAGCACCGCGCUCCUGUGCCGCGGGUGGCGCGGGGAGCUCCUCCACUGCACCCGCACCGCUGCCGCCUCCGAAUAGGGAGGGGGAGGAGCAGGGCUUUCUACCGGAAGACUACGUCGACGACGGCGACCUCGAUGGCGUGAUUUCCGAGGUUAUGGAGCGCACCAAGGAAGAGGCCCAGCAGGUCGCCGCGCGCCGGCAGAGGAAGAGGAGCGCGACGAGAUCCGCCUCCGCCAAGCCAUCGAGGAAUCCCGCGCCGACAGGGGGUGGCGCGCCUCCAACUCCAACUCUGACUGACCGGUGCCGCCGCCUCGUUGGGGCCGCACCCCUGGGACUCAGGUGAGCCCACUUUUGAAGAUCUAGUAGGCGUGAGGUAGGAGCUUAGGAGCCCAUGUAAUCGAAGGUCGAACCUAUAAUCGUCUCUGGAAUAUUGCUCCGAUGAGCCCUUGUAAUCGAACCCUAUCUAUGUUGCUCUAUGUUUGCUGGGAAAAUGGAUCUAUGUUGUUUGAAUUCAGUCGAUUUGCUUUUAAAUGCUUGUAAAUUUGCUUUUCUGAAUCGGAGCUCGUCGGCGUUUCCGUGCUUCGUCACCGUAGAAGAAGAAGAAGAGGGAGGAUGCGCGCGCAGGGGAAAACUGUUUGACAGUAGUCGCCGCAUCUGGGUCCCAUGCCAACGUGGAUAAGUUGUGGGUCCUGCCCGGCUCCACCUAAUCCUGAUAGAUAUUGUGCUUAAGGGCCAUGUCGCUCCUGGGCUAUUUGUGCGCACAGAGGUGUCGCAGCAGAGCCAUUCUUGCCAACGAUGCCGGUUUGGAGCGAGUUCGUGUCAAAAACGUCGCACAAGAGCUAUUGCCCCGUUUACACGUGAAAGAGCAAAAUAAGUAUGGAAGAAACUAGGGUUACAUGAAAUAAUAGGUGAAGUCAAUUCAUAUUGAUAGCUUAGGUAGUGUGAUCCUUGAAGAAUUACUCACGCAGUCGGCAAGACAGUCACCUGUUCUCGGUAGGCCAGGAUUCCGAGAGUAUUUGGUGGUCGGGCAUGUAUAUAUGGUGGCAGCGAUGAGAAUUUGUUAAGGUCAAGAACGUCGAGAAUCCUUCAAGUACCGCCUUCACUAUCCAAGCAAUGACGAGUAAAUUAUGUCGAGCUGUAGAUCAGAAGAAACCGGAUAAAAUUAUGUUGGCGAAACCUCGUGUCAAUCCUUAUAAAUUAAAUGUUGAUGACGCUUUUUAAGAUGAAACCAGUGAGGCACACAAUACAUAGUUUCAAUUUAAACCUGAAACCUUAAAAGCAGCUGCACACUUAUUGGAGAGAACGGGCGGCCACGCUCUGGCCGUGUGAUCGGCUUCACGCUCCCCUCCCCCGUGGGCCAGGUGUUGGAGCAUAUAUCUCCACAUGUGGUUUUGGUACUUGAUGACAAUUCCUAUGGACUAAUGGCUGCCUUAAGUUACAUUUAUAGGAUUUGUCCAUAGGCACUUCUUGAAGUCCAUCUGUUGGGUUCAAGGAGUUUAUAUGAUGACCAAGAUGGUAUUCAAGGUAUUAUCCAAAGAAUGGUCAUAGAGACACAUGGUUGAUCAAGAUCUCAGACAAAGAGUAAAUCAAGAUGAUCAACACACAAAGCGUACAAGAUGUACCGAGAGGGGUCAAGUGAUCCCAUGGUAUGGAUUUGUCCAUAGGCACUUCUUGAAGUCCAUCAGUUGGGUUCAAGGAGUUUAUAUGAUGACCAAGAUGGUAUUCAAGGUAUUAUCCAAAGAAUGGUCAUUGAGACACAUGGUUGAUCAAGAUCUGAGACAAAGAGUAAAUCAAGAUGAUCAACACACAAAGCGUACAAGAUGUACCGAGAGGGAUCAAGUGAUCCCAUGGUAUGGUAAGCAUUGUCCAUUACGUGUUUGUGUACUAACCCAUGGUCUUCGUGAGAGUUCUAUGUGGGGGUUAGGUGUGUUUACAUGGGCUUGCGUCAAAGGGAAGAUCUCAUACAACCCAUGGAGUAUGACGUCAAGUUGUGAUCAUCAUCAAUGGUUGAUCAAGAUCUCAAACAAAGAGUAAAUCAAUAUGAUCAACACACAAAGCGUACAAGAUGUACCGAGAGGGAUCAAGUGAUCCCAUGGUAUGGUAAGCAUUGUCCAUUACGUGUUUGUGUACUAACCCAUGGUCUUUGUGAGAGUUCUAUGUGGGGGUUAGGUGUGCUUCCAUGGGCUUGCGUCUAGAGGAAGAUCUCAUACAACCCAUGAAGGAUGACGUCAAGUGGUGAUCGUCAUCAAGAUGGCGGUGUGCAAGUUCAAGUGGAUCAACACGAAGAUAUCUUGCUUGAAGCCUGCUGUUCAUUGUGGUGGCAAUGUACUUGUGAAGAUAUGCUGAAGAGUGGCUCACCCAUAGUGAGUAUGGGGGAGCAAUCAACUAGUCUUCAUCAAGCCAACACAAUCAAGAAAGGUGGUCCAUCUUGAGGAAGCCAAGAUCAUCAUCAUCUAGCUCAAGAGGACGAGGUGCAAGGUAUAGGUUUGCCCUUGAUAGGUUUUCUGGUUAGGAUAGAUUGCUGUUCUAUCAAGGGGGGCUCUCAAGUGAGUAGCUUGAUCGUAUCGUUCGUUGAGAGCUCAAACCAUUUGCAUCCUUGCAUCAUACUUCUUGGUUCUUGUUUGGUGUUUCUCUUUGUGAGUUUUAGAGCUUAUGGUCAUCUUCGUGACAAGCUCGAGUUCAUCGAGAACGGAGUCCAUAUGCAUCUACUAUGAUGUUUUCGAUGUUGGAGUUUUUGCCGGUUCUUCAUUCAUAGAGAUCUCACAUCUCUAUAACUUUGGCAUAUUCAUAACCGCAUGGUCUUAAGCUUGGGUUUGCUCGAUUCGGAGCUCGUAUGCGAAAGUUAUGGCUGUUUCAGUGGCGAGCGGUAGUACCGCUGGAGUUGGCGGUAGUACCGCUGGCCCUAGCGGUAGUACCGCUAACUGGCGGUAGUACCGCCCCUGGUCAGCGGUAGUACCGCUCCAGGAGCUUAGUACCGCCUGCCUAGCGGUUGUUCGUGGACGGACCUUUUUGCGAAGACUUUCUUGGCGGUGGUAGUGCCGUUGCACUACCAUGGGCCCAACGGUAGUACCGCUGCAGCUAGCGGUAGUACCGCUGGAGUGCCAGCGGUAGUACCGCUGCAGCUAGCGGUAGUACCGCUAGCUGGCGGUAGUACCGCUGGAGUACCAGCGGUAGUACCGCUGCAGCCAGCGGUAGUACCGCUGGAGCUCGGGCAGAAAGUGGGGGUAACGGUGUGAUUCCUUCCCCCACUAUAUAAAGGGGGUCUUCUUCCCCCUUGGUCUGAUUCAUCCGUUGAGCUCUUGUUCUAUCUCCAUUGUUGACAUUAUUAGAGCUUGAUUACUCUCUAUCCCUCCAAUGAUUCUUGCUUGUUCUUGAGGGAAAAGAGAGAGGAGAUCUAGAUCCACAUCUCCACCAAUCACUUUCUCCUCUAUGUGAGGGGAACUCCUUGGAUCUUGAUCUUGGAGUUAUUUGUGAGCUCCUUGUUCUUCCUCUCAUAUUUCUCCAUAGCUUUUGCUGUUGUGGAGGGAUUUGAGUGUGAGGGACUUGACCACUUCGUGUGUUCUUGCCAUUGCAUUAGUUGCAUCGGUUUGAGUUCUCCACGGUGAUACGUGGAAGUGAGAAGUUGAGAAGCUUACUACCUUUGGUACUUAGUACCCUUGAUAUUGUUCUUCGUGGAUGCUUCGGCGUCCUAGAAGCUUGGUGGUGUCCCGGAGCUCAAUCAUUGUGGUGUGAAGCUCCGGGAAGCGUCGGGGUCUCCAAUUAGGUUGUGGAGAUUGCCCCGAGCAAUUUGUACGGGUACCGCUAACCGCCCCCAAGGGUUGCCACGUGUACGGGUUCGGUGACCGCCCCCAAGGGUUGCCAUUUGUACGGGUUCGGUGACCGCCCCCAAGGGUUGCCAUUUGUACGGGUUCGGUGACCGCCCUCAAGGGUCCCUUAGUGGAAUCACGGCAUCUUGCAUUGUGCGAGGGCGUGAGGAGAUUACGGUGGCCCUAGUGGCAUCUUGGGGAGCAUUGUGCCUCCACACCGCUCUAACGGAGAUUAGCAUCCGCAAGGGUGUGAACUUCGGGAUACAUCAUCGUCUCCCCGUGCCUCGGUUAUCUCUUACCCGAACCCUUUACUUAUGCACUUUACUUUGUGAUAGACAUAUUGUUUAUUGUAAUAUAUCUUGCUAUCACUUAGUUGUUUAUCUUGCUUAGCAUAAGUUGUUGGUGCACAUAGGUGAGCCUAGUUGUUUGUAGGUUUUGUGCUUGACAUAUUAAACGUUAGUUUUAUUCCGCAUUUGUUCAAGCCUAAACUUUAACUAUUUUAAAGCGCCUAUUCACCCCCCCCCCUCUAGGCGACAUCCACGUCCUUUUCACCAGGUGCCACCUGGCCGGGAGCGAUUCCACCGCUGGACGUGAGUGGGACUUACCUGUAAGUCGCAGAAUCACUAUAAUGGACGACGGUUUCGAAAUCCGAGCCCCCCAAAUCGCUCGUGAGCGUUUUGCUCUCCCAUUUCUCCCCCUCCUUCGCUACUUUAUCUCAAGCGACCACAGUGGAUCAGAGGGGAAUCGUGGUGGACUUCUUGAAUCGGCUGUUGUUGGAUGCUUCUCCACCGGUAUUCGUUGCUCCUCGUCGCCAUUGGAGGUACCACCUUGCUCCCCCUCCUUCUCCAUGUAUCGAUGGAUUCGAUAAACGCGGCGGACAGAGGAGUUGGGGCUGCGAGUGGUGUUACUGCGGGGGGGGGGGGUGGUGUGUUUGUUGGAGGAGAUGGGAGACGUGGUGGCGGCGUCCCGGAGGCCGCGCCACUGUUGAGUUGGAGGGAGGAAGAGGGGUGGGGGUGGCAGAUAGGCAGCGCCUCUAUCUAUCUCUUGAAAGGUAGGGAGAUAGUCAUUGUUGUUCGCCACACGUUUUGGUGGGCUCUGAGGAAAGGAUUCGCCCGAGAUUCUCCUCUCCUCUCAUGCUCGACUGCGCAUCUAGCUUCCCGUCCCAUAUGGUUGAGAUUUCUCCGGUGAUCUGUUCAUGAUUCGAUGCCUUGUUGGUAGAUGUGUGCAAUGUUGUGCCCAAUGUUGCAUGUCUGAGUUGGAACUUGGUUUUUAGAUUUUGUUUUGUUUAGUUGCACAAAUUUGGUCUCGGUUGGUUGUCUCAGUAUAUUAGUUGGUUGUUUGUAUGUUGCGCAUUUGCACUAGUUGAGAGAGAGAGAGAGAGAGGAGUUUAGGGUUGCUUGUCUAUAUAUGCCAAUUUUGUGUGCAAGGUUGCUUUCCUCGUUGUUAUAGUUGGUUGUGCAUAUAAUGUCCAGUUGCACAAGUUUAGUUUCCAGUUCAGUUGGCAUGAUUGCAUGUAAUUGUUUUGUCCUUGUUUGUUACAUGUGCACAGUGCUUAUGGAUGGUUAUGACUGUUGUUGCAUAAAAUUAUAUUCAGUGGGCUGCAUUGAUACAUUAGGUGGCUGUCCAUAUGUUGCUCGGCUUGGACUAGUUCCCUUGUUUUGUUAUAUGUUGUUCAGUUGCACAAGUUGCCUGCCCUGUUGGCUGCAUCAGUAUAGUAGUUGGCUGUCCAUCUCUUCUAUAGUUCCAUACUAGAUUUCCUACUUAUGUGUAGAGGUUUGCAGAUCAAAGCAAUUGGUGGUGCACAUGGCUGCAUUGAUAUUCUUUAUGUAGUCUGCUUGCGUAUCCUCUAACUUCUAUGUUUUUUUCUUUCUUUUUUCCGCGGGCUUAAAAUGGUUAUAAUACGAGGAGAUGCGGAUGGGAGAGAAUCAAAUGUAUUUUUUCAUUUUUUGUGUCUCUUUGACUUCUUUUCAACUUCUCCAUGUAUCCUUAUAUGCUUGCUUAAUUAGGAUUCUUCAAAUCAGCUCUCCCGCCGUAACUUGAAGCGUGCUGCGGGUCGUCAGACACGCUCUGCCCGUAGUGUUCAGCAGGGAGAGGAAGUUGAGGUUAGUGUCAUGCUCAAGUCAUAACCAUAUUUUUUGUGUUUCGUGUAAUUAAUCUUGUUUUCAACAUGCACAUUUUUUAUUUCUUAGGGUGUUGAUCAGUUCCGGGUUGUAAAGCGGAGUAGACAUGCAACAGUUUUAGGGGGAGCUGCAUCAUCUUCUAAGGUAAAUAAAUCCUGGAAUAUUAGUUUUUCUCAGUUAGAUGCACAUGAUUUGUGCAGCUAUUGGCACCACCAUCUAUUGUAGUUGCACAAUAACCAUUUUGUAGUUGACAUCAUUAGUCAUCUUUUUCUAAAAAGAGUUUUUCCAGAAAAAAUUGGCAUGUGUUGGCAUGCUCUAAUUUUGUAUUGCUGAUUAUUUCUGUAUCAGUUGGUAUACUCCAUGUUUUUCAUGUUAUUUUCACCACCAUGUGUGGAGGCAGUAGUUGCUAGAGGAGUAGCCUCUUCUUCUGCUACAACAGUUGCUGAGGUAUGAGGGUAUCUUUUGGGUUUAUGAGCUUUUGUACUGGUUUUGCAAACUUUUUCAUGUUGAUGUUUUUGUUGGAAUACUGUGCUUGUAGUUGCACAAUCCGUAGCUCUUGUAUUUUACACGUCGAGUCUAUUUUAGGUUAUUUCCAGUUUGCACGCUCGAAGUAUGUAGUUGUCAUCAUGAGCUUUCAUAGUUGCACAAGAACAUCACAUCAGUUGGCAUUAUCCAUUUCUUGUUUAUAUAAUUGCAACCAAGCAGUUGUCCCUCCUUUCUUCUAUAUUCAUUCAAGUCAUUUUUCCUAGUAUUUUAUUUUCAAUGUUUUUUUCUCGUCAACAGGGUAGAGGUGAAGGAGUUGAGGAGAAUGCAGGGGAAGAUGCGGACCGACCCUUACAAGCUGGCAGGAUAAGGACGUCACCAGGGCAGUUUGCUAAGUUCAACAACAAGCUAUCCCAUUGUAGAAGUCUGAGAUAUGUUCAAGAUUGUUUGGGGGUAUAUUGAACCUAGCAGAUACACUUCCAGCGGAUCUCAUGAAAUACCUGGUGCGGUGUUACAAGCCGGGAAGCUCUAAAAUGGUGUUUCCAAGCAGGGGAAGGAUCUAUGUCGAUGCUGACAGCGUGCAACCAGGAGAUUCAGAGAGACUUUCAACAUCACUGGGAAUUCUCAUCCCAAUAUAAGUGCAUGGUGCAAGAUGGUUCAGGAUAUGGCUGGAAAAACUGAUGACACAUUCUUUAUUGCCUGGCUUGCAGUUGCAUUCAACACCUUUCUAGAUCAAACAACUUCCCUGAAGCUCAGCCCGAAGUGCUAUGGACUUGUGUUAGAUCAUCAAAUGCUCAAGAACACAAACAUGUGCCUAUUUGUAGCAUAACACAUUAAUGAAGCUUUCCAGAACAUGGACUAGGACAAGCAAAUUGUUUGCUGCUACUUAUACCACUUGGUGGUGAGUGAAAAUGAGUAGUCACAUGUGCUUUUCUUCUUUUUUGCAGUUGCAGUUUUUGAAUAUCGUCUUAAUAACUAAAGUUUUUCUCUUUUUUUGUUUGUUUGUGCGACAUAUCCUAUACCUUGACGCACUUGUUCACGAUGUGCGAGUAAGCAAUUGCACCAUACGAGUGAAUGCAUGGGAUAGCAAUUUAAUUGCAAAGGUGAUCAAGAAAGACUUGGUAUCUCCUGGUGUGUUCGGCAAAUUACAAGUGAGUUAUCUUGCUUUUUUUCAACAACGCCUCCUGCUUUUGCAUUCUAUACUUGGUAGAUUUUGAUAACAGAUUCAACACUUUAUGCUUGGUAGGGUAGUUGCACAAAUGGUUUGAUCAGUUGACACAACAGUGACUGUAGUUGCAUAGUUUUCAGAUUUUGUUUGGCAGCUGCACACAUGUCUGUCUCACUUUUGUGGCACAUCAUCUGUUUGAGUCCCACGGUUUUUACCUGUGUGGUUUUUGCAUAGAUGUUGACAUAAGUUGGAUCAAAACUUUUUGUGUGGUGUUUGUUUGGCCAGUUUUUUUUUGCUUUGCACAGUUGCACAACAACGCUUGUAGUUGCACAAAUUAUAAUCAUUUUUUAUUCCAAUGCAACUUCAGUUUGAUAACCUUAUUGAUUCCUAGUAUUUUCACAUCAGCUUAAAGAGGAGUAUAGAGGCACACGGCAGACACCACUGUUUGGUGGUCUUUUGCAAGCUCAAGCAUUCAUGGCAUCCAAGUUACCACUAACCUACAAUCCGCAGGUAAGUUUUUGCAAAAAGGAGUGCAUUUAGUUGCAACAUGUUUAAGUUGUUGUUGAUGCAAUUCUGAUCUUUUUGUGUUCUCCUGCAUUUUUUGCAAUGAUGCAGAAAAAGGCAAAGAUUGUAGAAGUGGUUCAUGAUAUGUGCAAGUCAGUAACUGAACAAGUGGGCAACUUCAUUGAAGCAGUUGUCAAGAUCGAUGAGGAGGAACCAGAUAUUGAUCCCUAUGUACGGCAGUCAUCAUUGCAAACCAGCAGGUCAUGUUGUGCUCAACAAAAAAAGAUAUGGGAUGCAUCUAGACAAGAAGAAGAAGAAUAGUUUGUAGAAAAGGAUGAUGAAAUGGAAACAGAGCAAGAUUUUGAAGAUGCUAAUGACACAAACGAGGAUGAAUCAGAGGAGGAGGAGGAAGAAGAUGAUGGACCAGAGGAGGAGGAAGAAGAAGAAGAGGAGGAAGAAGGUGUGACAGCCCGAGACCAACGUUCCGGAAGAUUCCCCUUUUAUUCCGUUUUCGUCAUGUGAUUAUUUUUAUUUGUCGCAUCAUCAUCGCAUCAUCCGCAUUGCAUCGGCAUCCUGUUGUCGCCAGUUUACAAAACUUGCAUUCGUUAUUAGUUGUCGGUUCUCUCCGUGUUCGUCGUUGCCCGUUUUAUGCCCAACCACACACGCACGCACCGCGGCAUCAUCAAAACCUUGUUUUUAGAAGUGUGUGUAACACUUUCUCUGAUUGGGUUGAAACUUGGCGUCCGGUCUUAUUUCAAUGUAGGUAGGCCGCUUGCCAAUUUUCGUCGCAAUCGGAGUUCGUCUGGUACCCGAACGGUCGACCGUAGCGGCACCGUAUCCGGUCUAUCGUCGGACAUUUUUCGAUAUUUUAAAUCGCGUUGCCGGGUGCCCGUUUUCCCUCUCAUCUCCGGCUAGCCUACUCUACACAGCCACUUAGCCUUUCCCCCGUUUGAAACCGUUCGAUUCCGAUCGCGCGGUUGAAACCGGGACGAAAUUCUGCUAAACCUAGCCCCCCCCAAUUGCUAUAAUUAGACCCUCAUGUCAUUUUUAGACAACCUCUCUCUCUCCUCCUCGAAUCCCGUGCAAACCCUAGCCUCCUCUCUCCUCCCUCCAGCCACCGGGGCCCGCUCCAGCCCGCAUGAGGCCCNUAGCCUCCGCCGUAUCCGCGCCCCUCGUCGCCCAAGCUCCAGAUCAGGGAGGACGCCCCGAUCCAGACGCCCCUUCGCCAACCCCCGUGAAGCCCGCGAGCCGCCGCAUCCCGCCGGUCGGAGCCCCUGCCGGAAGCUGCCCUGCUGCCGCACCCCCCCCCUUGGCCGCCGAGCUGCUUGCGCCGCCGCCUGCACCUGCCAUGGCUGUUGCCCCGCCAUGUUGGACGUCCGCCACCGGCCGCGCAACUCGCCGGAGUCCGCCGCCCCCGGUCAUCCCUCGUCGGAUCCGGCAGCCGCCGCCCUCGCCCCACCAGAUCUGCCCUUCCCGCCGGCCUCGCUCGUGCACCGCCAUGGCCUCACAUCGACGGGAGGUGGGAGACGAGGCCAGCUCCCGUGGUCUCUUUCUCGCGAGGAGACGAGCGCCCGAGGUUGGGCCAGCCAACCGCCGCAUGGCGCAGCGCCGCCCUUGCCCAGGCGCGCCCCAGCCGGCCCACCUCUCUUGUUGCCACCUCGUCGUCCUGGGCCACGACCCAGCUAGGUGAGCUAGCCGCCCCUCUCUGCUAUAUUCCGCCUGAGGCGUUGCAUAGUUAUGUAGCACUUGCUCUGAUCGGCCCAGCAGUAGUUAGGUUUCGGCCCAAUAGCUUUCUUUUUCCCGUAUUGCGAUUUAGUUAAUUUCCCAGGAUUUCAGAAAAAUGCAUUGUUUUUUUCAAACGCGUGUAGUUUAUUAUCCGAGUGUUGGAUCGCGAUGAUUUAUAUAUGAAACUUGAUUAGUUUUCCAAGUAUAUUAUUAUUUUGCAGCUUGCAUGCAUGUUUGAAUUAGUUUGACUUGCCAUAUGCCUAGUUUUGCAUGCUGUCCUAAUAGGGAUUUAUUCCGUAGUUAUAUUCGUGCUUGUCCGGAUUGUUCAAACCCCGUAGAUGAAAUGCUCAUGUUUUUAGGGACCUUUUGCCAUGUAUUUUAGAGUAUUUGUUUGCAUUUUUGCAUGUAGGAUUCCGUCGCUAGUUUGUUAUAUCACGUUUAGGACAUAUUCUCGCAUAUACGUGUGGCGUUAUUUGUAAUUUGCAACCCCUCAUGUUAUAUAUGUUUUCAGGGUAGAAAAAUCCAUAGAAUUUAACUGUGCAUUUAGUUUUAGCUUUUGAGAAAGUUAGUGCGUGUGAUAUUUUGCUAUAUUGUUCUUUUGUUUAUUUUGUGUGAUUUAAUCCGUGCAUGACAUGAAGGAGUUGUCAACUAGAGAUUUGUCCUUGGAUAUGUAUGCUAGCCCCUGGUAAUUUUGGUUGCAAUAGAAAUCCAUGUUUAGGUGUUGUUUGCUUGCUCUCAACAUGCUAGAAAAUAAUGCUUAUUUGGAGAUGCUGAAAUAUUUCUAAGUCUGAAAUCUGUUAUAUUUUGUUGGUGUCUUGUCAUGAGUUUAUCUGGUGAUCUGUAGCACUUUCGAGGUUGGUGCAAUGGAGUUAGUUGUAGUCCUUCAGAUUCUCUAGCAUGUUGUCAAUGUUCAUGCCAUUUGGAGACUUGUAGCAUAUAGUUUUGUUGAUGUCAAUAUGCCUUCAGAUCGAAAACUGCACUAUCUGAAACUGAUAUUUUCACUAAGUCUGAAACUGUGUGUAAGAUGCUAUUUUGUGAGUUCUUUUCCUAGUGAUACAUGCUUCCAUGCUAGAUGUUAUUAGUAGCAUGUUGUAGUGCAUUUUGACCUCUAUUGCCUCAUGCCUUGGUUGAGCAUUUUGGAAUUGUGUAGCUAGUUGUUCGAGGGUGUAGAAAAUGCUAUGUGGCUGAUUUUGGCAGAUUGUAGUGAUUUCUUUUUAGCUCGUAUUUGAUGAACCGUUGCUCCGUUUGGAUCGUGUCCUAUAUGAAACUUUCUUAGAAUCUUGUGUAGUUUCAUAUUUUGUUGCUUCCUUCUUAGUUUGGGAUGUUGUGGAUGCCAUUUGCACACAUAUUGCAUUCAUGCCAUCAUAUCUUGCGGUGUUCGUAUCUUUUGAACCGUAGCUCCGUUGGAGAUGUUCUCUAUGUGUAAAUUGAUUGGAACGACGUGUAGAAUCACGUGAACCUAUUUAUUUUGCUGUUUAACAAAUAUUAAAACAUGUUAGUUCAGAUCUGUACAGAUUUAUAAUUUAACGUGUGGGGUCAUCUCGGAGAUGCUAUAUGUCGUUUCCGGCCUCAUUUAAAAUGCCUAAGAUAGAUAGCUUAGUUACGCUUAACCUCUUGCCAUUUUUAACCACAUUUAAUAUUGCCGUGUACCUAAUCGAGAGUGAACUAAAUAAUUUGUAUGUGGAGUUUCGUCAAUAUGCAACUCGUUGCAUAUUGAACUUCACUUAAUGUGUAGUGUUUGAGUGUUGUGAUUUGACAUGCCAUGUCUUGCAUAUAUUCAACUGAUCAUGCAUCAUAUUAGGUUGUGCAUAAUGUCAUGCAUUUGCCGUGGUGAAUAUCUGUGUUGAUGCUUGUUUCCGGUUUGCUUCGUCUCGAUUGAGUUCCGCAAGCGUGUCGGAAAGUGAGGACCCAUUCGGCUACAUCGGUUCGUCUGCUUCACGGAGUCGUUCUUCUUCCAAGCGGGAUCUCAGGAAAGAUGACCGUUUCCCCAGAUACCAUUACUAUCAUUGCCAUGCUAGUUUUACCGUUUCUGUCGUUAUGUCUCGCUGCCUACCACCUGUUUAAUAUCAGCCUCUCAACAUUGCCAUGAAAACCUUCAACCUAUUCACCACCUAGAAAACCACUGAUUGGCUAUGUUACCGCUUGCUUUACCAUGUGUUAGUGUUGCUAGUUGCAGGUGUAGUUGUUUCCAUGUGAUAACAUGGGUUCCUUGUUAAAUCACCAUAUUAAAUGCUAUUUAAUUAAUGCACCUAUAUACUUGGUAAAAGGUGGAAGGCUCGGCCUUUCUAGACCGGUGUUUUGUUCCACCUUUCCCCCCUUAGUUUCGACUACCGGUGUUAUGUUCCAUAAUUGAGCGCUCCUAACACGAUCGAGGUUGUUAUGGGGACCCCCUUGAUAAUUCGUUUUAGAUUAAAGCUGGUCCAGAAAGGCCCAACAUUGGUACUAUAUUUGUCCAACAUAAUAAUACUGUUAAUACUGAAAAGCAUAGGGCGUCAUGAACCCGAGGAGUAAUUCUACAUAAUACAGAGAGGGCCAGUGCUGAUGGUGCUGGUCCAAAACAGAGCACUGUGCGGGGCCAACCCAGGGCAACUUGGGUGAUUUCUAUCAGGCCACCAUACGCGUCGCUUAUCCGUCAUGUCCUGAGAACGAGAUACGUGGCUCCUAUCGGGAUCGUCGACACGUCGGGUGGCCUUGUUGGAUUAGUUUUACCUUUGACGAAUGUCUUGUGCAUCGGGAUUCCGGUGAUGCUUUGGGUAAUCUCAGAGUUGAGGUUUUCCACUAAGGAGUCCGACGAGAUCGCGAGUUUCGUGAUCGAGGAUUUCUAUGAGGCUUGUGGUAAUUUGUGAUGGAUUAGUUGGAGCACCCCUGCAGGGUUAAAUAUUUUGGAAAGCCGUGCCCGCGGUUAUGAGGAAACGUGGAAACUUUGUUUAACACUGGUUCUAGACAACUUGAAGUUAACUUAAUUAAAAUAUGCCAACUGAGUGCGUAACCGUGACUGUCUCUUUCAUGAGUUCCUUCUCCGAUCGAGGACACGGUGGGGUUAUGUCUGACGUAGGUAGGUGUUGAGGAUCAUUCAUUUGAUCAUCAGCAGUUCACGUCCGCUAUGCGUAGAUCUUCUCCCUCUUUAUUCUAGUACUCAUAAGUUAGCCACUAAAUAAAUGCUUAGUCGCUUUCUGCAGCCUCACCACUUAACCUUACCUCACCCAUUAAGCUUUGCUAGUCUUGAUACAUUUGGAAAUGAGAUUGUUGAGUCCCCUGUGGCUCACAGAUUACUACAACACCAGUUGCAGGUACAUGUAAAGGAUAUUAAGACGCGAGCGUGUUGAUUGUUCAUUUGGAGUUUCUUCUUCUUAUUCAUUGAUCUAGGAUGGGUUCCAGGCCGACACCCUCGGAUAGCAAGGAUGAACGUCGUUCUCUUUUCUCGUUUGUUUUUGUCCAUAGUCGGACCCUGCUCUUCUUCGUGAUUUAUGUAUUGUACUGAUGUGACUCUGAUGUAGCUUGUGGCGAGUGUAAGCCAAUUCUAUAUAUCUCAUUUUUUCGGUACAUGUACUUGUAACGAUAUCCAUUCUUGCGAAACGACGAGAUGCGCUUCUAUCCCUGACGAGGCCCUCGUGCCAAAUUAAGGAUAGGGUCGCAUCUUGGGCAUUACAGAAGAAGAGGACAAAGAAGAGGAGGAGGAUCAAGAAGAGGAGAAAGAAGAGGAGGAGGAACAAUAAGAGGACAAAUAAGAGGAGGAGGAAUAAUAAGAGGAGAAAGAAGAGGAGGAGAAAGAAGAGGAGGAGGAUAGAGAGGUUGACGGAUACAUUGAUGCGGGACUUCAUGGCUGUGACAGUGAAGGAGAUGAUGAUGAUGAAGAAGACAAGGAUGUUGAUCAUUAUGAUCAAGGGAAAGAGGGUGGAGACAACGACACAGGCGAUAACAAUGAUUACAGGGGCCGUGAUUCUGGGGGUAUAGGAGGCAACACAACUAGGCGGCUAGCAGCAGUGACAAUCCUGGUAGCAGCAACAACUCAAUGAAUAGCAAGAGCACACUACAGAUGUGGAUGGACAAAACUUGCUGGAAGGAUGAGGAUGUUCCAAAGUCAAAGAAAAAUGAUGAACCGUUGUCUCAAGACAGCAUUGGCAUGUUCAAGGUUUGCAACUUGAAGACCAUUUUCCCAACCACUUUUCCUGUUCUAGUUUUUCAUCUUCAAGGGAUGUAUGACAAGGAGGGGCCCUAGGUGAGUGUGCCAACUACAACACUCUUGUGAACCAAGCCAACUAAUGAUGCACCAGUGAGUGUGCUGCAACUGGAAGGAGAGACCCUAGGCCAUCAACCCAUAUGCAGGUCAAGCUCAUACACCUUUCAUGGCGACGGGUAUUGCGAUGCACCAACUUUUGACCUUGGUAUAGAUGGUACCACCGAGCCUAUUGCACCAGCACAAAUAGGAGAAGCAAAUCUGGAUUCAGUAAGAGUGAAUGAGGCAUGUGAUGCUGCUCAUGCGGGCAAGGGAUUAGUUCACCCUCUAGAUGUUGCAUCACCAGACAGCUCCACACCCCGAUUUGCGGAGAAGCGGAAAGUUGGCACGAGUAGUUCUUCACGACCAGUUGUCGCACGAAGACAGAGGAGGAUAAUAAGACCCGGAUCAUCUCAACGGUCCCCAUUCAUUGAUUACAACAAAAAGAAGAUUUUUAACAGCAUUGAAACAAUCAACAAGCUCUUCGCUGCUCUCGUGUAUUGGGUUAGAAACCACCCAGGAGCAAAUGAUGUUGCCACCAGGUAAACCAAUAGCACCCACUUAGUUGCAUAAUACCACCCAUUUAGUUGCACACCAAAGCAGAGCAGGUUGCACAAAACAGGGCUUGUAGUUGUAGACUCUCAACUUUUUGUUUAAUAUACAAUAUUCUAGAGCACCGACCCUUGAACUUAACUUUCCUUUAAUUUUUCAGCCCUAAGAUAGUAAAUUAUGAUGGUUUCUACAUUUCUCUAAGGAGUUGGUCGAUUCCAUGAAGCCUCUUCAAUGGCUGUCAGGCAUGGUUAUUGAGAUUGCAAUCAUACACAUCAUCAAAAACUUAUCAGAAGGGUCAAAGAAAUUCAUUAUGCCACUGAGGCUAUGUGUAAGAUUUUUCAAAGCUUUUUCCCAUCUUAUUUUUGGACCAUUUUUUACUUGAACUUUUUAUUAACCUAUUGUGUGUUCUUUUUUAUCUAAUAAGGAGUUGCCACAUGUUUAUCAUUUCUGCACGCGAAGUUACAACAAGGGAUUUACAAUGUGUCAAACAUAAACAAAAGAUUCGAAUACAAGAACCGACUUGACAAAAAAGACAUGGUCAGUGUUGUCUGCACAUGAUCACUCUAUUAGUUAUCACUCAUAGCAAGCUCAGUUGCACAUGAUACAUCUGUUAGCUGUCAUAAACACAUAUAGUUUUUGGCAACCUGUUAACCUCACCAUUUUUUACUGCUACCUACAACGUUCUUUGCAUUUGAAUGUUUUUUGCUCAUGUGUUCACGUCAUGCUGCCGGUGCUUGAGUGGUCUGAUCCAAACCACCCCGAAGGAGGCAGACACUAUUGGGUCUUCAACGUCAACUUGAGGGAUGAACGAUUCGAAGUUCUUGAUUCUAAUAGGAAGCUGGAUGACAUUGAGUUGAUGAACACUGCCUCUACCAUCGCGGGGGAAGUACGGAUGCUAUGGAGGAAGCAUUACCCAAAGUCCAGCAUUGAACACUUCGAGAUCAUAGACAUCAAUGUACCGAAGCAGCACAUGAAGUAAGACAAGAAGCAUGUUAUUCUUCCAGAUCUGUAGUUUUUUAAAUUUUAUAGACGUACAUUUUUUCUUCUUCAAAUGCUUAUUUGUAUCAAGACACGUAAUUAGUUUGCACGGGAUAAUCUAGGCAGUUGCACAAUGGACAUCAUUAGUUGGACAGUGGUACAUAAUUAGUUGCACAGCGGAGACAUAUGCAUCAGCUUUUGGAAUUUAAAUUUGUGUAUCACUUGUGUUUUUCCUACAACGAUGAUUGUGAUUUGUUCGUAGUGUUGAAUGCUACUUAUUGGGAUGGUAGCCAACUGCCCAAGUACGAUCCCAAGGAAGUCUUCAACAUUAGGAAGAAGCUAACAUAUGAUUGGGUAACCAGUGUGCACAACUCCGCCCAGUGGAAGAAGGUGCUGAAAUAUGAGAAGGACUAGGUCAGGACUUUUUAUCCUCCACCCUUUUUUGAAUGCUUUGUUGGUUUGCACAAUUCUGCAUAGAUUUUGUUGAACUAAUUUUGCACAAUUUUUCUGUUGAACUAAUUAUGUUGCACAAUUCCGCAUAUGUGUAUUUUGUCAUCACUUUGUUGGCACACAUUAGGACCACCGGGUAUACAACUGUUCAACAACAGAAAUUUAAACUCUUUUGCAAACAAAGGCACAAAUAGUAGCCUUAGACACUCCACCCUAAUAAAUUUUACAGAAAAGAACUUAGAGAAAUGAAAGCAUAGUUGUUGAAUAUGUCCCCUUGGAGCCAACAUUGCUAAAAACAUCAUCAUUGUUUCAUGUAAACAAUGCAAGACAAUCAUAGCAGCCUCUGUGGGAAUCCACCAGCAGUGUGCUCUGUAGAUUGGCAGUGGCUGCAUUUGUAUUUCUUCUUCGGGUGUAGCUCCAUAGCCGAUUUGUACCAUCUAUUCUUCGCCCUACUUUUUGUAGUUGACCUUGGGGGAUCCCUGGGCACAAAAUCAACACAGGCUUCUGCAGGGGACGUAGCUUCCAUUGGGGUAGUAGGACUAGUGUGCGCAGUUGUUGGGCCACCAUGAGGUUGCGUAUAAUGACAUGUAGGUAACAAUGAUAAAAAGGUCAGUGUUUGCGCAACAAGGAGCAUUGUUAUGUGCAAACCACACAUCUCAUGUUGCGCAACUAAGCGGGUGUAGUUUGCAAGUUAAGUUGAAAAGAAAACCUGCAAGAGCACAACCCAUGGAGGCAGUUGGCUGGUAAUGACCUAUACAUGUAACAAUAAAAAUAAGUUACUGGUUCACGUUCUUCCUCGAAGAGUCAUAGCACGCACAAUUGGUUUUUGUGGUGGUGUGCGUAGGCCGAAGUAAUUCUCACGUGUGCGCAACGGAAUAGCAUGCUCUGUGCAACUGGGCAUCAUUGUGUGUGCAACUGAAAUUAUGCAUGUAGUUAGUUUGGUAGUCGGGGCAGGUAAUUACCUACAGGAUGAUGUCCUUGAGCACUGCUUGUAGGGACAUUGGGAGGAGGAGGUGAGGCACUUCUUGUUGGGCCGGGCGGGGGAGGAGGUGGCGGAGCAUUUUAUGUAGGUCCACGUGGUGGAGGAGGUCCUCGAGGGGUUAGCAUCAUCUGCUCGCCCCAUUGCAGUAGCUAGUUUUUUCUUUUUCUUGGACUUGUUGAGGUGACUGAUUUUAGUACGCGCUCCGCAAUUAUGCUUGUAUACAAUGGCCUAUGCUGCAUCAGAUCCACUUGCAAAUUUGGACAAUUUUUUAAAAUCCACUGUCAUGUUUCUUUGUCUUAUCCGCUUCUUUGAUUGGCGAGGCAUUUUAUGUGGUGACUCAUAGCCAGACAGCAGUAGGUGUCCACCGUUGAAUCAUGCACCAUUCCGUUAUGAUGUCAAAUCCAAGAUGGGUGAACACCUUGAGGAUGUGGAAACAAAGCAUGCCAUAUUUAUCCAUUUUGCAGCACUCACACAGAUAUGAACCCUCAUCCACGUUCGCCUGCACCAAGUAGUUUUGAGAACCAUAUUUGACAACAAACUCCUGGUUCUGUCUGAGCUCAAAAACAUCAACACCAACUUGUAAUCCAUUAUAGCGUCCAAUCAGCUCAAACUCUUCUGAGAAUGUGCGAUAAAGGUCUCUAGUGUAGGUUUCGUAAGCUUGCCUCUCUAUUGGGAAUCUCGACCAUAGCUCAAUCUCAAGGUGUUCUGUCCUGUAAUCAUUGCAGCCUCCUUGGCAAGGAUGUGGGUUUGAAUUUUUUUCAUAUUGCUUGACAAACUUUAGGAUUGAGUUGUGUGGAUUCACAUAUCUCUUUAGGACGGCGUUGAACCCCUCACUACGUUGUGUAGACUGCAGGAAGGGGAAGUACCUGUGCUUGAAGUAGCAAGGCACCCAAGUUGACAUGUAUUUGUUGGAAAUAUGCCCUAGAGGCAAUGAUAAAAUAGUUAUUAUUAUAUUUCCUGUUUCAAGAUAAUCGUUUAUUACCCAUGCUAUAAUUGUAUUGAAUGAAAGCAUAGAUACAUGUGUGGAUAUAUACACAAAACAAUGUCCUUUGUAAGACUCUAGUUGACUAGCCAGUUGAUCAAGGAUGGUUAAGGUUUUCUGACCAUAUGCAAAGUGUUGUCACUUGAUAACUGGAUCACAUCAUUAGGAGAAUGAUGUGAUGGACAAGACCCAAAUUAUAAACGUAGCAUGUGAUCGUUUCAUUUUGUUGCUAUUGUUUUCUAUGUGUCAAGUAUUCAUUUCUAUGACCAUGAGAUCAUGUAACUCACUGACACCGGAGGAAUACCUUGUGUGUAUCAAACGUCACAACAUUACUGGGUGACUAUAAAGGUGCUCUACACGUAUCUCCGAAGGUGUCUGUUGAGUUAGCAUGGAUCAAGACUGUGAUUUGUCACUCCGUGUGACGGAGAGGUAUCUCGGGGCCCACUCGGUAAUACAACAUCACAUAUAAGCCUUGCAAGCAAUGUGACUCAAGUGUUAGUCACGGGAUCUUGUAUUACGGAACGAGUAAAGAGACUUGCCGGUAACGAGAUUAAAAUAGGUAUAGAGAUACUGACGAUCAAAUCUCACGCAAGUAACAUACCGAAGGACAAAGGGAAUGUUAUACGGGAUUAUAUGAAUCCUUGGCACAGAGGUUCAACCGAUAAGAUCUUCAUAUAAUACGUAGGAUCCAAUAUGGACAUCCAGGUCCCGCUAUUGGAUAUUGACCGAGGAGUGUCUCGGGUCAUGUCUGCAUAGUUCUCGAACCCGCAGGGUCUGCAUACUUAAGGUUCGGUGACGUUUUAGUAUAGUUGAGUUAUAGGCGUUGGUGACCGAAGGUUGUUCGGAGUCCCAGAUGAGAUCACGGACGUCACGAGGGAUUCCGGAAUGGUCCGUAAACGAAGAUUGAUAUAUAGGAUGGUUUCAUUUGGUCACCAGAAAGAUUUCGGGCAUUACCGGCAGUGUACCGGGAGUGACGAAUGGGUUCCGGGUACUCACCGCGAGGGGCCCACCCACCCGGGAGUGAGCCCAAUAGUCCUAGGGUGGCGCACCAGCCCUUAGUGGGCUGGUGAGGCCAGCCCAAGUGGGCUAAGGCGCCAAGGAAAGAAAAACCAAAAGAAAGGGGAAAAAAGAGAGAGGGAGGUGGGAAGGAAGGAGUGGACUCCUCCUCCUCCAAACCGAAUUGCAGUGGGAGUCCAUCUCCUCCUUCGGCCGGAGCCCUUGGGGCUCUAUUGAGCCAAGGCUAGCCCCUCCCCUCCUCCUAUAUAUACUAGAGGUUUUAGGGUUUUUGAGACACAACUUUGCCACGUGCAACUCAAACCUAUACCUCAUAGUUCUUCCUCUAGAUCAGAUUUCUGCGGAGCUCGGGUGGAGCCCUGCAGGAAUAGAUCAUCAUCAUCACCGGUGCACCGUCACGCUGCUGGAGAACUCAUCUACCUCCCCGUCUCUCUUGGUGGAUCAAGAAGGCAGAGAUCGUCAUCGAGUUGUACGUGUGCUGAACACGGCGGUGUCGUCCGUUCGGUGCUAGAUCGGGACGGAUCGUGGGACGACGGUGAUUUGAAUCACGAAGCUGUACCACUACAUCAACGCGUUUCUUAACGCUUCCCGCUUAGCGAUCUACAAGGGUAUGUGGAUCCGAUCUCCCUCUCGUAGAUGAACAUCACCAUGAUAGGUCUUCGUGUGCGUAGGAAAAUUUUUGUUUCCCAUGCAACGUUCCCCAACAGUGGCAUCAUGAGCUAGGUUCAUGCGUAGAUGCAAUCUCGAGUAGAACACAAAAGUUUUUGUGGGCGUUGAUGUUUCAUUUUUUGCCCUCCUUAGUCUUUUCUCGAUUCGGCGGUAUUGUUGGAUUGAAGCGGCCUAGACCAACAUUACUCGUACGCUUACGAGAGACCGGUUUCAUCGACCAACAUGCAACUCGUUGCAUAAAUAUGACUGGCAGGUGUCGGUUUCUUCAACUUUAGUUGAAUUGGAUUUGACCGAGGCGGUCCUUGGAGAGAGGUUAAAUAGCAAUUUGCACAUCUCCAUUGUGGUUUUUGCGUAAGUAAGAUGCGAUCAUACUAGAUACCCAUAGAGCCACGUAAAACAUGCAACAACAAAUUAGAGGACGUCUAACUUGUUUUUGCAGGGUAUGCUUGUGAUGUGAUAUGGCCAAAGACAUGAUGUGAUAUAUUGAAUGUAUGAUAUGAUCAUGGUGUAAUAGUUAAUAUCGACUUGCACGUAGAUGCUACGGCAACCGGCAGGAGCCAUAGGGUUGUCUUUAAACUAACGUUUGUGUUUGUAGAUGCGUUUACUAUAUCGCUAGGUUGUAGCUUUAGUAGUAAUAGCAUAGAUAGCACGACAACCUCGAUGGCGGCACGAUGAUGGAGAUCAUGAUGAUGGAGAUCAUGGUGUGGCGCGAGUGACAAGAAGACCAUGCCGGUGCUUUGGUGAUGGAGAUCAAGAAGCACAAGAUCAUGGCCAUAUCAUGUCACUUAUGAAUUGCAUGUGAUGUUAAUCCUUUUAUGCACCUUAUCUUGCUUAGCACGACGGUAGCAUUAUAAGGUGAUCCCUCACUAAAAUUUCAAGAUAAACUUGUGUUCUCCCCGACUGUGCACCGUUGCGACAGUUCGUCGUUUCGAGACACCACGUGAUCAUCGGGUGUGAUGGACUCAACGUUCACAUACAACGGGUGCAAAACAGUUGCACACGCGGAACACUCGGGUUAAACUUGACGAGCCUAGCAUGUGCAGACAUGGCCUCAGAACACAAGAGACCGAAAGGUCAAGCAUGAAUCGUAUAGUUGAUAUGAUUAGCAUAGAGAUGUUUACCACUGAAACUAUACUCAACUCACGUGAUGAUCGGACUUGACUUUGUGAAUUUGGAUCAUGCCACACUCAAGUAACUAGAGGGAUGUCUAUUUGAGUGGGAGUUUAUUAGUAAUUUGAUUAGUUAAACUCUAAUUGUCUUGAACAUAGUCUAAGCCCACUUUGCAAUAUUUUAUGUUGUAGAUCAAUGGCUCACGCAGUAGCAACCAUGAAUUUCAAUACGUUCCUAGAGAAAGCUAAGCUGAAAGAUGAUGGUAGCAACUUUGUAGACUAGUCUCAUAAUCUUAGGCUCAUCCUAUAAGCUGGGAAAAAGAAUUAUGUCCUUGAUGCUGCGCUAGGAGAUGAACCACCCGCUACGUCUGACCAAGAUGUUUUGAACGCUUGGCAAUCACGUAAGGAGGACUACUCAGUAGUUCAAUGUGCAGUCUUGUAUGGCUUAGAACCGGGACUUCAACAACGCUUUGAGCAUCAUGGAGCAUAUGAGAUGUUCGAGGAGUUGAAGUUUAUCUUUCACAAGAACACCCGGAUCUAGAGGUAUGAGACCUCCGAUAAAUUCUAUUCUUGCAAGAUGGAGGAGAAAUCGUCUGUCAGUGAACAUGUGCUCAAAAUGUCUGGGUACUCAAACCGUCUAGCUGAGCUAGGGAUUGAACUCCCGCAAGAGGCUAACACUAACAAAAUUCUUCAAUCACUGCCACCUAGCUAUAAGAGCUCUGUGUUGAACUAUAACAUGCAAGGGAUGAACAAGUCACCCGGCGAGUUAUUCGCGAUGCUGAAAGUCGCAGAGUCAGAACUCCGGAAAGAGCGUCAAGUGUUGAUGGUCAAUAAGACCACUGGUUUCAAGAGAAACGGCAAAGGCAAGAAGGGUAACUCCAAGAAGAGCGGCAAAACUGUUGCCAAUCCGACGAAGAAACCCAAGGCUGGACCUAAGCCGGAAACAUAGUGUUAUCAUUGCAAGGGGAUGGGUCACUCAAAGCGCAACUGCCCCAAGUAUUUGGCUGAUAAGAAGGCGGCCAUAGAAAAAUCAGGUAUAUGUGAUAUACAUGUUAUUGAUGUGUACUUAACCAACUCUCGUAGUAGUGCCUCGGUAUUUGAUACCGGUUCUGUUGCUCAUAUUUCCAACUCGAAGCACGAAUUGCGGAAUAAACGAAGGGUGGCGAAGGAUGAAGUGACGAUGCGCGUGGGAAAUGGUUCCGAGGUUGAUGCAAUCGGCGUCGGCACAAUCUCACUUCAAUUACCAUCAGGAUUAGUUAUGAACGUAAAUAAUUGUUAUUUAGUGCAUGCGUUAAGCAUGAACAUUAUAUCUAGAUCUUGUUUAUUGCGAGACGGUUACUCAUUUAAGUCCAAGAAUAAUGGUUGUUAUAUUUGUAUGAGUAAUAUCUUUUAUGGUCAUGCACCCAAUGUGAGGGGUUUUUUCAUAUUGAAUCUUGAUUGUGAUGACACACAUAUACAUAACAUUGAGACCAAAAGAUGUAGAGUUAACAAUGAUAGUGCCACGUUUUUGUGGCACUGCCACUUAGGUCAUAUUGGAGUAAAGCGCAUGAAGAAACUCCAUACCAAUGGGCUUUUGGAGUCACUUGAUUUUGAAUCACUUGACAUGUGCGAACCAUGCCUCAUGGGCAAGAUGACUAAGACUCCGUUCUCCGGAACAAUGGAGCGUGCAAGUGACUUGUUGGAGAUCAUACGUACUGAUGUGUGCGGUCCAAUGAGUGUGGAGGCACACGGCGGAUAUCGUUAUUUUCUCACCUUCACUGAUGAUUUGAGUAGGUAUGGAUAUAUCUACUUGAUGAAGCACAAGUUUGAAACGUUUGAAAAGUUCAAGAAAUUUCAGAGUGAAGUUGAAAAUCAUCGUAACAAGAAGAUUAAGUUCCUACGUUCUGAUCGAGGGGGUGAAUAUCUGAGUUUUGAGUUUGGUGCUCACUUAAGACAAUGUGGAAUCAUUUCACAGUUGACACCGCCUGGAACACCACAACAUAAUGGUGUGUCCGAACAUCGUAAUCAUACUUUGUUAGAUAUGGUGCGAUCUAUGAUGUCUCUUACCGAUUUGCCGUUAUCGUUUUGGGGUUAUGCAUUAGAGACAGUUGCAUUCACUUUAAAUAGGACACCGUCAAAAUCCGUUGAGAUGACACCAUAUGAGCUAUGGUAUGGAAAGAGGCCAAAGUUGUCGUUUCUUAAAGUUUGGGGAUGCGAUGCUUAUGUCAAAAAGCUUCAGCAUGAAAAGCUGGAACCUGCUACUGCGACAACAGACCUUCCCUGGUACGGCGCCAGGAAUCCUGUUGCUACGGCUACGCCUUUAGGGACUUCCUUGGCAAAUAUGCAAAGGAUUUCCCCGCGGCCUUGGAGCCUUGCGUUGGUGUUCCCUUGAAGAGGAAAGGGUGAUGUAGCACAGCGGCAGAAAGUAUUUCCCUCAGUUUUGAGAACGAAGGUAUCGAUCCAAUGGAAGAACUCAUCAAGUCACAAGUACCUGCACAAACACAGAGAGCUUGCACCCAACGCUAUGAAGGGGUUAUCAAUCCCUUAUAGAUUGUUUGCAAAGUGAGAACUGAAAGCAAAAAGUAAACAAGCAAAGUAAAAGUGAAAGUGGAAACGAUAGUUGUGAAUAGACCCGGGGCCGUAGUGUUCACUAGUGGCUUCUCUCAUGAAAGCAAGUAGACGGUGGGUGAACGAAUUAUUGUCGAGCAAUUGAUAGAACCGCGCAAAGUCGUGACGUUAUCUAAGGCAAUGAUUAUAUCUAUAGGCAUCACGUCCAAAACAAGUAGACCGAUAUUUUCUACAUCUACUACUAUUACUCCACACGUCGACCGCUAUCUAGCUUGCAUCUAGUGUAUUAAGUCCAAAAGAACAGAGUAACGCCUUAAGCAAGAUGACAUGAUGUAGAUGGACAAUCUCGUAUCUAUGAUAAAAGCCCAUCUUGUUACCCUUGAUGGCAACAACACGAUCCCUGUGUGCCUUGCUGCCCCUUCUGUCACUGGGAAAGGUCACCACAUGGUAUGAACCCAAAACCAAGUACUUCUCCCAUUGCAAGAAUCAUAGAUCUAGUUGGCCAAACAAAACCCAAGACUCGGAGAGACUUACAAGGAUAUCAAAUCAUGCAUAUAAGAAAUCAGCAAAGACUCAAAUAUAAUUCAUAGAUAAUCUGAUCACAAAUCCACAAUUCAUCGGAUCUCGACAAACACACCGACAAAGAGGAUUACAUCAGAUAGAUCUCCAUGAAGAUCAUGGAGACCUUUGUAUUGAAGAUCCAAGAGAGAGAAGAAGCCAUCUAGCUACUAACUACGGACCCGUAGGUCUGAAGUAGACUACUCACGGGUCAUUGGAGAGGCGAUGAUGAUGAUGUAGAAGCCCUCCAACUCCAAAGUCCCCUCCGGCAGGGCACCGAGAAGGGUCUCCAGAUGAGAUCUCGCGGAAACGUAAGCUUGCGGCGGCAGAAAAGUGUUUUCAUGGAUGCCCUCAUUUUUUCUGGAUUUUUAGGGAAUUUAUAGGCCAAAGAGCUAGGGCAGGGGAGCACCAGGGAGGCCACAAGCUUGGUUGCCGCGGCCCCCCCUGGCCGCCGCAACACGGGCUUCGUGGGCCCCGUGCCUUGGCCCUCAAGUCUCCCGAUCUUCUUCCGUUCUGUAAAAAAUUAUUUCGAGGAUUUUAUUCCGUUUGGACUCCGUUCCAAAAUCAGAUCUGAAAAGAGUCAAAAACGCAGAAAAAAUAGGAACUGGCACUUGGCACUGGAUUAAUAAGUUAGUCCCAAAAAAAAGAUAUAAAAGGUAAACAAAACAUCCAAAGUUGACAAGAUAACAACAUGAAACCAUCAAAAAUUAUAGAUACAUUUGAGACGUGUCAGAACCCAAAGCGGAAAAGUGCGUCUUCAUAUGAUACCCAAAGGAGACAGUUGGGUACACCUUCUAUCUCAGAUCCGAGGGCAAAGUGUUUGUUGCUAAGAACGGAGCUUUUCUUGAGAAGGAGUUUCUCUUGAAAGAAUUGAGUGGGAGGAAGAUAGAACUUGAUGAGGUUGUAGAACCUCUGCUCCCUCUAGAUGGUGGCUCGAGGCAGGGGGAAACUUCUGUCGAGGCGACACCGGUUGAGGAGGAAGUUAAUGAUGAUGAUCAUGAAGCUUUGGAUCAAGUUACUAUCGAACCUCAUAGGUCGAUAAGAUCAUGUACUACUCCUGAGUGGUACAGUAAUCCUGUCUUAUCUGUCAUGUUGUUAGACAACAAUGAACCUGCGAAUUAUGAAGAAGCAAUGGUGGGCCCGGAUUCCAACAAAUGGCUGGAGGCCAUGAAGUCCGAGAUAGGAUCUAUGUAUGAAAACAAAGUGUGGACUUUGGAAGUAUUACCUGAAGGUCGCAAGGCUAUUCAGAACAAAUGGAUCUUUAAGAAGAAGACGGAUGUAGACGGUAAUGUGAUAGUUUAUAAAGUUCGACUUGUGGCAAAGGGGUUUUUCACAAGUUCAAGGAGUUGACUACGAUGAGACAUUAUCACUGGUAGCAAUGCUUAAGUUCGUCCGAAUCAUGUUAGAUCGAUUAUGAAAUUUGGCAGAUGGAUGUCAAAACGGCGUUCCUUAACGGUUUUCUUAAGGAAGAGUUGUAUAUGAUGCAACCCAAAGGUUUUGUCGAUCCGAAGAAUGCUAAGAAAGUGUGCAAGCUCCAGCGAUCCAUUUAUGGACUAGUGCAAGCAUCUCGGAGUUGGAAUAAGCGCUUUGAUGAGGUGAUCAAAGCAUUUGGGUUUAUACAAGAUGUUGGAGAAUCUUGUAUUUACACGAAAGUGAGUGGGAGCUUUGUAGAGUUUCUAAUAUUAUAUGUGGAUGACAUAUUACUGAUUGGAAACAAUGUGGAGUUUUUAGAGAGCGUAAAAGAUUACUUGAACAAAUGUUUUUCAAUGAAGGGCCUAGGAGAAGCUGCUUACAUAUUAGGCAUUAAGAUCUAUAGGGAUAGAUCGAGGCGCCUAAUAGGACUUUGACAAAGCACAUACCUUGAUAAAGUUUUGAAGAAGUUCAAAAUGGAGCAGUCCAAGAAGGGGUUCUUGCCCGUAUUACAAGGUAUAAAAUUGAGUAAGACUCAAUGUCCAGUAACUGCGGAAGAUAGAGAAAAGAUGAGUAUCGUCCCCUAUGCUUCAGCCAUAGGGUCUAUCAUGUAUGCAAUGCUGUGAAUUAGAUCGGACGUCAGCCUGGCCAUAAGUAUGGCAGGCAGGUUUCAAAGUAAUCCAGGAGUGGAUCACUAGACGGCGGUCAAGAAUAUUCUGAAGUACCUGAAAAGUACUACGGAAAUGUUUCUCGUUUAUGGAGGUGACGAAGAGCUCGUCGUAAAGGGUUACAUCGAUGCAAGCUUUGACACUGAUCCGGAUAACUCUAAGUCUCAAACAGGAUACAUAUUUAUUCUUAAUGCGGGUGCGGUAAGCUGGUGCAGUUCCAAGCAAAGCGUCGUAGCAGAUUGUACAUGUGAAGCAGAGUACAUGGCUGCCUCGGAGGCAGCUAAGGAGGGUGUCUGGAUGAAGCAGUUCAUGACGGAUCUUGGAGUGGUGUCGAGCGCACUAAAUCCAAUAACUCUAUUAUGUGACAACACUGGUGACAUUGCUUUAGCAAAUGAACCAAGGUUUCACAAGAAGACCAGACACAUCAAACGAUGCUUCAACCUCAUCCGCGACUACGUCGAAGGAGAGGACGUAAAUAUUUGCAAAGUGCACAUGGAUCUGAAUGUAGUAGAUCCGCUAACUAAACCUCUUCGACUAGCAAAGCAUGAUCAACACCAGAACUGUAUGGGUGUUAAAUUCAUUCCAAUGUAAAUCACAUAGCGAUGUGAGACUAGAUUAUUGACUCUAGUGCAAGUGGGAGACUGUAGGCAAUGAUAAAAUAGUUAUUAUUAUAUUUCAUGUUUCAAGAUAAUCGUUUAUUAUCCAUGCUAUAAUUGUAUUGAAUGAAAGCAUAGAUACAUGUGUGGAUAUAUAGACAAAACAAUGUCCAUCGUAAGCCUCUAGUUGACUAGCCAGUUGAUCAAGGAUGGUUAAGGUUUUCUGACCAUAUGCAAAGUGUUGUCACUUGAUAACUGGAUCACAUCAUUAGGAGAAUGAUGUGAUGGACAAGACCCAAAUUAUAAACGUAGCAUGUGAUCAUGUCAUUUUGUUGCUAUUGUUUUCUGCGUGUCAAGUAUUCAUUCCUAUGACCAUGAGAUCAUGUAACUCACUGACAUCGGAGGAAUACCUUGUGUGUAUCAAACGUCACAACGUUACUGGGUGACUAUAAAGGUGCUCUACAGGUGUCUCGGAAGGUGUCCGUUGAGUUAGCAUGGAUCAAGACUGGGAUUUGUCACUCCGUGUGACGAAGAGGUAUCUCGGGGCCCACUCGGUAAUACAACAUCACAUAUAAGCCUUGCAAGCAAUGUGAUUCAGGUGUUAGUCACAGGAUCUUGUAUUACGGAACAAGUAAAGAGACUUGCUGGUAACGAGAUUAAAAUAGGUAUAGAGAUACCGACGAUCAAAUCUUGGGCAAGUAACAUACCGAAGGACAAAGGGAAUGUUAUACGGGAUUAUAUGAAUCCUUGGCACACAGGUUCAACCGAUAAGAUCUUUGUAGAAUAUGUAGGAUCCAAUAUGGACAUCCAGGUCCCACUAUUGGAUAUUGACCGAGGAGUGUCUCGGGUCAUGUCUGCAUAGUUCUCAAACCCGCAGGGUCUGCACACUUAAGGUUCGGUAACGUUUUAGUAUAGUUGAGUUAUAGGUGUUGGUGAUCGAAGGUUGUUCGGAGUCCCAGAGAGAUCACGGAUGUCACGACGGUUACCGGAAUGGUCCAAAAAUGAAGAUUGAUAUAUAGGAUGGUUUCAUUUGGUCACCGGAAAGAUUUCGGGCAUUACCGGUAGUGUACCGGGAGUGACGAAUGGGUCCUGGUUAUUCACCGGGAGGGGCCCACCCACCUGGGAGUGAGCCCAAUAGUCCUAGGGUGGUGCACCAGCCCUUAGUAGGCUGGUGAGACCAUCCCAAGUGGGCUAUGGCGCCAAGGAAAGAAAAACCAAAAGAAAAAAAAAGAGGGAGGUGGGAAGGAAGGAGUGGACUCCUCCUCCUCCAAACCAAAUUGGAGUGGGAGUCCAUCUCCUCCUUCGGUCGGCGCCCUUGGGGCUCUCUUGAGCCCCAAGGCUAGCCCCUCCCCUCCUCCUAUAUAUAUUAUAGGUUUUAGGGUUUUUGAGACACAACUUUGCCACGUGCAACUCAAACCUAUACCUCGUAGUUCUUCCUCUAGAUCGGAUUUCUGCGGAGCUCGGGCGGAGCCGUGCAUGAAUAUAUCAUCACCAUCACCGGCACGCCGUCACACUGUCGGAGAACUCAUCUACUUCCCCGUCUCUCUUGCUGGAUCAAGAAGGCGGAGAUCGUCAUAGAGAUGUACGUGUGCUGAACGCGGAGGUGCCGUCCGUUCGGUGCUAGAUCGGGACGGAUCAUGGGACGAUGGUGAUUUGAAUCACGAAGUUGUACCACUACAUGAACGCGUUUCUUAACGCUUCCCACUUAGCGAUCUACAAGGGUAUGUGGAUCCGAUCUCCCUCUCAUAGAUGAACAACACCAUGAUAGGUCUUCGUGUGCGUAUAAUUUUUUUUCCAUGCAACGUUCCCCAACAGUAUUCAUACAACUUCAAAAAGUGUGCAUGCUUUAUUGCCUCGUACAUCAUCAUUAACCUAGCCCAAUUCUGCUCAAACUCUUCUAGAGUUAAGCUGAAAUCAACACAAUAGUUGAAGUCAUCAGAGAGCCCUGGAUUCCUGCACAGCAGCCAAUCAACCUUUUCUUGAGCCUUUUUCAUGAUAUGCCAUCGGCAACAGCGAUGCACGGUAUUGAGGAAGAUUCUAACUAUUGACUGCUUCAUCACACCAUCUUGAUCGGUUUUGAAGUUAUCAGGAGGUUUUGCAUCCAUAGCGUCUAGGAUUGUUUGGAAUACCCAAUCAAAGCUUGAUGUCAACUCCUGCCUCACGAACGCGCAACCCAACAUAAAAUAUUAGCCAUGUCGGUUGAUUCCAAUGAAGGACGCGAAUGGCAUAUUGUACAUGUUGGUCAUGUAGGUGGUGUCAAAUGAUAUACAAUCAUGGUAUGCCUCCACAUAAGCUUUUCGAGCUAAGCCAUCCACCCAAAAUAUGUUGACAACUCUGUCCUCUUCAUCAUAUUUUACCUUAUAAAAGAAGUCUGGAUUAGUUUUCUGUAUCUCCUUGAAGUGCGCAAUUGUCUCAAUCAUGUCAUCCUCUUUGUGUGAUCUCUACGGAAACUUGUACACAAAUUUGUUAUUGCCUUUGGUCCGAAUGGUACCAUCAACUCAGAUCCAUAGAAUUCUGCCAUUAUAUGCAUCAUACAUCCUACAUAAUACAAAAAGAAAACAAUGUCUUUUUUUAGUUGCAUAAAUGCACACACCCACUUGCACAUCAAAAGGUCAUGUGUUGGCACAGAGGAUAAGUGCAAAAAAUGGACAGCUAGCUGCACCUUAAUAACUAACACAUCCAGUUGAACACAUGAUAUUGUUUAGUUGCACAAUGAAGGUAUUCUAGUUGCACAAAUGUACCAUAUUAGUUGCACAAUAAUAUAGAUGUGCAGCAACCUGGUGCACAAGUAAUAAAGUUGCUAUUAGGAAUUUUUGUAGUUGCACAAUGAAGGAUUCAUAGUUGCAGAGAAGUGCCAUACCACAACAACGUGUGAUCCAACAUGUGUAGUUGGACACGGGACCAUUUUGAGUUGCACAUUGAAGCCAUUUCAGUUGCACACCAGUAACAUAUCAGUUGCACACUACACUGCCUAGAUUGAAACUUAAUUCUGUAAGGGAUAUAGAAACACACAUCUAGUCACGUUGCAGUUAUACAAGAUACGCAAAAACUCUUUUCAUCCAUAGAAAUUCCUUGGUGAGAUCUCAAGUAUUUGUACAAUGAAGGUUUGUUCAUCAAGGGAUGGUUGUGGUCACGAACAAAGUGUGUCACCUCCCAGCGCUCAUCUUUCAGCUUCACCAACAUUUUUGCCUUGCGUCCAGUCUGCCUUAUUGUCUCCCGUUUUUGUUUUUUCUUUCUCCUUUUCGGAUCAGUCUCCUCUUUGCUGAAUAUUGGCGGUUCUUCUUCCAUUUCCUCAUCAUCAACAACAACUAUUGGAUCUGGUAUAGGAUCCAGGACAGGACCAGCCUAUGCUCCUCCAUCAUCAACUUUGGGUUUCUUACACUUGUUGCAACAAAACUGUUGUUUACGAGUUCAUUUGUGCAUUUUGUCCACCUCGAGGUGUUCAUAUUGAUAGGGAAACCCAACUGUACGGCAUAGCUGUUGUAAUGUUCAUAUGCAAUUUGAAGGUUGUCAAACCUCAUGCUAACAUAGGGUUCUAUGGGCUAAGGCCUAGCCUCAUCCUCGCCUUCUUCUCCUUGUACAACACCGUCAACAGCCCCAGCUCCUAGUUCAGUCCUGGUUGGACCAACAACAUUUGUCGUGGUGCCCGUGUCAUUUAGAGUAUGGCUCUCUGAGUGCAACGACACCACUACAGGGGCACCACAGGAUGAUGACUGCCCUGCCACAUGUUCAUGGCCCAUAGGAUUUUGCCCAAUACUUGGUUGUGUAGAGCGCACAUUUUCUGUCCCAUAACCAGUAAUACCUCCUGGCGGUAUGCUAGCUUGAUGAUGGUCCAUAUCAUAAGGAAGUUCAUUUAGAUCAGGAGGCAACUCAUUAAGAUCAAUCAUCUUUCUUUUGCGGCCGUUACUCAUGCCCUCCAAAUAAAAGAGAUGGAAUGGAAAUGGUCAGUUUCAAAUAACCUACAAACAUUCUGUUUUCAUGCAACGACACAAUCAUAAGUAGUUGCACAUCACCAGUAUGAGACUGUUUAGUUGCACAAUCUCUGUUUUUGUUUGCACACAGUUAUUAUGUUUGUUGCAUAAUUUGCAGUAAAUAAGUUGCAUGGAUAGAAAAUGGGACUUUUUACUUUACUGUUUUUCUCACAUUUUUUUGGUUGUUUGCUGCGAUGAUGUGCAGGUUUGUUUUGACAAGGAGCUGAUGUAGAUUUUUCUGCACAUAUGAUGAUGCUACAAUUGGGAUGGACAAAUCAAGAUCAAAGAAGAAACAAGAUUUUACUUUUAGUAUAUCGAAAAUAUAUUGCACUUUAGUUACAUGUAUCAGAGAUUUUUUUGUGUUUAUUUGCAAACAACCUAGUACCAAGUUUGCUAGAAUGCAUGUUUAGUUGGCUAGAAUACAUAUUCAGUUGGACUAUAGUGCAUGUUUAGUUGGCUAGAAUACAUGUACAGUUGGACUAUAAUGCAUGUUCAGUUGGCUAGAAUCCAUUCUUUUGUGCAACUUAUCCAUGCGUGUGCUUGUUGCACACAUCCACUGGAAGUUGGCUUUUUAAACCAUGUUUAGUUGCACAAGCAUUACAACAAGUUUUUUUCUACUAAAAUUCCCGUGAGCUUAGUUUGUUGGACAGGUCCAGGAGUUGGUUGGCUUGAAAACAUUGUAUAGUUGCACAUACAAAGUGUAUCUGUUAGGCACAGAGAUCUUGUGAUCAAAUCAUGGAGAGAUUUUUGAGAUCCAGAUGGAAGUAGGAAGGGAAAGUGAAGGAGGAUUGAUCUGGUAGCAAAAGGAUUUCUUACCUGGCUGAUAGUGUUGCCUAGUAAGCCUCUUUUCUCUUCUUUCUGGUUUUAUCACUAGAUUUCUUACCUAGAUUGACUGAUUUGCCAUGGCAACUCUACCAACUCUACAGGAUCUUCUCAGCCUGGUGCAUGGCCUGGGAUCCUUGUCCCUUUUCCACCUUUCUUUUGUGGCGAAGAAGCUGGUGGAGCAGCGGAGAAGAGAGGAUGUGCAAUGGGUACGUGCGAGGAUAAGGGCGAUGAGAAUCACGUGGGUGGGGUGGGUGACAACUAUGGUUGGCUUGUUCGGGGGUGGGACGACCAGUUGUUGCAGAGAACGGGCGGCCGCUUCCUGGCCAGGAAGAAUCUUUCCUUCCUCGGACCACGGGGACAUGCACUUUCCUUUCCUAGCCGGCCGCUCGCGAGUGCUAGCCAGCCAACGGCCGCCAGCUAGACGCGUCCCAAUUUAAAUUCUACUUUUAUUUGGGAUGGUGAUCCUCCCAGCUUUAUGUACAUUGUGUAUGAUGUAACUUUGAUUUAGGUUUAUUAAUAGUGUGCCAAGUGGCUUUCCCCUCAAAGAAAAAAAGGUUUCAUCAUUUGUCAAAUUGACACCCUAGCCACCUGUCUGGAGGGAGUACUGUUUUAUUCAUUUCAUAUGCCACCGUUCCGCUUUACAGUCAGCGCCUUCCAAACUCAGAAAAUGCUAACCACAUACUCCCUCCGUUCCUAAAUAAUUAGGAAAACUAACUAGUUCUUACCAACUACAACUAUAUAGGAACGGAGGGAGUAGAAUGUAUAACCUUCAAAACAGCUGGAUUAAACCGUUUUCAGAGACACCACCACCAGUCGCAGCGUCGCCUUGCUCGGGCGACACGGGGGAAUCUAGCGUGGCCGCCGUCCACAGCUCUCCCCUCCCCCACAUUCCCGCAUCAUCGCCGCCGUCGCACGGCUCUCCUCUCCCCCACAUUCCCGCAUCGUCGCCGCUGGAGGGGCCGCCGACGAAGCCCACGCGUGCCCCCAGGGAAGGUGGCAGUGGAGUGUUUUCCCCUUUCCGCGGUGAUGCACGCGCACGCGGCACCGUCCCAGAGGCACAGACGACCGCAUGGGUGCGCGAGAGGCGUGUGCAUGGUGAGUGGCCAGAUCCUUGCAGGGUUUGGUCGGAUCUGGCUUCUGCGCCCUCGGUGGCCGCGGCGGUAUGGCGUGCGACGCGAUGAGGCGGGGCGGCCAUGGCCAGGGGCGCGGCAAGGUGAGGAGGAGGCCGCACACGGAGGUGCGCGGCGCGAGCAAGGGCGCGGAAGUGGCUACAGCAACACGGGGUGGCGGCGCGUGCAAGGGGCGGUGGAGCUCUCGCCGAUCUGGCGAGGUGUCUAGGGCAUGAGGAGCGGCGGUUUGGGCGAUGCCUAGCAGGGAGGCUCGGCAGGCGCCCGCUCGAGGUCCGGGCAGCUCGUGUGUGCGGUGGGAGGGCCGAGGCGAGUCGUGGUGCCGCUGCUCCGGCAAGGCGCUUGGGGAGGGGCUCCGACGUCAUGUACGGUGUCGGGGACGAUGGGCUUCUUCGUCUUCGAGGUGGCUCGGUGGUGGUGCCAGGUGGUCGCCGUGGUGAGAUGAUGUGUAGAUGUGGUGGUGAUGUUUGGUGAGCUUGUCGACGUCAAUGCAAGAUGAUGUGCGGCUGAGGUGGUGUAGAGCUAGGUGAAAACCGUCUCUUGGCCUCGUGUCGUGACGAGCUAUAGCGACGGUUGUGGCCGUCGUUGACCUUCAUGAAGGCAUCGUUGCUUUGUUCUCCCACCCCUCCUGUGCGGAUCUGGCCAUUUCGGCCUCUCCGGAAGAAAUCUUGAUCUGCGAUCGAACGGUGGCGGCGCCUUGGUGUCGUAUUCCCAGUUAGGGGCUUCGUCUUGGGAGCUUGGCGUCGACGAGCGGGACCGGUGGAUGACGUUUGGCGACGGGUGUGGCGUCCAGGCUUCUGUGGCAACGGCGAUGGUGGGGGCGAUGUCGGCGACGCGGCAUUGGUUGCGGUAGUCGGCUCUUCUUCGGUGUGUCCAUGGUUUUGUCUCAGUUUGUUUCUUGCUAUGGAGUCAAAGGUGCGGCAACGAGGCCGUGUGGUAUACGAUGACUGGCUGCAGGUAGCCCGUUCUGCGAUACCUUACCUUGUCCUACAACGCUCUCCAUCUCCGUCAGAGUUGCGUCAUCUGGCCGCAGGUGGUUCAGGUGGUUGCGAUUUUGACAUAGAUCUUCAUGCCUCUUUAAUGUGGGUUGAGUCGAGAUCGCCUACGGCAGGAGUGAUGACGAUGACAUCUGCAUGCUAGGUGGUUGAUAUUUUGACAUAGAUCUUCAUGCCUCUAGUGUGGGUUGAGUCGACGAUCGCUAGUGUGGGUUGAGUCGACGAUCGCCUACUGCAGGAGUGAUGACGAUGACAUCUGCAUGCUAGGUGGUUGAGAUUUUAACAUAGAUCUUCAAACCUCCUUAGUGUGGGUUGAGUCAACGAUCGCUAUAGAUCUUCAAACCUCUUUAGUGUGGGUUGAGUCAACGAUCGCCUAUGACACGAGUGACAACGAUGACAUCUGCAUGUUGUCUCACUGAUACCCUCUUUGAAGUGGCGUCUCAGUUUUGCAUAAUUAACCAAACAAUCUGGUUUUCACUGGGUUUUCGCUAAUCAAGUAAGCAACUAUUUUCUUCUUCUUAAUGAAUGCAGGAUAACCGCCAUUACAAAAAAAAAACAGCUGGAUGAAACUGAUUCAUAUUCAUGUUUUUUUGGAAAACCUUUUAAAUCAUGUUAACUGAAACAAAAACUGAACAAUAAAAUUAUCUGUUGACAACCCAGCGGAACAAAAAGAGACAAAAGGCCAACGGAAUUAGAGUCCAGAAAACGCGGGCAACACCAAGCUCUUGGCUGGAACAUAAGCAUUGUUUUACACAACCGGACUCCAGAGCCUAUACACCAAACUACCAAUGAACCUAGAUUUGUCUUCAUCAAAGAGCAGCACCAUACCAUGCUUGACUCCAAGUAAUCUGGAAAACACAAAACAAAUAUAUAGGUAAAUAAGAAUGCUAACACAAGGAAAUGUAAAUGAACAGCCAUGACGAUUACUUUGGCGAUAAACCCUGUGCACGAAACACUUUUUGUGAGUUUUUCACAGCCGCUUAACAUGCAAACACCAUAAGCCCUCAUGUGUGUUCCAACUUACACGUGAUGUGGUUCACACUAACAAGAGAGCUUCACAAAACCAAAAACCAACCUGUCAUAUAAUUCUAUCAUCACCGGAACAACUGACAUGAGAAUUUCACACUUUUUUAUGUAGAAUCCAGUAACCAUAAAUCCAUAAUGUCAGUUUCUAGAUACAAGUCAGCUUUAACAAGACAACAGAUGCUCAAACCUCAAAGUCCGGAGUCUGAGGUCUGGACACUGAUUGUCAAGUCAAUAGCUCUCAUGAUGGGAGCACGAAAAGUCAGUAACACAUCUCUAACGGACGGUUAGUACACAAAUAAAAUCAGUGUUACCACCUUAUGAAGGCUUGUAUCACAAGAAAUAGACAAUCAGCAUGUGCACUACAUGAUCAAGGCUGAGACACAUGAAUAUAUGAUAAUCAGAGAGCAAAUUUUAACAUAUUUGAAACAAAUUCCUUUCAUGAAUGCAGGAAAGAUUGGCAAUUAUACUUCAGCCUGUGGUGAAAGAGAAAGGAGGCGACCAGGAUCUAAUGGCAAACUAUCUCACAGCCCACUCCACAAUCUACCAAGCAAACAAUAUUAUUUCAUCACAAGCUCAACAAAUUUAAGCACGAAAAGCUAGUACAGGAGAAGAUCUUCAAACGCUUCCAGUGAAAAAAAAAAACUAAUAUCAAGCCAGCAUAACACCAGACAAAAGAUUUUGAGCAGUUCCUACUCACAACAGAAAACUAUGAAUCAGAAACCUAUGUAUCUAAGAUAAGCACAUUGCCACACAUUCUAAACCGGCAUACAGCCAUACACAAGAGUCGGCCAUUAGAAUUUAUCAGAUCAGAUCACAGAGGACCUGAUAACUAAGAAUUUGACCGAACAGAAGAUGAGAUGCAUCAUCAAAAAAUUAAAUCAUUAGAGUUUCCUGGCCUACUAGAAAGAGGAAGCAACAGGCUGUUAUAACCAUCCAUGAGCAUUCCCAUGCUCUCCACUGAUAAUGCUCAUGUAAUAAUUGUGUUUGCGGGGCGGCGAGCCAAUUAGACAACACAGAUACGCAGAACACUCAUUAUCUAGGAUGUCCAGAGGAUCUAUCAAUCAACACUGACUAAUAUCUCCUAGCUUCCUAGUCGCUAUUGUAAGUCAAGCCUUGGUCUCUCAUCAUGCAAAAUCGCUAAACAUACAAUUACUUGAGCAUUGCUUUGCACAAUAAGGUAGGCUAGAUCUCUAAUUACAUGUUCAAAAUGGGUGAACACUUGAGCAUAUCAGAACAUCUGCAUUGGUUCCACAUAGUAAUAAGACAAUAACAAUAUAACAUACAAAAACACAUCAUCAAUCCCCUAGACAAAUCUAUCAUUGUAACCUAAAAUUUGACUUUAAGAGGCCAAAUUCCUUACCUAAGGUCUUACAUCAGAGGUAAGCAGGGUUGCUGAGGAACGGCAGUGCAGCGAGAGACAUAAGCAUCUCCGAGGUACCAUUCUUGGCGUGCUUUACCCUCGAAAGUUGAAGCUGCAUGUCCACGAAAGCCUGCAUCCGCUUGAGCUCCAGAUCCUUGAGGAACUUGAUCCGCUGCUUCUCCAUCUCCUCGGCAUGUCUCUGCUUGGCAGCCUCCAUGCGCUCAUACAUAUCAGCGAAUGUCUCCAUUGCCAUCGCUAGCUCCCCAAAACCUCCAGCCCCGCCCCUCUUCCUUUUGUUGCUGCCGCCACCUCCAAGAGCAGGAGGACCGUUACCACCAGAGUGAGACGACACUGAGCGCGAGGCCGAUUGCUGCGAGCCCUCGUCGUCGUCAUAGUUAAUGUUGUUGUUGUAGCCAUCUUCCGAGUCGGAAUCCGCGGCGGCCGCAGCGGCGGCGGCCUUAUGGAAGAGGUCAGCGGCCGGGAGGUUGGACCCGCGGCGGUAGUUGGGCAAGGGGAGCGCCAUCGGCGGUGCUGGCGAGGGCGGCGACGGGGAGCGAGAGGGCGACAUGCGCCUCCUCAGCAUGGGAAGCGCGCGGGGCGGGGAGGGCUUCUUGGCGGCGGCGGCGGCGGAGAGGGUCGGGCCGACGAGGACGUCGAGCUGGCGGAAGAAGGGCCAGGGCGAUGGCCCGCCCCGCGCCCGCUCGGCCUUGUACUUCUUCUUGAGGGUAUCGACACGGUUCUUGCACUGGAUGUCGGUGCGCGGGGGCCGGCGGCGCGCGGAGGCCCCCGGGCGCGUGUUGACGGCGUCGGCGACCUCCCGCCACUGCGGCUGGCGAAGGCUGCCGCGGUUGAGGUCGAUGUACCGCGACCCCCAGGCGUCGACGAGGGCGGCCGUCUCGCCCUCGCUCCAGCAGUCCUCCCGGUACGGGAGGUUGGGGUUGGGCGGCGGCAGCUUCCCGUCCAUGGCUCCCGCCCAGAUCUCUCUCUCUCAGGAAACCCUAGAAGUCUGGACAAAUUUCCCCUUACGGUGGCUGGAGAUGGAUGGAUGCGAGUCGGGGGCCGCUGGCGACGAGGGGGGAGGGGAAUAAAAGAGGGGAGCGGAGGGGCGGCGAGGUGGGGAGCGGCGGCCCGUGGGCCGUGACCGUGAGGGAGGCGGACGCGGUGGGCACGUGGAUGGGAGGGGAGCGGGCGGAGGCAUUGGGGAACGGCCGCCGUUGGAUGGGUGGGGGCGGGUUUGACUGACCGGCCGUCGGGGGUGGAGCCGAAUUAAAAUCGGAACGGAAGGCACGGUUGGCCGGCGCAGCACGUCGCGGUGCGGGACGCAGGACGCGGAUGCCGUGCCCAAGGGGGGCUCCAUACGUACGGGACGCCUCGGCUGGCCGACGUUCGGUCGGCGUGCGCUGCGUCUCUUUGGUUUUCGGGCGCCGAAAAGGAGAGAGAAACAGUCCGAGCGAGCGAGCGACGGAGGCGGGGUGGCGACGGGGUUCGAAGACUUCGGGGAUGGAUGGUCAUCGAUGGAUGCGUCGAGGUGGGACCGCCGUGUUUUGGGUGGAACGAUUUCGUUUUUGUUGUAAAACUAGUUUUAAGGUCCUGUUUGAAACCACUCAGAUUAUAUAAUCCAGUUUUUUAUAAUCUAUUAUGUCUUUAAUUCAAAAGGUUGAACUAGCAAAAGGGCCCGUGCGUUGUAACAGGAGAAAAAAUACCACAUGUUUUUAAUCUUUUUAUAAUCAUUUUGAUUUAUUAAAAUAAUAAGCUAACUAACUAAUGUAGUCAGUUCUAUCCUAUUUUGUUGAGAAAUCAACCCGUCCAUUGUUAAUUCCACCAUGAUGAGAAAUUGAACGGAACAAUCAAAGCAAAACAAAGAGUCUACGUGAAUUGAUCAAUGGACUGUUAUCUUAUUUCACUCAUGGGGUAGAGAAUAUGGGAUCAGAUGAUAAACUGAAGAUGGUGUUCCAUUCUCUCUCUCUAUAACAAUGCAAUCUUACAUUCAAUACAUUCAUUCAUCAGCAAACAAAUUCCCAUAAAACAAAAUCUCUUGCCGGUGCUUGGCACACGGUUGGAGGCAUGGGGAGGGAAUCUCACCACAUGAUGAGUUCCUGCCGGAGGAGAGGAUACAAUGAGGGGAGCAAGGGUUAGGCGCCUCUAUCUGGUCAUAAGGAGUCGCCGUUGCCGCGCCAUAACCUCGGAGUUCCCCGUGUGAGCCAUGGAGGCCUGCCUCCACCUGCAAGUACUUCGCUCUGCUGCGCCUUAUCCGCGCACCGCCGCCGUUCUGCAUUGAGCAGACGCAUCAUCCCAAGUUGUUGUAGUUGUCGCGUUGAUUUGAUCCAGAAGAUGUGCUCGAGCACCGAAAUGGGGGCAGCAAGCGGGCAGAGGUACGACCGCGAAGGCGGGUGGUUGAGAUCGACAGCAGUGGUGAUAUCUCAACCAUUAUAACGGCUUGUUCAUUACUCCGAAUGUCAUUCGGAAAUAACUAACUUCGCACACCAAAUAUUCUAACGCUGGUAUACCACUUUGUUUCAUCGCAAAAAAAGGUAUACCACUUUGUUUCGCAUUGCUCACAUUCUUUCUCCGCAUUUGAUCUCAAACUUGACAUCACAACCUUAAUGACCCAUAGUUGGUCACUUACAAUUUUGCCGUGACCAAAAACAAAAAGGGAUAAAUGUGAUGUGGCCAAGCAGUCCGAGUGAGACAAGGGUUAACAAGCAUAACAAAAAAGAUUGCUCGGCUGCUGGUUGUGUGGUCAAACCAUUCGCUCCCGCUCCAUCUUCAGCUAGCGGCAUCUAGUGACAUCCGUCGAAGCCGGCUGCUCCCUGGCGGCUGACACAUAUCUUUGGAGCGUAGGAACCUGAGGUGCACCGCCUCCAUCUGCUCCCGCUGACGGGUGGCCAGCUCCUCCAACAUGAGUCGCCGCACCACCGCCUCUCUGUACGACGGCGGCGUCCAAGGAGACAUGCCGCCAGAAUACCUCCUGCCGCUCCUCCUCCUCCUCACCGGCGUUGGCGGCGCAACGUCGACGUGAACACCUAGCAGGAUUGCCUCGUAGGAGCACGCCGAGGCGCAGAGGCACAAAACCUUCGCAAGCGCUAACACCGCGGCCUUCGGGGAAGACCAGCAGCGCGGCCUCCCAUCCGCUGCCGCCGCAGUCGGCAGCGGCGGCACCACGGCAGGCUGCAUCCACAGGUGCACGCAAUCGAACGCCCACCCGUAGCACGACCGCGUCUUGCCGGCGCUGCCCCCGAGCGCGUUCCUGCAUCAGACGUGCGCACGAUCAAGGCCCGUGCGUUGCAACGGGAGAAAAAAAUAUCACACGCUUUUAAUCUUUUUAUAAUCAUUUUGAUUUAUUAAAAUAAUGAUGGAGCGCGGGUUGAAUAAUAAAAAUUACAGGGGCUUUUUUAUAAAAAUACCGCGGUGGGUUUUCCGACGGAAGCAAUAGCCUCUUUAUUAUUAGGUAUAGAUAUAGAUUAUGUCUUUAAGGCCCUGUUUGGAACCACCUAGAUUAUAUAAUCUGGUUUUUAUAAUCUAUUAUGUUUUCAAACAGGACAAUUUAUACUAUAGAUUUUAAAAACUAGAUGACUAGAUUAUUAAAAACUCAUAAUCUACUCUACCCGAGCUAAAAUCAGAUUAUGGAUUACUAAUGACCUAUUAUCUUUGUAAACUUGAAAAUAAUUACCUACUGCCAUCGCCACCGUCUUAUUUUUAUACAGGACAAACAUGUUAUUGUACAAUGUAAAACCUGAAUUGCAGUUUAUAUAAUCUGACCUCCAAACAUACCCACGUGGAUUAUUUUUACAAACCAGAUUAUAUAAUCUAUCUUCAUAAUUCAUAUUAUUAUAAUCUAUUGUGGUUCCAAACAGAGCCUAAAUAGGACAGAUUAUGGUGUAGAUUAUAAAAACUAGAUGGAUAGAUUAUUAAAAACUCACAAUCUACUCUAUCACAGCUAAAAUCAGAUUAUGAAUUACUAAUGAUCCAUCAUCCUUGUAAAGUUGUAGAAAAUUACAUUCCCGCCACCGCCACCCUCCUCUUUUUUUUAAAAAAAUGCCGAGGACAGAGAGGUCAUUAUGCAAUGUAAAACCUGGAUUGCAGUUUAUAUAAUCUGGCAUCCAAACAUGCCUACCUAUAUUAUUUUUAUAAAUCAAAUUAUAUAAUUUAUCUUCAUAAUCUAUUGUGGUUUUAAACAGGACCUGAGUUAUUAUUUUCACACAUAUUGAGUCUUUCAUUUAUUAAAUUAUAGACUUAUCUUAUCUUAAUAUUAGUUAUGUUACUCAUAGUAUGAGUAAUUAGCUAAGUUAUUCAAAAAAAAUCAUUAAUUAGUUAUCACAUCAUAUUUUUUUUUACUUAGAUGGCAAAUAUGUUACUCUCAUUUUGGAUGGUCUUAACAAUUUUGUUAAAGCACAUCUAGAUAUGAUAUAAAUAUUACACAUCUAAGUCAUAUAUCAUUGAUCUUACAUGGAGACUCGUGUAGGUAUUUUUUUAUAUACUUGAUCUAGGUUGCCCGUAAUGAGAGUAUCAUAUAUAGUAUCAUGCAUGCCAAGUAGGCAAUUUCGAUGAGGUGACAUAUAAUUAAAUGAAGCAAGAGAGGGUUGAAUAUCAUAUCAUGACACCUAUCAUAUUAAAUAAUGUGUUACUAUGUGUCUUGCAUGUCAAUAAAUUAACUACUCUAUGAUACUAACAUAUGAUACUAUUCAUUACGGAUGUGGUAUCAUACACUAGUAUCAUAUGUAUGAUACUAGUAUAUGAUACUACCCAUUACAACCAGCCUUAGUCAUUUAGAUAUGCAAUAAUUAUGUCAAAGUCUACAUGUGUCCUGGACACCCAAUACAAAUAUGCUAAAAAUCUUACGUUAGAAUUUCAUUCAUGGCAAAUUCAAUAUUUUCAAUGAUAAUUUAUAUUGCUUAGAGCAUCUCCAAUAGAACAUGCAAAUGGAGACAUAAAAAUAAGAGGUGUAAAAUUUACAUGUCCAAUGACUACAACUAGUUCAAAUGCCUCCUACUCGAAGAUGAACUACUCCUCGUCGGAGCUCUUGAACUGGUCCCACAACUCGCCCUUUCUCGGGUCGUCGCACCCCCCGUCCUCCUCCAAGGACUCGACAUGGAUCACCGUCAGAGGCUGGCCUCAUCCUCCUCCUCCUCCUCCUUCUUCUUCUGCUCGACAUCUCGCUUCUAGAAGAAUUGUUGCUCUGCCUGAACAUACUUCGGAUGCUCCUGCGCAAACCUCCCCAUCACCGCCUCGUCGCUAUCACCGGGACUAAUGGCAAUGACGGGCCUCUUCUUUGCCUUGAUCUCCUGCAUGCAAAUUCCCUCCCCCGGCACGAGCAAUUACGCAUCCGCUUGGGUCUCGUUCUAUGGGAAGUUGAGGCCCAUCCUCGGCCUUCCGGCAUGCCACACCGACAUGUCGUAGGCACGCGCGGCCUCAUGUAUGGCGGGGUAGGUGCCGAACCAAAAGUGGUGGCCGGCGUCGCUGAACUGCACCUCGAAGUUGCCGGAGGGCUUCGCCCUCAUGCUGAAGAAUCCCGUCUUGCUCUUCGGGGUCUUCCUCGGCGACAUGGAGGGGCAACGGGGAGGGGGUGGUGCGACGGGGCGGGUGGUGUGGCGUGUCAGCGGAGGUAUCGAAUCGGGCGUCGCAACAAGGUGGGGCGGUGGGGCGAUGCGGCGACGAGGUGACAGGGCGGCGGAGGUGCCGAAUCGGGCGGCGGGAGGAGUCAAACCGGGCGGUGAAGGGGCUGAAUCAGAUGGUGUGGCGUUUGGCAGUGAGCGAUGGCAGACGACUGUUGAAACCGAUAGCGGGGCCGCCACCAGCUUCGGAUCUGGCACUAGGCGGUUGCGGCGUGCGAGGUGGGAGCUCGGGCGGGUGGGCGGUUGCAGUGGUGCGGCGGGAGGUGAGAGGAAGAAGGGAGAAGUGACAGUUGGCGGUUAGCGCGCGACUCGCAAAUAUACGAUGACGAUGCUACCCUACUCAUGUGGUGCUCUUCUCUCUUGCGUAAGGUACAAGGCAUGAAUGUUCAACCCUCAACCUGGUGCUUCACUCCUAGCUUAUAUUGAGUGAACUAUGAGGGGUGUUGUAAUGGGUUGGAAUGAAUGUUAUUUAUGGCCUCAUGUAUGGCCAAGUACUUCAUGGCAUUUACUAUGGGUAAUUGUCAUAUUUAACUAGAUUAUACCACUCUUGGAUAAUUUUUGCCUUUAAGACAUCAUGGGCGAGAGGUAUAUGCUACUUGUUAUGGAUGUUGGGAUUCCCCGAAGAGGAAGGGUGAUGUAGUAUAAUAACAUAUAGUAUUUUUCUUGGUUAAGAGUCAAGAUUUAUCAAAUCACAAGAAGACAACACACAAACAACGUCAACACUACGUGCACACACACAAAGCAAAUGCUCGGACCCAACAAAAGCAAGAGGGUUGUCAAUCCCCUUCUUCGUGUCGAUUUCAAGGAUUGAAUGUGUUAGUAUUAGGUAUGUAAAUAAAAUAAAAUAAAAAGGGAAAUAAAACAACAAGAAAUUGUAUGAUUCUUAGUAAUAAUGGAAAAGUGGACCCCGGGGGCAUAACAUUCACUAGAGGCGUCUUUAUCAUAAGCAUAGAGUGAGUUGGUAAACAAAUUACUAUUCGGCAAUUGCCAAGAUAGGGCAUUGUUAUGAUGAUAAUUGGAAGUGCAAUGGCCGGUGUCAAAACCGGCUGAUCUCAAGUAGGGGGUCCGAACUGUGGAUCUUGGAUCAUUGGGUAAAAAGGGACGAAGGAGGCGAUGUUUUACCCAGGUUCGGGCCCUCUUGAUGGAGUUAAAACCCUACGUCUUGCUCUUGUUGUAUUGACGAAGUUGUACAGAUUAUAGAGUUGAUCUAUCUCGAGAUCGGAUGUUGUGGUCUAACACCCUAACCAUAAUGAUCGUAAGUCCCCUAUGAACUAUAGCCCCCUGGUUUAUAUAGAUACCAAGGGUGUUAGGGUUUACACAACGACCAUUACAUUAAGGAAAGGAAUAUACGGAUCAACACGUUGUCUUGGAUUGCACGCCAAGUCUUCGAAAGAGUCCAUCUUGAUAUUAGUAUCUUCAAUGAUGGUCGAACAACCUAGGAGUCUGGCCCAUAAGAACGGAUAAGUGACCCGAAGACCCCCUAAUCCGGGACUCCCUCAGUAGCCCCUAAACUAGCCUCUAAUGACGUAGACUAGGCUUUCCAUCUUCACACUCUCACAAUCUUCGGCUUGCGGAGCGAGUUCCACCUUAUGUUCGGCUAACCCCAGUUUGUAUCGUUCUUCAUCUGCGAUCAUUGGAACAUUGUCGGGCCCACAAAAAUGAACAUUUUCCCCUGCAAGGUUAACGACCUCUUCGAUUCCCGUGCGCCAAUGAAAAAUAGGCGGUUACUUCCCAAGAGAAAAAAAGAUAAGUUUCUUAUCAUAUAACAUGUGCGUGCCUGUGGCACCCCGAUAGAGGGCCGACGCACGCCUGUUCCCAGGAUAAGACCGGACGCACGCCAAAAACAUGAUACAUCAAUUCCAGGCAAAAAAGGCUUUAUUAAUAAAAUGGAGUAUUACAAUACUGUUGCUUACAACAAUAUUACAUAACUCCAAAGCUAACUAAAUGGCAGCAGAGGUCUUGAAUCAGCAGCGACGACGUCUUUGGCUGAGCUCCAAAACUCGUAGGACUGGCUGGGUUACGAUCUAGCACGACGAGUCUUCUCGUGCAGCUGGCCAUGUGCAAGGCCAGGUGAGUACUUUGAAUGUACUCACAAGACAACCGAAUACAUGGAAUCCAAACAAGCAGAUAACAAAGCAAACACUAUGAUAUGUAAGAAUUAUUCUAAGGAUGGCAUUGAAUUAUUAGGAGAAUAACAUAACAUGGAUCAAGCAUGUAAUCUACCUAACUAGCAUUGCAAAGAUCACAACAAGUGUUUAAAUUACUUACUGUUACCGAAUGUCAACUUACUCUCUUUUGGGUUGUUCCACAACCCUCUACAUACUUGUAAUACAACCUGAACGAAUCCAAAUCACCUCCAAAUCAUGUAGUCAUAUGGCUACUCAUCAUAUAGCCAUAUCUUGGCUAACAUAUCAUAUCUCUGACAUCCUAUGAUGUCCACAUAAGAUGAGUUCUUCCAUCAUUACUAAUACUGAUAUGGUUGACCAUCUACUGAGGUCUGGGCGGGCUGUCCAAUACCAUGGACUCAGCUAUUCGAAUAGGUUUGACACUUUGCAGAGGUUGCACACUUUACCCACACUAUGGAGCAGUGACCUCUUGAUCCCAUUCGGGUGGACCAGUGUUGCUCCAACGAAACUUGUGUGACCCGUGACUCUCUCAUCGUACCAGCGACAUUCAUCCUCCUCCAGAGUCCUACCCUGGGUGGCCCUGUGUCCUCAUGACACCUGCCACCGUCGUGGCCAAACUAAACUGUCCCAAAAGGGGACGCCGGCACAAACAACUCAACUAGCUCACAGGGUUAUCACCGCCUACCUGAUCAGGGUAGCACACGUGCAUAACCCUCCCUCUUUGGAAGUACCGGUGAAAGAGCACGUAAUCAGACCAAGUCAAGGCCGUCCCAUAUCGGCAAAUGUGGUUGCACGAGUAAGCACGGACAGGUGACUCAAGAUCAACCAACUAGGUUGCAUUCGUUAACUCACUCAACCUAUCCAUCACCGUACCAUUACUUUGACGAGUAUAAGUGAUGAACCAUAGUGUAGCAAACAGUAGUGCUCAUAAUCAUGACAUGAGAUCAAACCCUAAUAUUAUCAUGUCAAAAUAAUUAUUAGCAUGUUAAUAUGCAAACAAUGCAUGGUAUUAGAUGGAAAGUGAUGCUAGUAGUUACUACCAAUAUCAUCACAGGUGUAUGCAAAUGCAGGCUAACACGUGAUACAAAUAAACACAUAGAGUGCAAGAAAAUUCAUCACGCAAGUUUGAAGCUCAUGAUAAGAGGUUGGCUUGCCUGGGGGUCGACGAAUACGCCGGGAAGAAGCGCGAUAAAAUGCCGGGAAGGUUUGCCGGAGAGGUUUCCCUCUCAAAAGGCUCAAUCGGAGGGCAAUGGCAAAACAAUCAUUUCUACUAUGCAAACACAUUAUGGAAAUCAUACUAUCGAAACGGGAUCGACGAGACAAAAGCGUGGGCGAUGGUUUUACCUCAAUUAGAGUUACAGUCGCAAAUAUAUGAGCGUUCAUUCGUUAAGCUAUAAAACAAACAAAAAUUGUCCAUUUCAGUGCUUAACGGGUGAACGUUCACUAUUUUAUGGCUUCGGUGGUGGGCUAAAACAGAAGGCGUACUUCCGAAAAUAUGCUUUCAGUAAACCGAAAGCGCACUUUACCAAAUACGCUUCCACUUAUUAGCGCGGGCCCGAGGGGGUUGGACUUCUUCUCUCUCUGACGGGCAGGGCCGGCCUUAUCCACUCCCUCUCUCUCUCUCUUACACGCGGGCCUUGCCCCAUCUCUCUCUGUCCUCCUCCUGGCUUCUUCUUCCUCUCGUCACGGGGACACAGGAGAGCGUCGGCCAUUACCUCGCCGCUCCUGGAGGCCGGCCGGCGAGCGGGGAGGCUUGGUUGUGCCCCACCGCGCCCCAGGGGUAGUCGUGGAGUCGCCUCAGGCGGCCUACAGCGCCGUCUCGGCCAGAUGGAACACGGUGGCCGACGGGCGCCCGCGGGCAGCCUUGGCAGUGCUUCCCCUGGGAAGAUGGGGAACGACGGCGAGCUUGCAGGCUUCCGGGGAGGCCGUGCACAGGAAUGGAGAAGAGGGGAGGGCCACAUGGCUGGAAUUGACCAGGAGAACGGCGGCGGAUGCUUCGGCCAUUGGAGCAAUGGGGAGCUCCGAGGGCUUGGGGAGGGAGCGAGGAGGUUGCUGGCUCACGGCACAGGCGCGUGGCACACUUAAAUAGCUGCGGGGAGGGGCUCUCGCGACGCCGAAAGAAGCUCUGAGAGCCAGGCGAUAUUCCGUCGACAGACACCUCCAAGGGCAAGGGGACGAGGGGGAGAGGUCUCUAGAGGAUUCACGCACGCCAUUGGAACCUCUACGACACUCCUCGACAAGCUGGAGCUUGCUGGAGACGUGCUCCCGUCGACCUCAAGGCACAGAGGGCUCGUGAUUUGGCACGCUCUGCCCAUGGUCACCACGCGUCCACAACAUUGCCACGCAGCACACGCAGCCAAAACAUGUCUAGGGCCUUCUCCAAGCUUCACUAAGGUGACCUAUGCAUAUAGACAACACUGGGGAGCACUGGUGUGACUGAUCCAAAGCCAAAUAGUCUCCAACAGCAAGGUGUUUGAUCUAUGCAGUGGCCACCACAGUGCUCCUAUUGGCAUGAUCUUUGGCUGAGGUUGACCACUCACUGAGGUCACUAUCCUGGCAAAAGUUUAGCUCAAAUGAGCAUGCCUAACUAGCACUUCCUUUGUAACUUGGCAAUCUGACCAAAAUUGAAGAAACUAAUGCUGGGGUUAAUUGGCUAAAUAAAAAUGGCUUAAACUUGGAGGAGACUAAUGAUUUAGCAUAUGGAGUUACUGUAAAAGUUUCAUACCAUUUACAUGAAUAUUAAUAGUACUUCCUUCAUAGUGCUCCAAUCUGGACAAAAACUUAAAUAAUUUGCUAAGGAAGAUGGAUUGAUGGAAUGGGCUAAAUUUUGGUGGACAAGGGUAAUUUAUCCUAAUGAACUACCCUGCAAAAUUUCUGCUCAAGGGAAUCAAGGAAUCAAACACUUCCUUUGCAAACAGGAAAUCUGGACUGAAUUUGCAAAGGGGUGUUGUGCUCAAUUUUUAAUUGGGCAACUUGAUAUUUUGAUGGAAAUGAUGAUUAUAUGGAUAUGAGAAGCUCCACAAAUUAUUUGAGAUUUUUCCUAGCUACCAAAAUGGUAGUUCCUUUGGAAAGGCCCCAAAAAUGCAAUAUUGGCUUUAAAUAGGAAAAAGGCAAUUUUCCUCACUUAGUGAUGGACAAUAUUUUUAUGAGAGCUCCAUAUGGUCACAAAGAAUAUCUCCACAAGUUUUCAUGACCUUGGGCGAUGGAUAGAUAUUUUCUUGGAUUUAAUUCCUCAGAAAAGCAGAAAGAGGAAUUAAUUCUAGAGGAGAAAUAUUGCAUAUGGCUUGGCAAUAUUUUUGCACAUCUAGGGUCUAUGAGGGAAGAAUGAUCUGUGGAAAUUUUUGAAGGAUUAACAGAGCAAGGGAAAUGAUGGCUCCUUUGCAAACACAAAGGCAAGAUUCCGAGUUCCAAUAUUUCGGAGCUAGGGUUUCCAAGAGGUUCGGGGUUUACUCAACAAGGGCAAGCUGGCACAAGGACAUGGGAAAAGCACUGAGAGGUUGAGGAUAGACUGGAUUCACCUCGUCAUUUGCCAAAUUCCAGAGGAAAAUUUUUGGGAGAGAAAAGCUAGGAAGGAAUAGCAGCAAAAAAAAUCGAUAACCCGAUUUUUGGGGUGUUACAGUGCCCCCUAGCAACGCUCCACACCCCUUCCAAAUGUCGAGAAGAACACCAAAGAAACAAAGACAUGGUGAGUGCUCCAGGCUCAUCCUUGCACCCUCGUGGAUCUCUUCCUGGCGAUUGGGUGAGUUGUUGAGUCUCGCGUAGUCGUUUACGCGAGCUCGAGGUUCAGGGGUACUUGCGUGACUCAAACCUGUCACCUUCUCGUCCGAGGCUAAUCUUUGUCAAUGGUGAGGCCUUUGCAGAGAAAUUCCCCACGCCCAACACGGUGGAGAGAGUGUGCUUUUGAAAUCACAAUUGCUCCCUACGGUGGUUUUGAUAAUUGAUACCAAUAUAUGCAUCAUUGGACUAAUGAUCUUAUUCAGGUAUAUUUCAGAAAAUUUCAAAGAUGCUUUGGCUAUAGGAUUGUGAGGAGAAGCCCCUUGAUGCAAGGAAAGGAAUAGGAUUGGCUCAAGCUUCAAGCAAGAAGACACUACAUUUUACAUUUGUGAGAAAUCACUUUGAGUCCAUAGGAAAGCCAAUACUAUUAAAAGGGGGUGAUGUAUUAUGAUGAAUUGGUUGCUCAAGUGCUUAUAUGUAGCCACCAAAAAUACUUAGCCGUUCUCCCACAAAAUAUCUCUGUCCAAAACCAUAUCAGCAAGAUUGGUGCCACCAACUAUUUCCACUCGACCCUACCGAUUUUCCACUUGACAGAUCCUAUCCCAAACCCUACCAUAUCGGUACCACCAACUUUCACAUCGGUGCCACCGAGAUUUAGUGACCAACUUUCUGUUGAGAAGAUUUCAAGAAUCGAAAUUUCCGAGUUUGAAAUCGGUCUCACCGAGAUAUGGAAACUGGUCUAGUUCAUCGUAAAGGUACCACUGAGAUUCAUAUAUCGGUCUCACUGAGAAUUCAGAAGUUGCCACAUUUAGUGCAACUCGGUACCAUCGAGAUUCCUUUCAGUGUCACCGAAUUGGGAAACAAUGUUGUAAUGGUUGGAUUUUGAGAGAUGGCUAUAUAUACCCCUCCACCUCCUCUCAUUCGUAGAGGAAGCACUCAUAACACACUUACACUUGCCAGAUCCAUUUUUCUGAGAGAGAGCCACCUACUCAUGAGUUGAGAUCAAGAUAUUCCAAUCCAACCAUUUGAAACUUGAUCUCUAGCCUUUCCGAGUUGCUUUCCACAAGAUCAAUCUCUCCUACCCAUGCCAAAUCUGUGAGAGAGUGAUUGAGUGUUGAGGAGACUAUCUUUUAAAGCACAAGAGCAAGGAGUUCAUCGUUCUACCGCAUCUAUUGCCUUUUGGAGGGUGGUGCCUCCUAGAUUGGUUAGGUGUCGCUUGGGAGCCUCCUACUUUGUUUUGUGGAGUUGAACCAAGAAGUUUGUAAGGGCAAGGAGAUCGCCUACUUCAUGAAGGUCUACCAUGAGUGAGGCUAGUCCUGUGUCGAUGGAAGCCGUGGUGGAAUAGACAAGGCCGCUUCUUCGUGGACCCCUUGUGGGUGGAGUCCUCCAUGGACUCCCGCAGCCGUUACCCUCCGUGGGUUGAAGUUUCCACUAACAUGGGCGUACGGUAGCACCACCUAUCGAAACCAUGCCAAAAAUUGUGGUGUCAACCUUUGCGUUUAAUCUCCCUUCCUUACCCUCUACAUUACAUUUUCAUGUCUUUACAUUCCGCUGUUAUAUUCUCAGAUGUGCAAGCGUAGGGUGAACUUAACUAGUCAUAAUUGCUAAAACUCGCGCACAAUUAAAAUUGGGAAAAGGCUAAGUUUUAUCUUGUCAAGUAGUCUAAUCAACUCCCUCCCUCUAAACAUACUUUUGAUCUUACAAGUGGUAUCAAAGCUUUGGUCUCCAUUGCAUUGGUUUCACAACCUAGGAAGAGUAUGGCAUCUAGUGAGAGAAAUUAUCACCGUAGAGGUCCAUAUUUUGAUGGUACAAACUUUGCUAGUUGGAAGCAUAAGAUGAAAAUGCAUAUUCUUGGUCAUAAUCCUGUCGUUUGGGCUGUUGUUCGUGUUUGUGUGCACAGUGAUUUCUUCGGAGAAGGAAGAGAAUCAGAUCGUGAUGCCACAGUGGAAGAACUAAAGAUGUUGCAAUACAAUGCUCAAGCAUGUGAUAUCAUGUUCAACUGCUUGUGCCCCGAAGAAUUCAACAAAAUCAGUCGCCUUGAGAAUGCAAAGGAAAUUUGGGAUACCUUGAUUGAUAUGCACGAAGGUAUUGAUUCUAUCAGGGAAUCUAAGUUGGAUGGGCUUCAAAGUGAGCUUGACAAGUUCAAGAUGAAGGAUGGCGAAGGAGUCACUGAGAUGUCUUAUAGGCUAGCUCUCAUCACAAAUGAGAUUGUUGGCUUAGGAAGUGAAGAGAUGACCGACAAAUUCAUCAUCAAGAAGAUACUUAGAGCCUUGGAUGGAAGAUAUGCCACUGUGUGCACAUUAAUUCAAAUGGUGCCAAACUACAAGGAUCUCAAGCCAACUGAAGUCAUUGGAAGGACUGUUGCUCAUGAAAUAUCACUCAAGGACAAAGAUGAGUUGCACAACAAGUCAAGCGGUGAGUACAAACUUCAAGUGAUACACCUGCUACUUCAAAUGACAACCUUUUUACAAAUGAAGAGAUCAGCCUCAUGGUCAGAAAACUGAGCAAUUUCUACAAUGGUAGAGGCGAAGAGAGAAGCUCAAGCUCAAGAUAUGAUGAGAAGCAUUCGUCUAGUCGUGAUCAAAACUGCUACAACUCUGGAAAGCCCAGACACUACUCCAAUGAGUGCUCGGCUCCCCACAAAUGAAGAGAAGGGUCACCUAGAAGACGAAGCUCAAGAGAUGAUUCACCUUGCAGAGAGAGAAAGAGUAGAGAAGAUCAUUAUGAACGAAGACACUCCCAGAGAGGCAAAGAAUCGGAGAACAAUCACAAGUACAUCAGAGAGGCCAUGAAGUAGUUUUCACUCCCAGAAGAAGACAUCAACCUCAUGUUGGUGAUUGGGUUUCCGGCUUCGAGUCUGACAACCAAUCUGAGACAAGCUAUCACUCCAACUCCCACUAUAGUCAAGAUGAAGGUGUUAUCAGUCUUGCACUCGUUUCCUCGAACUCCUAUGACUUAUUUGAUUCACCAAAUGAAGGGAUUGAAAACUACUUCAUGGCAAAAGGCCCCAAGGUAUCACACCCCAAGUACUUUGACUUUGAUAGUGAUGAGGAUGAUUUGUUAGGGGAAGAUGACUUGCUCUUUGGUAAGACUAGUGAUAACAUUGAAAAUGAACUCGAAAAUAAUCAUGCUAGUCAAGAGAAAUCGAAUGAUGAUGAUAAGAAAGAGAUUGGUGACUAAUUAAACAAUUAAACACUCCUAAGUUAGCUCAUGAAACUACUCUAGAAGAUCACAGAGGGCUUGCAAAAACUCAUGAGAAGCUACGCUUAGAGAAGCUAAAUUUAGAGCAAGAGCAUGAGUUUCUAAAAGCAAUCAAUGAUGAUCUUCGAAAGAAGAGUUCCUCUUAUCUAGCCGAACGAUUACUCUUGUCUACUUUUGUUCCACAAGUUAAACCUAAUAACACUAGUAAGAAAGGCAAGAAAGUUUCUCCAUCUUGUAAUAACAAUGCUAAAGCUAGAUCAAAUGAUGUUGUUGCUAGUAGCUCUCUUGAUUCCAUUGAUGAUUCUCUUAGCCAAGUUACACCUGAGCAAGAAAACGAUUUAUUGGAAGGUAUUAUAGAGACGGGUGUCUUCAAGAGUCUUGCCGGAAGUAAGAAAUUCGAGGAAAUUAUGCGCAAGCAAGGAGGACAUCGGAAGAAGCAAGGUGUUGGCUACUUCAACAUCAAUGGAGAUGUUUCGAAAGAAGGUCCAUAUCCCAUUCCCAAGUUUGUUCCUCAAGAAGAGAAGUAUGAUCCUACUCCUCCAAAGGGAACAAGCUCUUAAGAUGGACUUCUACCACUAGACCACAAGGGAAAGGAAAGCUUCAAUAGGAGAUUGACUCAUUUCAGGAAGAACCCCUAGGCAAGGUCGAGUGGGUUUCCAAGGACACUACUAGCACUACUUAAUCUAGUGCUACCACAACUCCAAGGAUCCCCAUCAAGUUGAUAAGGGUCCCCAAGAGGAAGAAUUAGAGAGUUCUUGAGGGGUGACUCCGCCAAUGAAAUUCACUCUUAUUUAUUUUGGGAAUGAACUUUAUGCAAUCAACUUCAACCAUAAGCAUUAGUUCAAGGAGUCACACAUUCCCUAAAAGGUAAGUAAGGGACAAGGUAAUUAAUGCAUCUUUGGACAUCACCUCCCAUGCAUUUCAUUCUAUGUCCAUAGAUAUCCUUGCAUAUGUUCCUUGUGCUUUGGGACUAACCCAUGUAGGUGAGAAGAGUAAGAAACAACAAGGAUAGCUCAUAGCUCAAGAUGAUCUUCAUCAACAAUGAGCAUCCACCACUAGCACACUGAUACAUCUCCAACGUAUCUAUAAUUUUUGAUGGUUCCAUGCUAUUAUCUUGUCAAACUUUGGAUGUUUUGUAUGCCUUUUAUAUCUUUUUUGGGACUAACUUAUUAACUCAGUGCCAAGUGCCAGUUCCUGUUUUUCCGUGUUUUUGACCCUUUUCAGAGGAGAAUAUUAAACGGAGUCCAAACGGAAUUAAACUUCCGAAAAGAUUUAUUCCGAAACAGAGGAUACGCAGGGCGCGUGAGAACCAAGGCAUAGGCCACCAGGGGAGGCCACAAGCCCCCUAGGCGCGGCCAGGGGGGCCUGCGCCUAGCAGGGUUGUGCCCCCCCUGUGGCUCGUCUACCCUACUUCUUCCGCCUAUAAAUCCCCGAAAAAUCCAAAACCACGAGAGAGAUCCACGAAAAUACUUUUCCGCCACCGCAAGCUUCUGUCUCUGCAAGAUCCCAUGUGGGGCACGUUCUGGUGCCCUGGCCGGGGGGGGGGGGGGUUUUGGAUACGGAGGGCUUCUUCAUCAACACCAUUGCCUCUCCGAUGAUGCGUGAGUAGUUCACCAUAGACCUUCGGGUCCAUAGCUAGUAGCUAGAUGGCUUCUUGUCUCUCUUGGAUCUUCAAUACAAAGUUCUCCAUGAUCUUCAUGGAGAUCUAUCCGAUGUAAUCUUAUUUUGCGGUGUGUUUGUCGAGAUCCGAUGAAUUGUGGAUUUAUGAUCAGAUUAUCUAUGAAUCUUAUUUGAGUUUCUUCUGAUAUCUUAUAUGCAUGAUUUCAUAUCCUUGUAAUUCUCUUCGAGUUGUGGGUUUUGUUUGGCCAACUUGAUCUAUGAUUCUUGCAAUGGGAGAAGUGCUUGGUUUUGGGUUCAUACCAUGCGGUGACCUCACCCAGUGACAGAAGGGGUAGUGAGGCACGCAUCAUGUUGUUGCCAUCAAGGGUAAAAAGAUGGGGUUUAUAUCUAUUGCAUGAAUUUAUCCCUCUACGUCAUGUCAUCUUGAUGAAGGCGUUACUCUGUUCGUCAUGAACUCAAUACACUAGAUGCAAGCUGGAUAGCGGUCGAUGUGUGGAGUAAUAGUAGUAGAUGCAGACAGUAUCGGUCUACUUGUCUCGGACGUGAUGCCUAUAUGUAUGAUCAUUGCCUUAGAUAUCGUCAUGACUUUGUGCGGUUCUAUCAAUUGCUCGACAGUAAUUCAUUCACCCACCGUAAUAUUUGGUAUUUUGAGAAAAGCCUCUAGUGAACACUAUGGCCCCCGGGUCUACUUCACAUCAUAUUUUCAGCCUUACACUUUUACUUCGUUGCACUUCCCACCUUCACAUCUCACUUUGCAAUUAAUCUUGAAGGGAUUGACAACCCCUUUAUAGCGUUGGGUGCAAGCUCAUUUGUGUUUGCGCAGGUACUCUGGACACUUGGCUUGAUUCUCCUACUGGAUUGAUACCUUGGUUCUCAAACCGAGGGAAAUACUUACUGCUACUGUGUUGCAUCACCCUUUCCUCUUCAAGGGAAAAACCAAUGCAAGCUCAAGAGGUAGCAAGAAUAAUUUCUAGCGCCGUUGGCGGGGAGGAUCAAGUCAAGAAUAGUUUCCCGUCAACGUGUCAAUCUCUGGCGCCGGGGAUUAUUCUAAGUGAAACUUAUCCAAGUAAGUGUCGAAAACUCAUCUCUUGCAUUUACUCUUUUUUGCCUCUCGUUUUCCUCUCCCCCACUUUUGAAAACAAAAAUUUACAAAAAUAUUUGCCUUGUUCGUUUGCCCUUUUCUUUCGCUUGCUUUCUGUUCGCUUGUGUGCUUGUGUGCUUGCUGAAGUCACCAUGACUGAAAACACCAAACUUUGUGACUUCUCGAAUACUAAUAAUAAUGAUUUUAUUAGUACUCCGAUUGCUCCCGCCAGUAGUACAGAAUCAUAUGAAAUCAAUGCUGCUUUGCUGAAUCUUGUUAUGAAAGAGCAAUUCUCCGGCCUUCCUAGUGAAGAUGCCGCAUCCCAUCUUAAUACCUUCAUUGAGCUUUGCGAUAUGCAAAUGAAGAAAGAUGUGGAUAAUGAUGUGAUUAAAUUGAAGCUAUUUCCGUUAUCAUUGCGAUAUCGAGCAAAAAUUUGGUUUUCAUCUUUGCCCAAAAAUAGUAUUGAUUCUUGGAACAAGUGCAAAGAUGCUUAUAUAUCCAAGUAUUUUCCGCCGGCUAAGAUUAUCUCUCUAUGUAAUGAUAUCAUGAAUUUUAAGCAACUUGAUCAUCAACAUGUUGCACAAUCUUGGGAGAGAAUGAAAUUGAUGAUUAGAAAUUGUCCCGCUCAUGGCUUGAGUCUUUGGAUGAUUAUACAAAUCUUCUACGUUGGUUUGAAUUUUGCUUCUAGAAAUAUCUUGGACUCCGCCUCCGGUUGAACCUUCAUGGAAAUCACAUUAGGAGCAGCCACAAAACUCCUAGACAAUAUCAUGACAAACUAUUCUGAGUGGCACAUUGAAAGGUCACCAACUAGUAAAAAGGUACACGCUAUAGAAGAAAUUAACUCGUUGAGUGCUAAGAUGGAUGAGUUAAUGAAAUUGUUUGCUAGUAAAGGUGCUCCUUUAGAUCCUAAUGAUAUGCCCUUGUCUUCCUUGAUUGAGAGUAGCAAUGAUAGCUUGGACGUUAAUUUUCUUGGUAGGAAUAAUUUUGGCAACAACAAUGCUUUUAGAGGAAACUAUAUUCCUAGGCCUUUUCCUAGUAAUCCCUCUAAUAACUUUGGCAACUCCUACAACAAUGCUCAUGGAAAUUACAAUAAAUUACCCUCUAAUCUAGAGAGUAAUAUCAAAGAGUUCAUCAACUCGCAAAAGAUUUUCAAUGCGUCCAUAGAAGAAAAACUACUCAAAAUUGAUGAUUUGGCUAGGAGCGUUGAUAGAAUGUCUACUGAUAUUGAUGCUUUGAAAGUUAGAUGUGCUCCUCCCAAGAUCAAUAUGGAUGAAACUUUGAAAUCUAUGCGUGUUUCCAUGAAUGGGAGUAAAGAAAGAACCACCCAAAUUUGUGCUAGACGUGAAUGGCUUAAAAAGGCGUGUUCUCGCGAUGAGAAUCACGAAGAUCUUAAAGUGCUUGGUGUGACCCCCAUUGAAUCCUUGUUUUCUAGUGUCAAACCUAAUGAUGAUGGGGCUGGAUAUGAAUCCACCUUGGUUGAAAAACACCACAAUGAUUCGGAGUCUAUCUAUCUUGAUGCUAAAAGCAUUGAAAGUGGAGUAGAGUAUAUCAAAACUUUGAGUAGUAAUGAAACUACUACUUUGGAUUUCAAGGAAUUAAAUUAUGAUAUUUGCUCUUUGAUUUAAUGUAUUUCCUUGAUGCAAUCCGUGCUAAACUCUCCACACGCUUAUAGCCAAAACAAAGCCUUUACCGAUCAUAUCGUCGAAGCUAUGAUAAAAACUCUUGAAGAGAAACUUGAAUAGGAAGUUUCUAUUCCUCGAAAACUUCAUGAUGAGUGGGAACCUACUAUCAAAAUCAAGAUAAAAAACUAUGAAUGCAAUGCUUUGUGUGAUUUGAGUGAUAGUGUUUCGGCGAUUCCAAAGUCUUUAUGUGAUGUUCUAGGCUUUAAUGAGAUUGACGAGUGCUCUCUUAAUUUGCAUCUUGCGGAUUCUACUGUUAAGAAACCCAUGGGAAGGAUCAAUGAUGUUCUUAUUAUUGCAAAUAGGAACUAUGUACCCGUGGAUUUGAUUGUGCUUGAUAUUGAUUGCAAUCCUACAUGUCCUAUCAUUCUUGGUAGACCUUUCCUAAGGACUAUUGGUGCUAUCAUCGUUAUGAAGGAAGGGAAUAUUAGAUUUCAGUUUCCUUUAAAUAAGGGCAUGGAGCAUUUUCCUAGAAAGAAAAUAAGAUUGCCUUAUGAAUCCAUGAUGAGGGCUACUUAUGGUUUGAGCAUCAAAGACGACGAUACAUGAUUCUAUCACCUUAUGCCUAGCUAAGGGCGUUAAACAACAACGCUUGUUGGGAGGCAACCCAAUGAAUUUAUCUUUGCCUUUUGCUUUCUGUUUUGUUGCAUCCACACCAUCAUAAUUCUGUUAUGAUUGUGUCUUUUGUGUUUCUUUUUGUGUUUGAGCCAAGUAAACCUUUAUGACUAGUUUGGUGAUGGUUGUUUGAUCCUGCUGGAAAAAGACGGAAACUUUUUGCUCACGCAAUUAUUUUUCAUUUUUAUCCAGAAAGAUCUUUUGAGUUGAUUCUUUUUGCUGCUGGUUGAUAUGCCAAUUUCCUAAACUGUCGUAAUUUUUCGGAAUUUUUUAGAUAUGAGAAGUAUACGAAGUAUACAGAUUGCUACACACUGGUCUGUUCUUAACAGAUUCUGCUUUUGUUGUGUUGAUUGCUUGUUUUGAUGAAACUAUGGAUAGUAUCGGGGGGUACUGAUGACCCACAAGUAUAGGGGAUAAAUUGUAGUCCUUUCAAUAAGUAAGAGUGUCGAACCCAAUGAGGUCAACUGUUCUCCCCCUUUGCAACGGCACCAGAAGAAUGCUGUUAGCACUCUCCGGCAAUCGAAACUAGGAUUAUUUUGUUGACGCCGACCAGCGCAUCGGAUCGUAGCAGUUUUCGAGGGUAGAGUAUUCGACCCAAAUUUUUGGAUUCGCCAGACAGGAGGUGAGAGGAUACUCUCAAGUAUUAGCAGCUGAAUUUAUCAGUUUCAACCACACCUGAAAUAUUAGUACCUGCAAGCAAAGUAGUAAUAGCAAAGUAGCGAGUAACAGCAGUGGCAAGGAACAACGGUAGUGACAGCAAUAGCAAGUAGCAAUAGUAGCAAGAGACAGUAGUAGCAACAAUAGCAGCAAAGCAAGACAAGUAACAACCGUAGCAACAGUAGUAGCAGCAACAGCAGAGCAAGACAAGUAACAACAGUAGCAACAGUAGUAGCAGCAGCAGAGCAAGACAAGUAACAUCAGUAGCAACAGUAGCAGCAGCAGCAGUAGGACAAACUCGUAGGCAAUGGGUCGGUGAUUUGUUUGGAUGAUAUUCAUCAUGCAACAGUUAUAACACGGAGAGAUAUGUGGCUAGCUCCCGUUUGUCAAUGUGAUGCAGGCAUGCAUUCCGUGUGUCGUCAUACGUGCUUAGGGAAAAGAACUUGCAUGACAUCUAUUGUCCAUCCCUCCCGUGGAAGCGGGGUCCAAAAGGAAACUACGGGAUAUUAAGGUUCUCUUUUAAUAAAGAACCGGACCAACGCAUUAGCACUUGGUGAACACAUGAACUCCUCAAACUAUGUUCAUCACCGGGAGUGGUUCCGGUUAUUGUCACUCCGGGGUUGCCGGAUCAUAACACAUAGUAGGUAACUACAACUUGCAAGAUCGUAUCUAAAACACACAUAUAUUGGUGACAACAUAAUAAUUUUAGAUCUAAAAUCAUGGCACUCGGGCCCUAGUGACAAGCAUUAAGCAUGGCAAAGUAGUAGCAACAUCAAUCUCAAAACAUAGUGGAUACUAGGGAUCAAUCCCGAUCAAAACUAACUCGAUUACAUGAUAGAUCUCAUCCUACUCAUCACCGCCCAGCGAGCCUACGAAUAGAUUACUCACGAAAGAUGAAGAGCUUCAUGGAAUUGGAGAGGGAAGAAGGUUGAUGAUGAUGAUGGCGACGAUUUCCCCUCUACAGAGCCCAAGACGGACUCCAGAUCUGCCCUCCAGAUGAAGAACAGGUGGAGGCGGCUGCUCCGUAUCAUAAACGCGACGAAAACUUCUCUCUUUUAUUUUUUUUCUGGGACGAAAGGGAACUUAUAGACCUGAGGUUGGGGGCGGCAGAUCCGUGUGGGCCCCACAAGCCUGCCCACCGCCACCAGGGGGUGGUGGCGGAGCCAGGGCUUGUGGCCCACUCGCCCACCCCCUCGGGUGGAACUUGCUGCAGAUAUUUUUCAUAUUUUCCAAAACUGCUCCUCGUAGAUUUUCAGGACGUUUGGAGAACUUUGAUUUCUGUACAAAAAUAACACCAAGGCAAUUCUGCUAAAAACAGCGUCACUCCAGGUUAGUUCCAUUCAAAUCAUGCAAAUUAGAGUCCAAAACAAGGGCAAAAGAGUUUGGAAAAGUACAUACGAUGGAGACAUAUCAACUCCCCCAAGCUUAAAACCUUGCUUGUCCUCAAGCACCUCAAUUCACAAACUGAGAGAGAAAGAAAAACUUUGACAAACUCUGUUUGACCUUGUUGUUGCAACUAUGUCUAACUCAUAACCAGAAUUUCAGCAAGAUCACAAGUUAACCACAUAAGCAAAUGACACAAAGGUCUCACGGUAAACUAAUAUCAAUGGCAUAAUCAGCUAACGAGCAAAUAAUAAUGAGUUUCAAAUACCAACACUUCAAUCAAAACAAGCAUGAAGGAAUAUGAAUAGAUGGUAUCUCGCUAGCUCUUUCUGAGACCGCAAAACAUAAAUGCAGAGCAUUUUCAAAGAUCAAGGGCUGACUAAACAUUGUAAUUCAUCGCAACGAAGAUCCAGUCAUAGUCAUACUCAAUAUCAAUCAAAAGCAAUGCAUAAAAAUGACAGAGGUGCUCUUUAAUUGGUGCUUAUAUAAGAGGAGGAUGACUCAACAGGAAAAUAAAUAGACAGGCCCUUCGCAGAGGGAAGCAUUGAUUUGCAGAGGUGCCAGAGCUCAAGCUUUGAAAACAGAGAUAAUAAUUUUGGGUGGCAUGCUUUCAUUGUCAACGCAAUGACCAAGAGUUCUCAAUAUCUUCCAUGCUACUCAUUCUAUAAGCAGUUCCCAAACAGAAAAGUAAAGUUUUAUCUCCCCCACCACCAAUCAAUCACACUCCACGGCUAGCCGAAUCCUCGGGUACCGUCCAUACUAACAUCAAUCCGGGGGGAGUCUUGUUUUACAGUUAUGUUUUCGAUUUAAGCGUGGAACUAGGCAUUCCAAUUACCGACCCCUUUCUCGUGAAUGACAGUGAAUAAACACAUGUCAAGGAUAACACUCCUAGAAUGGAAGAUACCAAUAGCCCCCUGUCACCACAUGAGCGGUUCGGGCAUGCAAAACAAAUUAUUUCUUGAAGGUUUAGAGAGUGAGACAUGCAAAUUUACUUGGAACGGCAGGUAGAUACGGCAAAUAGGUAGGUAUGGUGAACUCUCAUGGAAAAACUUUUGGGUUUAUGGAAGUGGAUGCACAAGCAGUAUUCCGCUUAGUACAACUGAAGGCUAUCAAAAGACUGGGAAGCGACCAACUAGAGAGCGACAAUAGUCAUCAAGAUGCAAUGAGUUUGACUAACAUUGAAUGCAAGCAUGAACAGGAUAUAAAUCACCAUGAACACGAACAUCAUAGAGGCUAUGUUGAUUUUGUUUCAACUACAUGCAUGAACGUGCGCAAGUCAAGCCACUUGAAACAUUCAAAGGAGAAUACCAUCCUAUCAUACUACAUCAUAGUCAUCUUCAAAAUCUAUGUUGGCAUUCAAGACAAACCAUUAUAAGCUCUCAGCUAAAUAAGCAUGGCAUCAGAAACUAUGAUCUCUAAGUUGUCAUUGCAAACAUGGUUCUCUCACAACAAAGCUAAAUAUGGGUCGACAAGCUAGUCAUAUUUACAAAAACAAAAUAGAUAGAGUUCAUAACAGCUUUUCAGUCUCAGUCACUUCAUCAUAUAUCAUCAUUGUUGCCUUUCAUUUGCACGAUCGAACGAUGUGAACAAUAAUAAGCACAUUGGACUAAGCUGAAUCUGCAGGCAAACACAAAGGAGAAGACAAAGUAAUAUGGCUCUUUGAAAGCUAAACAGGUAAGCAUGCAAGAACCAAUAAACAUUGUAACCAAUAUCUUCUACCUUGACCCAAAGAAAAAGAAAACUAUUUACACGGGAAAACUCCCAACAAGCAAAAGAAGAAAGAAAAAUCUUUUUGGGUUUUCUCAAAAGGACACAAAACAGGAAAACAAGAGAACGAAAAUAAACUUACAGCGGCAAAGUGUAAACACCGGCUAACAAAGUGAAAGCAUAAGCAUGAAUGUAAAGUCGGUGAGAACACGUACUCCCCCAAGCUUAGGAUUUUGGCCUAGCUUGGUCUACUCCCAAGGAUGGUCCUGACAAAAACCAAAGACAUAAUGGGUGUUAUAGGGAGUGCUGCAGCCACUGCCUGAGUAGCUGCCUCACGAAGUCGAGCAACAGUCGCCUCCCUCUCAUACUCCUCUGCCUCUCCUAUGGUUAUGUAGUAUCUUCGUUUUACCUGAAAGUCAAAGAAAGCAGGAGCAGGAUGGGUAAUAUGGAAAACACGCUGCCGGUUAAAUAUCAAGCGGUAUAGGAGGGAUCCAUGAUCUCUCUCAAGGAACUGGUAGCGUGUUAGAGCGACACUAUCAAGGUAGGUUGUACGGUGAGGAGGGUCUUCUGGACGGAUGGAUACUCCAAGAAAAUUUGCUAAGCAUGUAGCAUAAACUCCACCAAAGAAAUCCCCCUCACUUGCAUUUUUAUUCAGCCUCUUGCUAUUAUAGCUCCCAUAUUGAAGCUCGUGUCACAUGUUACUGUGCUCUUAAGGAUACUAAGGUCGGAAGCGCAUAGGUGACAAUGUGCACCCUUACCGUUAAUGCACCUACCUAUGAAGAGGGCAAGGUAGUGCAAGGCAGGGAAAUGGAUGCUUCCUAUGGUGGAUUGCGUGAUAUCUCUGGUUUCUCCAACAGUUAUACUAGAGACAAAGUCUCUGACCGAAGACUUAGAGGGAUCAUUAAUACUACCCCCAUCGGGUAUCUUGCAAAUCCUAUUGAAAUCCUCCAAAUCCACGGUAUAGGAUUUAUCGUACAGAUCAAACAGUAUGGAUGAGUCACGACCAACUGAAAAUUUAAAUCUACGCACGAAAGAGGCAGUGAUCAUAGCAUACUGUUCACAUUUAUCUCAGAGGAAUUCUUCUAACCCGGCAUUGCAGACAAGUGUAUCAAACUCAUCCUUGAAACCUGCUUCGAUCAUGAACUCAUCGGAAGGCCAUUCACAUGGUUGUACCGGUGCGUCCCUUAGUUGAAAAGGUUCGGGCUCCCAAAAAGAGAGACGAGGACCCUUCUUACUUGAGGAACCACCAUGAAACUUUCUCCUGAACAUAAUUUCCCUUUGCCGAAAUUUUUGAAGUUCAAGAGAAAAGUGAAUGAAGAUCCACCACACCUUGUAGCAACUACUCCUACUAGUGUCUAGAGACCGUAUCACGCGCUAAAACUACUUGGAACCAGCUAAAAUCAACAUUUCUAGCUCAAGAACAGGGUCACCAAGGUAGCAAGAAUACGCGAAGGAUAAAGCACUAGAGCAAAAACUAAUUGGACCAAUGGAGGAGUCACUUACCAAGGUGUAAUUUCCCCAAAACGGUUCAGAGAAUUGUGCUUGGAGCAAGGAGAUCGAAAAUCACAGCCAAAUGAGCAAGAACACGGGUUUGAGCUGCAAAACAAUUUUUUCUGGAGGUGGAAGAAGAGGUUGAGAGCUGGAAUGAGUGGAGGGGGUGCCUGUGGGCCCCACAAGCUUGCACUCCGCCACCAGGGUGGUAGGUGGCGGUGGCAGGGCUUGUGGCCCACUGGUCUGGCCCCCAGGCCAGCUCUCAGGCCCAGAAAUUUUCAAAAAUUCCAGAAAAAAAUCAUACUAAAUUUUCAGGACCAUCGGAGAACUUUUAUUUUUGAGGUAUUUUUCUCCGGGAUGCUAGAACAGAAAACAGGAAAAGCUAAACUAAUUCUAUCAUUUUUCUUCUAAGCAACAGAAAAGGAAAGCUCAAAACAGAGGUAUGUGACUCCUUGAUUCAUCCGUUUCAUGGUCAUCGAAAGAAAUCCGUCAAUGGGAUUGAUCAAGUCCUUAUGACAAAACCUUCUCGAAUCGCAAGAGAGAACGGAGAAUUUUCUAAUAGCCACUAAGUCACCUCAAUGGGGAUAUGUAUCUCCCCAACAAGCAAAUCAUACUUCAUCUUAACACGAGGAAUAGGGCAUUCAAAGCUCCCAAUAAGAAUCGAUGAAGUCUUUUCGAUAGCAUUGAUGCAAUGUACUUGAUAUCGUUUCUUCGAAAAGUGCACUGUGUGCUCAUUACCGUUGACAUGGAAAGUGACAUUGCCUUUGUUGCAAUCUAUAACAGCCCCUGCAGUGUUUAAAAAGGGUCUUCUGAGGAUGACAGCCAUGGCAUCGUCCUCGGGAAUAUCCAAGAUAACAAAGUCUGUUAAGAUAGUGGUGUUAGCAACCACAACACGCACAUCCUCGCAAAUGCCGAUAGGGAAAGCAGUUGAUUUGUCGGCCAUUUGCAGAGAAAUUUCAGUGGGUGUCAACUUGUCCAACUCAAGUCUACGAUAAAGAGAGAGCGCAUAACACUAACACCGGCUCCAAGGUCACAUAAGGCAGUUCUUACGUAGUUUCCUUUAAUGGAGCAAGGUAUAGUGGGCACUCUGGGAUCACCAAGUUUCUUAGGAGUUCCACCUUUGAAAGUGUAAUUGGCAAGCAUGGUGGAGAUCUCAAGAUCUGGUAUCUUCCGUUUAUUAGUCACGAUAUCUUUCAUGUACUUGGCAUACGGAGACAUCUUGAGCAUAUCAGUUAACCGCAUCUGCAGAAAGAUGGGUCUUAUCAUCUCCACAAAGCGCUCAAAAUCCUCAUCAUCAUUUUGUUGGAUGGCUUAGGAGGAAAGGGCAUAGGUCUCUGAACCCAUGGCUCCCUUUCUUUACCAUGCUUCCUAGCAGUGAAGUCAUUCUUAUCGUAUUUCUUAGGUUGUGGGUUAUCAGGAUUAACCGUAGGUUCAAUCUCCACAUCCUUAUCAUUGCUAGGUUGAGCAUUAUUAUGAACCUCACUGUCCAUAUUGUCAUCAGGUUCAUGUUCAUCACCAGAUUGUGUUUCUGCAUCAGACGCAGAAAUAUCAUUAGGUUCUUCAGGUGUGACAGUAUUUGGUGAACUGGCGUGCAGGUUUCUAUCAUCCUUCUUAGGAUGACUAGGUAUAUAAACAUUGAUUGCUUGAGAAUCUUGAUCAAUUCUCUUAGGAUGACCUUCAGGAUACAAAGGUUCAUGAGUCAUUUUGCCUCCUCUAGUAAUGGCUCUGACAGAGUUGUCAUUUAAUUCAUUGAGCAGGUCAUUCUGAGCUUUAAGUACUUGUUCUACCUGAGUAGUAAUCAUAGAGGCAUGUUUACUCAGAAGCUUCAGAUCGUUGACAUUUCUGUCUACACAAGCACUUAAAUGACUAAGCAUACGAGUACUUUGUUCCAAGUGUCUGCUCACAUAAUCAUUGAAACUCUGUUGUUUGGCAACAAAGUUGUCAAAUUCAUCAAAGCAUAGGGCAGCAGGUUUAUCAAAGGGAAUAUCACUCUCAUCAAACCUACGCAGAUAAUUCACUUCUACUACCUGUAUCGGGUUAUCGAGACCAUGGAUCUCUUCGAUAGGUGGUAGAUUUUUUACAUCUUCAGAUCUAAUGCCUUUCUCUUGCAUAGAUUUCUUGGCUUCUUGCAUAUCUUCGGGACUGAGGAAUAGAAUACCUCUUUUCUUAGGAGUUGGCUUAGGAGGUGGUUCGGGAAUAGUCCAAGCAUUAUCGUUGAUCAAGAUGUUAUUCAGUAGAGUCUCAGCUUGUUCUACAGUUCGUUCCCUAAAAACACAACCGGCACAACUAUCUAGGUGGUCUCUAGAGGCAUCGGUAAGUCCAUUAUAGAGGAUAUCAAGUAUCUCAUUCUUCUUAAGAGGGUGAUCAGGCAAAGCAUUCUGUAGCUGGACGAGCCUCCCCCAAGCUUGUGGAAGACUCUCUUCUUGGAGUUGAGCAAAGUUGUAUAUUUCCUACAAGGCAGCUUGCUUCUUAUGGGCAGGGAAAUAUUUCUCACAGAAGUAAUAGACCAUCUCCUGGGGACUACGCACACAUCCAGGAGCAAGAGAGGUGAACCAGACUUUAGCAUCAUCCUUUAGAGAGAAAGGAAACAACUUAAGGAUAUAGUAGUGCCGGAUCUUCUCCUCAUUAGUGAAAAGGGUGGCUAUAUCAUGUAGUUUGGCAAGGUGGGCUACGACCGUCUCAGACUCAUAACCGUGAAAAGGAUCAGAUUCGACUAAAGAGAUUAUCUCAGGAUCGACACAUAAUUCAUAAUCCUUAUCGGUGAUAAAGAUAGGUGAAGUGGCAAACUUCGGGUCAUAUUUCAUCUUAGCUUCCCGAGAUUUUUCCUUGCAGUUGAGAAGUAAUUUCUCAGCGUCAUAGGCAUCCUUACACGCAAGAAAAUCCUCAGCUAUCUCUCCCUCCAUAACGUAACCCUCAGGUAUAUCAAGCAAUUAAUAUCUAGGAGAGCUAGAUCUAGCAGGAGCAAAAGUAGGUUCUAUCUCAAUAGUACCGGCAGUUUCAGAAGCAUCACGAGCAUUGGCAGUAACUCUAGCAAUAUGAGCAUCAAGGAACACCCGUAGUGGAACAUCAAGCAAAGUAGUAUCUCUAGCAGUAUCAAGCAUAACAUCAUCAGGCAAAAUAGCAUCUCUAGCAUCAUCAGGCAAAGCAGUAUCAAGCAUAGCAUCUCUAGCAGUAUCAGGCAUAUCAUCAGGCAUAGUAUCAAGCAUAGUAUCAUCAGGCAUAGUAUCAAGCAUAGCAUGUCUAGUAGUAGUAUCACAAGCAUCAUCAAGCACACGCUACAUAUCAAGAUUUCUAGCAGGAGGUGAUGUCGCAAACUUACUCAAAACUGAAGGUGAAUCAAGUGCAGAGCUAGAUGGCAAUUCCUUACCUCCCCUCGUAGUUGAGGGCAAGACUUUGGUCUUCGGAUCCUUCAGGUUCUUCAUAGUGAUCAGCAGAUAUAAAUCCCAAGUGACUCAGAGAAUAUAGCAAUACCUCCCCGGCAACGAUGCCAGAAAAAUAAUUUAUGUCAAAUGUUCUUCCCCUUUGCAACGGCACCAGAAGAAUAAUGUUAGCACUCUCGGGCAAUCGAAACUAGGAGAAUGUUGUUGACGCCCACCAGCGCGUGGGAUCGUAGCAGUUUUCGAGGGUAGAGUAUUCGACCCAAAUUUGUUGAUUUUCCAGACACGAGGUGAGAGGAUACUCUCAAGUAUUAGCAGCUGAAUUUAUCAGUUUCAACCACACCUGAAAGAUUAGUAUCUGCAAGCAAAGUAGUAACAACAAAGUAGCGAGUAACGGCAGUGGCAAGGAACAUCGGUAGUGACAGGAGUAGCAAGUAGCAACAGUAGCAAGCGAUAGUAGUAGCAACAGUAGCAGCAGAGCAAGACAAGUAACAGCAGUAGCAAUAGUAGUAGUAGCAGCAGAGCAAGACAAGUAACAGCAGUAGCAACAGUAGUAGCAGCAGCAGAGCAAGAAAAGUAACAGGAGUAGCAACAGUAGUAGCAGCAGCAGUAGGACAAACUCGUAGGCAAUGGGUUGGUGAUUUGUUUGGAUGAUAUUCAUCAUGCAACAGCUAUAACACGGAGAGAUAUGUGGCUAGCUCCCGUUCGUCAAUGUGAUGUAGGCAUGCAUUCCGUGUGUCGUCAUACGUGCUUAGGUAAAAGAACUUGCAUGACAUCUAUUGUCCAUCCCUCCCGUGGAAGCGGGGUCCAAAAGGAAACUACGGGAUAUUAAGGUUCUCCUUUUAAUAAAGAACCGGACCAACACAUUAGCACAUGGUGAACACACGAACUCCUCAAACUAUGGUCAUCACCGGGAGUGGUUCCGGUUAUUGUCACUCCGGGGUUGCCGGAUCAUAACACAUAGUAGGUAACUACAACUUGCAAGAUCGGAUCUAAAACACACAUAUAUUGGUGAACACAUAAUAAUUUCAGAUCUGAAAUCAUGGCACUGGGGCCCUAGUGACAAGCAUUAAGCAUGGCAAAGUAGUAGCAACAUCAAUCUCAGAACAUAGUGGAUACUAGGGAUCAAUCCCCAUCAAAACUAACUGGAUUACAUGAUAGAUCUCAUCCUACUCAUCACCGCCCAGCGAGCCUACGAAUAGAUUACUCACGAACGACGAAGAGCUUCAUGGAAUUGGAGAGGGAAGAAGGUUGAUGAUGACGACGGCGACGGUUUCCCCUCUCCGGAGCCCAAGACGGACUCCAGAUCUGCCAUCCAGAUGAAGAACAGGUGGUGGCGGCGGCUCCGUAUCGUAAACGCGCCGAAAAGUUCUCUCUUUAUUUUUUUCUGGGACGAAAGAGAACUUAUAGACCUGAGGUUGGGGGUGGCAGAGCCGUGUGGGCCCCACAAGCCUGACCACCGCCACCAGGGGGGUGGUGUCGGAGCCAGGGCUUGUGGCCCACUGGCCCACCCCCUCAGGUGGAACUUGGCGCAGAUAUUUUUCAUAUUUUCCAAAACUGAUCCCCGUAGAUUUUCAGGACGUUUGGAGAACUUUGAUUUUUGCACAAAAAUAACACCAAGGCAAUUCUGCUGAAAACAACGUCAGUCGAGGUUAGUUCCAUUCAAAUCAUGCAAAUUAGAGUCCAACACAAGGGCAAAAGAGUUUGGAAAAGUAGAUACGAUGGAGACGUACACCCAACGAGGAGCAGAUGGAUCUCACAAGUGGUUUUCAACAAGGUAAAAUCUGCAGGCACUGAAAUUGUCAGUAAUAAGUGAUUGUGUGGUGAGAUGAUUCGUAGGAAGCAACAAGUAACAGAAGUAGCAACGGUGCAGCAAAGUGGCCCAAUCCCUUUUGUAGCAAGGGACAAGCCUGGACAAAGUCUUAUAGGAGGAAAAACGCUCCCGAGGACACACGGGAAUUUCUGUCAUGCUAGUUUUCAUCAUGUUCAUAUGAUUCGCGUUCGUAACUUUCAUAGUUUGAUAUGUGGGUGGACCAGCGCUUGGGUACUGCCCUUACUUGGGCAAGCAUCCCACUUAUGAUUAACCCCUCUCGCAAGCAUCCUCAACUACAAAAGAAGAAUUAAGACAAAGUCUAACCAUAGCAUUAAACUAGUGGAUCCAAAUCAGCCCCUUACGAAGCAACACAUAAACUAGGGUUUAAGCUUCCGUCACUCUGGCAACGCAUCAUCUACUUACUACUUCCCAAUGCCUUCCUCUAGGCCCAAAUAAUGGUGAAGUGUUAUGUUGUCGACGUUCACAUAACACCACUAGAGGAAAAACAACAUACAACACAUCAAAAUAUCGAACGAAUACCAAAUUCACGUGGCUACUAUUAGCAUGACUUAUCCCAUGUCCUCAGGUAAAAAAGUAACUACUCACAAAGCAUAAUCAUAUUCAUGACCAGAGAGGUAAUGAGCAGCAUCAAGGAUCUGAACAUAAACUCUUCCACCAAGUAAUCCAAGUAGCAUCAACUACAAAGAGUAAUCAACACUACUAGCAACCUUACAAGUACCAAUCGGAGUCGCGAGACGGAGAUUGGUUACAAGUGAUGAACUAGGGUUUGGAGAUGAGAUGGUGCUGAUGAAGAUGUUGAUGGUGAAGAGUCCCCUCCGAUGAGAGGAGUGUUGGUGAUGACGAUGGCGACGAUUUCCCCCUCUAGGAGGGAAGUUUCCCCGGCAGGAUCGUCGUGCCGGAGCUCUAGAUUGGUUCUGCUCAAGUUCCGCCUCGUGGCGGCGGAGAAUCCAUGAAAAAGCUCCUCCCUAAUUUUUUUUCCGAACGAACCCUUCAUAUAGCAGAAGAGGGGGGCAAGUGGGCCUGUGAUACGUCUCCAACGUAUCUACUUUUCCAAACUCUUUUGCCCUUGUUUUGGACUAUAAUUUGCAUGAUUUGAAUGGAACUAACCUGGACUAACGCUGUUUUCAGCAGAAUUGCCUUGGUGUUAUUUUUGUGCAGAAAUCAAUGUUCUCCAAACGUCUUGAAAAUUUACGGGGAGCAGUUUUGGAAAAUAUCAAAAAUAUCUGCGCCAAGUUCCACCUCAGGGGGUGGGCCAGUGGGCCACUAGCCCCUGCUCUGCCACCACCCCCCUGGUGGCGGUGGGCAGGCUUGUGGGGCCCACAGGCACGUGCCGCCCCCAACUCCAGCUCUAUAAGUUGUCUUUCGUCCCAGAAAAAAUAAAAAGAGAAGUUUUCGUCGCGUUUCCGAUACGGAGGCGCCGCCACCACCUGUUCUUCAUUUGGAGGGCAGAUCUGGAGUCCGUCUUGGGCUCCGGAGAGGGGAAAUCGUCGUCAUCGUCAUCAUCAACCUUCUUCCCUCUCCAAUUCCAUGAAGCUCUUCGUCGUUCGUGAGUAAUCUAUUCGUAGGCUCGCUGGGCGGUGAUGAGUAGGAUGAGAUCUAUCAUGUAAUCCGGUUAGUUUUGAUGGGGAUUGUUCCCUAGUAUCCACUAUGUUCUGAGAUUUGAUGUUGCUACUACUUUGCCAUGCUUAAUGCUUGUCACUAGGGCUGAGUGCCAUAAUUUCAAAUCUGAAAUUAUUAUGUUGUCACCAAUAUAUGUGUGUUUUAGAUCCGAUCUUGCAAUUGUAGUUACCUACUAUGUGUUAUGAUCCGGCAACCCCGGAGUGACAAUAACCGGAACCAUUCCCGGUGAUGACCAUAGUUUGAGGAGUUCAUGUGUUCACCAAGUGCUAAUGUGUUGGUCCGGUUCUUUAUUAAAAGGAGAACCUUAAUAUCCCGUAGUUUCCUUUUGGACCCCGCUGCCACGGGAGGGAUGGACAAUAGAUGUCAUGCAAGUUCUUUUCCCUAAGCACGUAUGACGACACACAGAAUGCAUGCCUACAUCACAUUGACGAACGGGAGCUAGCCACUUAUCUCUCCGUGUUAUAGCUGUUGCAUGAUGAAUAUCAUCCAAACAAAUCACCGACCCAUUGCCUACGAGCUUGUCCUACUGCUAUUACUUGUCUUGCUCUGCUGCUACUACUGUUGCUACUGUUGUUACUUGUCUUGCUCUGCUGCUGCUAAUACUGCUACUACUGUUGUUACUUGUCUUGCUCUGUUGCUGCUACUACUGUUGCUACUUCUGUUACUUGUCUUGCUCUGCUGCUACUGUUGCUACUACUGUCGCUUGCUACUGUUGCUACUUGCUACUGCUGUCACUACUGCUGUUCCUUGCCACUGCUAUUGCUAGUUACACUGCUGCUACCUGCUACACUGUUGGUUCACCUACCGUUGACGGGAAUUGACAACUUCCGUCGACGCAGCAACGAAGGCGCCAUUGAUACAAUCGUUAGGAAUAGUCUGCCGUCAACAGAUCGUUUCUGACACUGUUGUUAUCAUAUUACCUUGCUGUUACUACUGUGCUUGCACAUACUAAUCUUUCAGGUGUGGUUGAACCUGACAAAUUCAGCUGCUAAUACUUGGGAGUAUACUCUCACCUCCUAAGGCUUAUCAACAAAUUGGGUCGAAUACUCUACCCUUGAAAACUGCUGCGAACCCACGCGCUGGUGGGCCAUCAACAACAUUCUUCCAGUUUCAUUGUCGGGGAGUGCUAUCAUCAUUCUUGUGGUGCCAUUGCAGGAGAAGGUUUGUUGUCAUAAGCAUUCGUCUAGUUAACGCCAGAGAUUGCACGAUCAGCAUUUUUCUGGUGCCAUUGCCGGGGAGGUAUUGCUAUAUUCUCUGAGUCACUUGGGAUUUAUAUCUGCUGAUCACUAUGAAGAAUCUGAAGGAUCCGAAGAGCAAAGUCUUGCCCUCAACUACGAGGGGAGGUAAGGAAUUGCCAUCUAGCUCUGCACUUGAUUCACCUUCCGUUAUGAGUAAGUUUGCGACAUCACCUCCUGCUAGAAAUCUUGAUAUGUCGCCUGUGCUUGAUGAUGCUUAUGAUACUACUGCUAGAGAUGCUAUGCCUGAUGCUAUGCCUGAUACUAUGCCUGAUACCGCGCCUGAUACUGCUUGAGAUGCUAUGCUUGAUACUGCUUUGCCUGAUGAUGCUAGAGAUGCUAUUUUGCCUGAUGAUGCUAUGCUUGAUACUGCUAGAGAUACUCCUUUGCCUGAUGUUCCACUGGGAGUGUUCCUUGAUGCUCAUAUUGCUAGAGUUACUGCCAAUGCUCAUGAUGCUUCUGAAACUGCCGAUGCUAUUGAGAUAGAACCUCCUUUUGCUCCUGUUAGAUCUAGCUCUCCUAGAUAUGAAUUGCCUGAUAUACCUGAGGGUUACGUUAUGGAGGGAGAGAUAGCUGAGGAUUUUCUUGCGUGUAAGGAUGCCUAUGACGUUGAGAAAUUAAUUCUCAAGUGGAAGGAAAAAUCUUGGGAAGCUAGGAUGAAAAAUGACCCGAAGUUUGCCACUUCGCCUAUCUUUGUCACCGAUAAGGAUUAUGAAUUCUCUGUCGACCCUGAGAUAAUAUCUCUAGUCGAAUCUGAUCCUUUUCACGGUUAUGAGUCUGACACGGUCAUAGCCCAUCUUGCCAAACUAUCCAAAAUAGCCAACCUUUUCACUAAUGAGGAGAAGAUCCGCCACUACUAUAUCCUUAAGUUGUUUCCUUUCUCUCUAAAGGAUGGUGCUAAAGCCUGGUUCAUCUCUCUUGCUCCUGGAUGUGUGCGUAGUCCCCAGGAGAUGGUCUAUUACUUCUGUGAGAAAUAUUUCCCUGCCCACAAGAAGCAAGCUGCCUUGCAGGAAAUAUACAACUUUGCUCAACUCCAAGAAGAGAGUCUUCCACAAGCUUGGGGGAGGCUCGUCCAGCUACAGAAUGCUUUGCUUGAUCAACCUCUUAAGAAGAAUGAGAUACUUGAUAUCCUCUAUAACGGACUUACCGAUGCCUCUAGAGACUACCUAGAUAGCUGUGUCGGCUGUGUUCUUAGGGAACGAACUGUAGAACAAGCUGAGACCCUACUGAAUCACAUCUUGAUCAACGAUAAUGCUUGGACUAUUCCAGAACCACCUCCGAAGCCAACUCCUAAGAAAAGAGGUAUUCUAUUCCUUAGUCCCAAAGAUAUGCAAGAUGCCUAGAAAUCUAUGCAAGAGAAAGGCAUUAGAUCUGAAGAUGUCAAAAAUCUACCACCUAUCGAAGAGAUCCAUGGUCUCGAUAACCCGAUACAGGUAGUAGAAGUGAAUUCUCUGCGUAGCUUUGAUGAGAGUGAUAUUCCUUUUGAUAAACCUGCUAGCCUAUGCUUUGAUGAAUUUGACAACUUUGUUGCCAAACAACAGAGUUUCAAUGAUUAAGUUAGCAGACAUUUGGAACAAAGUACUUGUAUGCUUAGCCAUUUAAGUGCUUGCGUAGACAGAAAUGUCAAUGCUCUGAAAUUUCUGAGUAAACAUGCCUCUAUGAUUACUACUCAGGUACAACAAGUACUUAAAGCUCAGAAUGACCUGCUCAAUGAAUUAAAUGACAACUCUGUCAGAGUCAUUACUAGAGGUGGCAAAAUGACUCAGGAACCUUUGUAUCCUGAAGGUCAUCCUAAGGGAAUUGAUCAAGAUUCUCAAGGAAUCAAUGCUGAUACACCUAGUCAUCCUAAGGAGAAGAAGAAGGAUGAUAGAAACCUGCACGCCAGUUCACCAAAUACUAUCACACCUGAAGAACCUAAUGAUAUUUCUGCGUCUAAUGCAGAAACACAAUCUGGUGAUGAACAUGACCCUGGUGACAAUAUGGACAGUGAUGUUCAUAAUAAUUCUCAACCUAGCCAUGAUGAGGAUGUGGAGAUUGAACCUACGGUUAAUCCUGAUAAUCCACAACCUAAGAGAUACGACAAGAAUGACUUCACUGCUAGGAAGCAUGGUAAAGAAAGAGAGGCAUGGGUUCAGAGACCUAUGCCCUUUCCUCCUAAGCCAUCCAAGAAAAAGGAUGAUGAGGAUUUUGAGCGCUUCAUUGAGAUGAUAAGACCCGUCUUUCUGCAGAUGCGGUUAACUGAUAUGCUCAAGAUGUCUCCAUAUGCCAAGUACAUGAAAGAUAUAGUGACUAAUAAACAGAAGAUACCAGAUCUUGAGAUCUCCACCAUGCUUGCCAACUACACUUUUAAAGGUGGAACUCCUAAGAAACUUGGUGAUCCCGGAGUGCCCACUAUACCUUGCUCCAUUAAAGGAAACUACGUAAGAACUGCCUUAUGUGACCUUGGAGCCGGUGUUAGUGUUAUGCCGCUUUCUCUUUAUCAUAGACUUGAGUUGGAUAAGUUGACACCCACUAAAAUUUCUCUGCAAAUGGCCGACAAAUCAACUGCUUUCCCUAUCGGCGUUUGCGAGGAUGUGCCUGUUGUGGUUGCUAACACCACUAUCUUAACAAACUUUGUUAUCUUGGAUAUUCCCAAGGACGAUGCCAUGGCUAUCAUCCUCGGAAGACCCUUUUUAUACACUGCUGGGGCUGUUAUAGAUUGCAACAAAGGCAAUGUCACUUUCCACGUCAACGGUAAUGAGCACACAGUGCACUUUCCGAAGAAACGAUAUCCAGUACAUUGCAUCAAUGCUAUAGAAAAGACUUCAUCGAUUCUCAUUGGGAGCUUUGAAUGCCCUAUUCCUCGUGUCAAGAUGAAGUAUGAUUUGCUUGUUGGGGAGAUUUAUGUCCCCAUUGAGGUGACUUAGUGGCUAUUCAAAAAUUCUCCGUUCUCUCUUGCGAUUCAAGAAGGUUUUGUCAUAAGGACUUGAUCAACCCCAUUGACGAAUUUCUUCCGAUGACCAUGAAACUGAUGAAUCGGAGAGUCACAUACCUCUGUUUUGAGUUUUCCUUUUUCUGUUGCUUAGAAGAAAAAUGAGGGAAUUUGUUUAGCUUUUCUUGUUUUCUGUUUUAGCGUCCCGGAGAAAAAUACCUCGGAAAUAAAAGUUCUACGAUGGUCCUGAAAAAUUAGUAUGAUUUUUUCUGGAAUUUUUGAAAAUUUCUGGGCCUGAGAGCUGGCCAGGGGGCCUGACCAGUGGGCCACAAGCCCCCCCACCGCCACCUACCCCCCUGGUGGCGGGGUGCAAGCUUGUGGAGCCCACAGGCACCCCCUCCACUCAUUCCAGCUCCCAGCCUCUUCUUCCACCUCCAGAAAAAAUUGUUUCACAGCUCAAACCUGUGUUCUUGCUCAUUUGGGUCUGAUUUUCGAUCUCCUUGCUCAAAGUACCAUUCUCCGAACCAUUUUGGGGAAAUUACUCCUUGGUAAGUGACUCCUCCAUUGGUCCAAUUAGUUUUUUGCUCUAGUUCUUUAUCCUUCGCGUAUUCUUGCUACCUUGGUGACCCCGUUCUUCAGCUUGAAAGGUUGAUUUUAGCUGGUCCCAAGUAGUUUUAGCGCGUGAUACGGUCUCUAGGCACUAGUAGGAGUAGUUGCUACAAGUUGGGUUAAUCCUUAUUCACUUUUCUUUUGAAGUGUCUAAAAAUUUCAGAUUUUUUUAAAGCUAGAAAAAGGAAAAGAUGAGGAGGUUCUUGAGAGGCUCUUCAAGCCAUAACCCCAAGAAGGAUGAGAAGAACCACCCCAAGUACGCAGUCCCUUGAGUCACAGAAGUUCGAGUGUGCGAGUGGCCAAGUGAUGAAUUUUUGCGCACCGCCGGACUUUAUGAAGACUUUUAUUACUUGGUGGAGAACGCGGGUCUUACUGCGCUCGCUGAAGAUAAGUGCCCACAAUAUCUCCUCCUCACCAAUAUUUUCGUCCAAAGCUUCAACUUUUAUCCGAGGAAGAAUCCUCCCAUGGUUGAGUUCAUGAUAUACGAUGUUCCCCAGUACAUGACGUUGCAGGACUUUUGCAAUGUAUGCAAAUUACCUUAUGUUGGGGAUAUCCGUGACCCUCGUCCACAGGACUUGGAGGAUUUCAUUGGUUCUAUUGCUGUUGGAGAGGAGAGAGGAGUGUGUCGCGCUAGAAUUGCUAGCAUAUAUUUUCUUGUGCUUCGGUACUUCUCACUAUUUGUGGGAAAAUGUUUGAUUGGCCGUGGGGAGGCUGGAUCACUUAGCUCUCCAGACCUGGCGGUUUUGCGCGAAGGCCUUUAUAACAAUAAGACUUAUAGCCUGGGCGCUAUAGUAGCUCAACGGUUGAACCUGAACCGUUCUAAAGGUGUUGUCUAUGGAGGUAUCUAUGCUACCCGUCUUUCCAGACACUUCGAGAUACCCAUUAGACUGGGAGAGGAAGGAGAGAUGCUUCUCCGUGAGAAAUAUCUGGAUUAUGACAGCAUGGUUCGCCAUGAUUUUCUGGAUAGAGAUGCUAGUAGACGGAUGAUUUAUGACCUGGUAUUUAGUCAGGGUACUCGAGAGACUAUUACUUUGCCUGCUCCUUCUUUGUUUGAUCUUCAUGCAGGUAGGUACACUAUUAUGCCCGCGAACAUCUACGCAUAUUGGGGCUUGGCCCAACCACAGGCACCAGUGCCCGAGCCGCCAGUCGAGUACCAGACGCCAGUUUAUCAGGGGGAGCCAAAGGAGCUCACACAGCAGUGGCAUCCGCAGUCUGCUCUGGAGUAUCCUGGAGCUGGUUAUUUCCCACCUUGGGAGUAGACCAAGCUAGGCCAAAAGCCUAAGAUUGGGGGAGUACGUGUUCUCACCGACUUUACAUUCAUGCUUACGCUUUCACUUUGUUAGCCGGUGUUUAAACUUUGCCACUGUAUUAUCCAUGCUAGUUUCUUUUCGUUUUCUUGUUUUCUUGUUUUGUGUCCUUUUGAGAAAACCCAAAAAGAUUUUUCUUUCUUCUUUUGCUUGUUGGGAGCUUUCCCGUGUAAAUAGUUUUCUUUUUCUUUGUGUCAAGGUAGAAGAUAUUGGUUACAAUGCUUAGUGGUUCUUACAUGCUUACAUGUUUAGCUUUUAAAGAGCCAUAUUAUUUUGUCUUCUCCUUUGUGUUUGCCUGUAGAUUCAGCUUAGUCCAAUGCGCUUAUUAUCGUUUUCAUCGUUCGAUCGUGCAAAUGAAAGGCAACAAUGAUGGUAUAUGAUGAAGUGACUGCGACUAAAAAGCUGGUAUGAACUCUAUCUAUUUCAUUUUUGUAAAUAUGACCAGCUUGUCGACCCAGAUUUAGCUUUGUUGUGAGAGAACCAUGUUUGCAAUGACAACUUAGAGAUCAUAGUUUCUGAUGCCAUGCUUAUUUAGCUGAGAGCUUAUAAUGGUUUGUCUUGAUUGCCAACAUAGAUUUUGAGAUGACUAUGAUGUAGUAUGAUAGGAUGGUAUUCUCCUUUGAAUGUUUCAAGUGGCUUGACUUGGCGCAUGUUCAUGCAUGUAGUUGAAACAAAAUCAACAUAGCCUCUAUGAUGUUCGUGUUCAUGGUGAUUUCUAUCCUGUUCAUGCUUGCAUUUAAUGUUAGUCAAACUCAUUGCAUCUUGAUGACUGUUGUCGCUCUCUAGUUGGUCGCUUCCCAAUCUUUUGCUAGCCUUCACUUGUACUAAGCGGGAAUACUGCUUGUGCAUCCACUUCCAUAAACCCAAAAGUUUUUCCAUGAGAGUCCACCAUACCUACCUAUUUGCGGUAUCUACCUGCCGUUCCAAGUAAAUUUAAACGUGCCAUUCUCUAAACCUUCAAGAAAUAAUAUGUUUUGCAUGCCCGAACCGCUCAUGUGGUGACAGAGGGCUAUUGAUAUCUUCCAUGCUAGGAGUGUUAUCCUCGACAUGUGUUUAUUCAAAGUUAUUCACGAGAAAGGGGCCGGUAUUUGAGAUGCCCAGUUCCAUGCUUAAAUCGAAAACAUAACUGUAAAACAAGACUCCCCCCGGAUUGAUGUUAGUAUGGACGGUACUCGAGGAUUCGGCUAGCCGUGGAGUGUGAUUGAUUGGUGGUGGGGGAGUUAAAACUUUACUUUUCUGUUUGGGAACCGCCUAUAGCAUGAGUAGCAUGGAAGAUAUUGAGAACUCUUGGUCAUUGCGUUGACAAUGAAAGCAUGCCACCCUAAAUUAUUAUCUCUGUUUUCAAAGCUUGAGCUCUGGCACCUCUGCAAAUCAAUGCUUCCCUCUGCGAAGGUCCUGUCUAUUUAUUUUCCUGUCGAGUCAUCCUCCUCUUAUAUAAGCACCAAUUAGAGUGCAUGUCUGUCAUUUUUAUGCUUUGCUUUUGAUUGAUAUUGAGUAUGACUAUGACUGGAUCUUCGUUGCUAUGAAUUACAAUGUUUAGUCAGCCCUUGAUCUUUGAAAGUGCUCUGCAUUUAUGUUUUGCGGUCUCAGAAAGAGCUAGCGAGAUACCACCUAUUCAUAUUGCUUCAUGCUUGUUUUGAUUGAAGUGUUGGUAUUUGAAACUCAUUAUUAUUUGCUCGUUAGCUGAUUAUGCCAUUGAUAUUAGUUUACCGUGAGACCUUUGUGUCAUUUGCUUAUGUGGUUAACUUGUGAUCUUGCUGAUAUUCUGGUUAUGAGUUAGACAUAGUUGCAACAACAAGAUCAAACAGAGUUUGUCAAAGUUUUCCUUUCUCUCUCAGUUUGUCAACUGAGUUGCUCGAGGACAAGCAAGGUUUUAAGUUUGGGGGAGUUGAUACGUCUCCAACGUAUCUACUUUUCCAAACUCUUUUGCCCUUGUUUUGGACUAUAAUUUGCAUGAUUUGAAUGGAACUAACCUGGACUGACGUUGUUUUCAGCAGAAUUGCCUUGGUGUUAUUUUUGUGCAGAAAUCAAAGUUCUCCAAACGUCCUGAAAAUUUACGGGGAGCAGUUUUGGAAAAUACAAAAAAUAUCUGUGCCAAGUUCCACCUCAGGGGGUGGGCCAGUGGGCCACAAGCCCCUGCUCCGCCACCACCCCCUGGUGGCGGUGGGCAGGCUUGUGGGGCCCACAGGCACCUGCCGCCCCCAACUCCAGCUCUAUAAGUUGUCUUUCGUCCCAGAAAAAAUAAAAAGAGAAGUUUUUGUCGCGUUUUCGAUACGGAGGCGCCGCCACCACCUGUUCUUCAUCUGGAGGGCAGAUCUGGAAUCCCUCUUGGGCUUCGGAGAGGGGAAAUCGUCGCCAUCGUCAUCAUCAACCUUCUUCCCUCUCCAAUUCCAUGAAGCUCUUCGUCGUUCAUGAGUAAUCUAUUCGUAGGCUCGCCAGGCGGUGAUGAGUAGGAUGAGAUCUAUCAUGUAAUUGAGUUAGUUUUGAUGGGGAUUGAUCCCUAGUAUCCACUAUGUUCUGAGAUUUGAUGUUGCUACUACUUUGCCAUGCUUAAUGCUUGUCACUAGGGCCCGAGUGCCAUGAUUUCAGAUCUGAAAUUAUUAUGUUGUCACCAAUAUAUGUGUGUUUUAGAUCCGAUCUUGCAAGUUGUAGUUACCUACUAUGUGUUAUGAUCCGGCAACCCCGGAGUGACAAUAACCGGAACCACUCCCGGUGAUGACCAUAGUUUGAGGAGUUCAUGUGUUCACCAAGUGCUAAUGCGUUGGUCCGGUUCUUUAUUAAAAGGAGAACCUUAAUAUCCCGUAGUUUCCUUUUGGACCCCGCUGCCACGGGAGGGAUGGACAAUAGAUGUCAUGCAAGUUCUUUUCCCUAAGCACGUAUGACGACACACGGAAUGCAUGCCUACAUCACAUUGACGAACGGGAGCUAGCCACUUAUCUCUCCGUGUUAUAGCUGUUGCAUGAUGAAUAUCAUCCAAACAAAUCACCAACCCAUUGCCUACGAGCUUGUCCUACUUCUGUUACAUGUCUUGCUCUGCUGCUGCUACUACUGUUGCUACUGCUGUUACUUGUCUUGCUCUGCUGCUGCUACUACUGCUACUACUGUUGUUACUUGUCUUGCUCUGUUGCUGCUACUACUGUUGCUACUGCUGUUACUUGUCUUGCUCUGCUGCUACUGUUGCUACUUGCUACUGCUGUCACUACUGCUGUUCCUUGCCACUGCUAUUUCUCGUUACACUGCUACUACCUGCUACACUGUUGGUUCACCUACCGUUGACGGGAAUUGACAACUUCCGUUGACGCGGCAACAAAGGCACCAUUGAUACAAUCGUUAGGAAUAGUCUACCGUCAACAGAUCGUUUCUGACACCGUUGUUAUCAUAUUACCUUGCUGUUACUACUGUGCUUGCAUAUACUAAUCUUUCAGGUGUGGUUGAAUCUGACAAAUUCAGCUGCUAAUACUUGAGAGUAUACUCUCACCUCCUAAGGCUUAUCAACAAAUUGGGUCGAAUACUCUACCCUCGGAAACUGCUGCGAACCCACGCGUUGGUGGGCCAUCAACAACAUUCUUCCAGUUUCAUUAACGGGGAGUGCUAUCAACAUUCUUCUGGUGCCGUUGUAGGAGAAGGUUUGUUGUCAUAAGCAUUCGUCUAGUUAACGCCAGAGAUUGCGCGAUCAGCCAGCAGGUUGACCACAAGCCCUCAUGGUGCGUCCUGGGGGGUGGCCGCGCCGUGCAGGCUUGUGGGCACCCCCUGGCGCCCCUGUGGCACUUCUUCGGCCCAAUAUUUUUGAUAAAUCCGGAAAAAAUCCUCGUUGAUUUUCACGGCCUUUGGAGUUGCGCAGAAUAGGUAUCUCAACUUUGCUCCACUUUCACGCCAGAAUUCCAAUUGCCGGCAUACUCCCUCUUCAUGUAAACCUUGCAAAAUAAGAGAGAAAAGGCAUAAGAAUAGUACCAUGAAGUGAAAUAACAGCCCAAGAAGCGAUAAAUAUCAACAUGAAAACAUGAUGCGAAAUGGACGUAUCAACUCCCCCAAGCUUAGACCUCGCUUGUCCUCAAGCAAAAGCCAAGCUCAAUAAAUAUGUCCACAUGUUUAGGGAGAGAGGUGUCGACAAAACAAGAUACGAACAUGCAUGCAUCAUGAUCAAGAUCAUAACAACAAUACCAACAUAUAAUCUCUCAUGCUAAAGUGAUAAUUCCUUCACAAAGUAAAGCAUGGAUCAAGAACCUUACCGAGAAGUAACAACCGAUAGCUUUUAGUCAUUGAAGCAAUUGCAAUUUAUCACAACAUCAGAAAGAGUCAAAUAAGAGCUUGUAAAGCAAAUCCACAUACUCAAUCAUUCUUUCGUUCUCUACAAUUGGUACAACUCACGUGGUACUCAUGAGAUCAAAGUUUCAGCUGGACACAGAGAAAGAUAGGGGCUUACAGUUUUGCCUCCCAACUGCUUACCUCAAGGGUAAUGUCAUCAAUAAUAAUUCAUGAAUACUUACCUCCAAGUUGACAUAUGAAUAUAGAUCUUUCCCAAGCAUAUGACGUUAGCCAAGAUAAAGGCGAAACAAGGAAUUGGUGAAGAUCACCAUGACUCUUUCAAAGGCAAAAAGUAAAGGUACAAGAUAGGCCCUUCGCAGAAGGAAGCAGAGGUUGUCAUGCGCUUUUGAGGUUUGGAUGCAUGUCCUCUUAGUGCGGAGGAAUGCCACUUUAUAUUUCUUCCUGUGAUAAAGAACUUUAUUAUGCAGUCUGUCACUUUUAUGUCUUCCUCAUCACAGGUUCGUAUAAAGCUUAUUUUCCACACACUAAUAGAUCAUACAUAUUAGAGAGCAUUUUUUAUUGCUUGCACCGAUGACAACUUACUUGAGGGAUCUUAUUCAAUCCAUAGGUAGGUAUGGUGGACACUCAUGGCAAAACUGGUUUGAAGGUUUAUGGAUGCACAAGUAGUAUCUCUACUUGGUGCGGGAGGUUUUGGCUAAUAUGAGGCGGAAGCAAUCGUCACAUGCUAAGGGAUCUCUAAUCAUAUAACAUUGUUUGGAGCCAAGCAAGCACAAUUCAUUAUGUUGUCUUCCUUGUCCAACAUCUACUUCUAGGCAUGUAAUAGUUUAGUGAGUGUUCACAAUCAUAGAUGGUGUGAGAGAUGAUAUAUUUAUACGUGAACCUCUCCUUCUUUAUCACUUCCUAUUAAUUGCAACCAUGACCAAGGUCUACGUUUGCCUACCCUCAACAAGUUUCAAUCCUCAUUCUUUUUAUAUGUGAAGCCAUCACUUCCCAUAAGAUCAUUACAUGAUCUUUCAUGCUUUUGUUCUAUUCUCACUCUUUUGAUCAUGGCAAGAGGCGAAGCCCUUCAACUAAGACACUCUUUAUUAUAUGGCUCACGAGCUCGAAUACAUCGGGGGUGACACAAAGCAAAACUCAAGACUAAAACACUAAGACUUUUAAUCUACUAGAGAAAAAGAAAACUGAAAAGGAACAAACUUAAACAAAGGUAAAAGCAAAAGAUGUGAUGGUGAUACGAUACCGGGGCAACUCCCCUGAUCUUGGCACAAGCCAAGGGGAUUGCCCAUACCAAUGCUGAGUUGUCUUCGUUUGGUUGUGAUGGUGGAGUUGUUGCAACAUGAGUUUGAUCCUCCGUCUUCCAAGUCAUAGGUGCUCCAUCAUGGAAAGAUGAACGACUCUCCAGAAUCCUCAAAUCUGGAGCCAACCGUAUUGAUUUAAAUUUGUACUCAUACUCACAAUUUUGGUUCUGCAGGUCAUAGAUCUGGGCCUGGAGUUGAUGAAUCCUGUCAUAGAGCCUGGAGAGGUGCUUCCCAAUGUCAUUGGCAUCAAUCAUGUGCUUGUUGGUGAACUCCGUGAUCAUCAUGUGGUUGGCGUUGAGUCCACGCUCCACCAUCCCUUGACACUUGAAUACUUGUUGCUCCAUUGCUUCGAGCCUCGUCUCCACGCUUCCCAUCUUCUUAGGCCCCUCAACAUCAUGGAUGUGCAACAUCCCCUCAUGCAUCUCGAUAGAUUGAGGGUGUUGUAGCACUCCCAUGAGGUAGGGAUUGAUUAACUUCUCGAAGAUCUUGUCCUUCGGAGCUUUUGGGGAAGUCAUGGCGAUCUAGAUCUGCAACAGAAACAUGCUCGAAACGAAAAACAGAGGAAAUCUGCGUGAUCCAGGGGUCAGACCAAACAAAAGUAUAUAUAAUGUUUUUUCAGACCAGAAGGAGUACCCCGCACGAAAACGGAGUCCGGGAGGGGCACGAGGUGGCCACAAGCCCUCAUGGCGCGGCCAGGGGGUGGACCCGCGCCGUGCAGGCUUGUCGCCUCCUCGCGCACUUUUCGGACUACUUCCAAUUUUUGUAUUUUUUCAAAUAUUCCAAAACAGAGAAAAUUUCCUACUGGAAAAGUUUUGGACUCUGUUUUCUUACCGAAUCACACACCUCUUCGUUUUCGGAGUCUGAAACAGGGUGAUAAAUAUCCCUUAGGUAUUCUUCCGGAGUUAUGGUAUUGAAAAUAUUGCUUUCAACAUUUAUGGGAGUACCUGAGAUAUAAUGCUUGAUUCUUUGCCCAUUUACCACUCUCGGACAAUUACCUUCCGUGUUGUUGAUCUUGAUAGCACCAGAACGAUAUACUUCCUCAACAACAUAGGUACCUUCCCAUUUAGAGAGAAGCUUGCCUGCAAAGAAUCUUAAACGAGAGUUAUAUAGCAAGACAUAAUCACCUACAUUGAUCUCACGCUUUUGUAUCCUCUUAUCAUGCCACCUCUUAACCUUCUCUUUGAACAGCUUGGCAUUCUCAUAUGCCUGAGUUCUCCACUCAUCAAGCGAGGUAAUAUCAAAUAACCUCCUCUCACCAGCAAGUUUGAAAUCAAAGUUUAGCUCUUUGAUUGCCCAAUAAGCUUUAUGCUCUAGCUCAAGAGGUAAAUGACAUGCUUUAUCGUACACCAUUUUGUACGGAGACAUGGCCAUGGGAUUCUUAUAUGCAGUUCUAUAAGCCCACAGUGCAUCAUCGAGCUUCUUAGACUAAUUAUUUCUAGACCUGUUGACAGUCUUUUGCAGAAUUAGUUUAAUCUCUCUAUUUCUUAGCUCUACUUGACCACUGGACUGAGGGUGAUAGGGAGACGCAAUUCUAUGGUUGACAUCGUACUUAGCAAGCGUUUUAUGGAAAGCACCAUGAAUGAAGUGUGAACCACCGUCGGUCGUUAGGUAUCUAGGGACUCCAAAUCUAGGGAAGAUAACUUCUUUAAGCAUCCUCAUAGAAGUGUUGUGAUCAACACUACUAGUGGGGAUAGCUUCCACUUAGUGACGUAAUCAACAACAACUAGGAUAUGAGCAUACCCAUUGGAUUUUGGAAAAGGUCCCAUAUAAUCAAAGCCCCAAACAUCAAAUGGUUCAAUGACAAGUGAGUAGUUCAUAGGCAUUUCCUGACGUUUUCUAAUAUUAUCUAUUCUUUGAGAUUCGUCACAAGACAAGACAAACUUACGGGCAUCCUUGAAGAGAGUGGGCCAAUAGAAACCUGAUUGCAAUACCUUGUGUGCAGUUCUAUCUCCCGCAUGGUGUCCUCCGUAGGCCUCGGAGUGACACUUCUGCAGGAUCUGUCCCUGUUCAUGUUCAGGUACACAACGUCUAAUAACACCAUCUACUCCUUCCUUAUAAAGGUGAGGAUCAUCCCAAAAGUAGUGUCUCAAGUCAAAGAAGAAUUUCUUCUUUUGCUGGUACAUGAAACUAGGUGGUAUGUAUUUGGCAACGAUAUAGUUUGCAUAAUCAGCAUACCACGGUGAACUACGUGAAGCAUUGAUGACAUUCAAUAGCUCAAUGGGAAAGCUAUCAUCAAUAGGUUGUGGGUCAUCAAGAACGUUCUCCAACCUAGACAAGUUAUCUGCUACUGGGUUAUCAGCACCCUUUCUGUCGACAACGUGCAAAUCAAAUUCUUGUAGCAAGAGAACCCAUCUGAUAAGUCUCGGUUUAGCGUCUUUCUUCUCCAUGAGGUACUUCAUGGCAGCGUGAUCAGUGUGAAUAAUGACUUUGGAAUCAACUAUGUAAGACCUGAACUUUUCACAUGCAAACACGGGUGCUAAAAAUUCCUUCUCCGUAGUGGCAUAGUUUCUCUCGGCACUGUCUAGAGUUUUACUAGCAUAGUGAAUAACAUUCAACUUCUUAUCAACUCUUUGCCCAAGAACAACACCAACAGCAUAAUCACUAGCGUCACACAUGAUCUCAAACGGUAAGUUCCAAUCAGGUGGUUGAACAAUAGGUGCAGUUAUCAAAGCCCUCUUAAGUAUUUCAAAGGCUUCCUCACAAUCAUCGUCAAAGACAAAAGGAAUAUCCUUUUGCAAGAGAUUGGUAAGAGGCCUAGAAAUCUUAGAGAAGUCUUUAAUGAACCUUCUAUAGAAACCUUCAUGACCAAGGAAACUUCUUAUCCCUUUGAUAUCUGUGGGGUAUGGCAUUUUCUCGAUUGCAUCAACCUUAGCCUUAUCGACUUCAAUACCUCUUUCGGAAAUUUUAUGUCCUAAGACAAUUCCUUCAUUAACCAUAAAGUGGCACUUCUCCCAAUUCAAGACAAGAUUGGUGUCUUUACAUCUCUCUAAGACUCGAUCAAGGUUGCUGAGGCAAUCAUCAAAAGAAAACCCGUAAACGGAGAAGUCAUCCAUGAAAACCUCGACAAUCUUUUCACAAAAGUCAGAGAAUAUAGCCAUCAUACAUCUUUGAAAGGUGGCAGGUGCAUUACAUAAGCCAAAGGGCAUACCUCUAUAAGCAAAGGUACCGAAAGGGCAGGUGAAAGUGGUUUUCUCCUGAUCAGAUUGUGCAACUGGUAUUUGGGAGAAACCAGAAUAACCGUCUAGAAAGCAAAAGUGUGUGUGUUUAGACAACCUUUCUAGCAUUUGGUCGAUAAAAGGCAAAGGGUAAUGAUCCUUCCUAGUGGCUUUAUUCAAUUUCCUAAAACCGAUCACCAUCCUAUAGCCAGUAAUAAUCCUUUGUGGGAUAAAUUCAUCCUUAUCAUUAGGGACAACGGUAAUGCCUCCCUUCUUAGGGACGCAAUGCACCGGACUCACCCAAUCGCUAUGAGCAACAGGAUAGAUAAUACCCGCUUCCAGGAGCUUUAGUAUUUCUUUUCUCACUACUUCUUUCAUCUUAGGAUUUAAUCUCCUUUGAUGAUCAACAACUGGUUUGAAAUCAGGAUCGGUUUUAAUCUUGUGCUGGCAUAGGGUAGGACUAAUGCCCUUAAGAUCAUCAAGAGUAUAUCCAAUAGCAGCACGGUGCUUCCUCAGAGUUUUUAGUAACUUCUUUUCUUCAUGCUUUGAGAGGCUAGCACUAAUAAUGACAGGAUAUAUCUCCUUUUCAUCAAGAUAGGCAUACUUAAGAGUAUCAUGCAACUAUUUAAGAUCGAACACAGGAUCACCCUUUGGUGGGGGUGGAUCCCCAAGCAGUUCAACGAUAUUGUUCUAAGACAACUCUAUCUCAUCCCUUUCAUCCAUAUGUAUAUCAUUUUUAUGCUCAAGCAAGUAUUGCUCUAAGGGAUCAGUAGGAGGCACGACAAUAGAAGCUAAGGCAAUAGUUUCAUCCUUACUAGGCAACUCCUUUUCAUGAGGUUGUCUACCAAACUUAGAGAAACUGAACUCAUGUGACACACCUUCAAAGCCAACAGUGACAGUUUGCUUCUCACAAUAAAUAUGAGCAUUGACGGUAUUGAGAAAAGGUCUGCCAAAUAUGAUGGGACAAAAGCUAUCUUGUGCGGUAGAAAGAACGAGGAAAUCAGCAGGAUACUUCAUUUUACCACACAAGACUUCAACAUCCCAAACAAUUCCCACAGGGCAGAUAAUAUCUCUAUUGGCAAGCUGAAUAGUGACAUCAAUGGGCUCUAUCUCAACAGGUGCAAUCUCGUCUUUAAUUUCAUCGUAUAAGGAUUGAGGUAUUGCACUAACACUAGCACCCACGUCACAUAAGCCAUGAUAACAAUGAUCUCCUAUCUUAACAGAAACCACAUGCAUGCCAACAACAUGCCUAUGUUUGUCUCUAGCGUGAGGUUUAGCAAUUCUAGCAGCAUCUUCACAGAAGUGAAUAUUAUGUCCCUCAACAUCGUCGCACAGAAGAUCUUUGAUAAUAGCAAUGCUAGGUUCAACUCUAAUUUGCUCAGGGGGUGUAGGUGUUCUAAUAUAGCCUCUACGUAUCACAAUUGAAGCUUUAGAAUGAUCCUUCAUCCUAACAGGGAAAGGUGGUUUCUCAAUGUAAGCACUCGGAACAAGAGGAUCAUUAUAGGCAAUGACUUUCUCUUCAACUGGAAUGGGUUUAACUACAUUGACUUCUAAAGGAGGAUGAUAUUUAAACCACUUCUCUUUGGGGAGAUCAAUAUGGGCAGCAAAGGAUUCACACAAUGAAACUACUAUCUCAGAGUCAAGUCCAUACUUAGCGCUAAAAUCACUAAAGGUAUUUGUCUCAACAAAGGAUUUAACGCAAUCAAACGUGAAAUUCAUACCUGACUCCUUACCUUCUUCAAGCUCCCAAUCUUCAGAGUUGCGUUUAAUUCUCUCCAAUAAAUUCCAUUUGAAGUCAAUAUCUCUCUUCAUAAAAGAACCGGUACAAGAAGUGUCAAGCAUGGUGCGAUCAUCAUGAGAAAGCCGAGCAUAGAAGUUCUGAAUGAUAAUUUCUCUCAAGAGCUCAUGAUUGGGGCAUGAAUAUAACAUUGAUUUAAGCCUCCCCCAAGCUUGAGCGAUGCUUUUUCUGUCACAAGGCCAAAAAUUGUAAAUAUAAUUCCGAUCACGAUGUACUAAAUGCAUAGGAUAAAACUUUUGAUGAAACCAAUUUCAACCGAUUGUAGUCCCAUGAUCCAGUAUCAUCACAUAGCCUAUACCAUGUCAACGCCUUAUCCUUCGAAGAUAAAGAAAAGACAUUCUUCUUGACCUCAUACUCGGGCACACCUGCAAGCUUAAAUAAACCACAAACUUCAUCUACAUAGAUUAGAUGCAAGUCUGGAUGUGAUGUUCCAUCUCCUGUAAAAGGAUUAGCCAGCAGUUUCUCAAGCAUACCCAAAGGAAAUUCAAAGAAAAUAUUUUCAGUAGGUGCAGAAAGUUGAGGAGCAACUAUUUGUGCUUCCGUUCGAGGUGAACAUACCCCGAACAAGCCCCUCAAAGGAUUAGUAUCCAUAGUAACAAGUGACAAUAAAUUUCAGCACACUAUAUGAANAGGAGACACGAGAAUUUCUGUCAUGCUAGUUCUCAUCAUGUUCAUUUGAUUCACGUUCGUUACUUUGAUAGUUUGAUAUGUGGGUGGACCAGCGCUUGGGUACUGCCCUUACUUGGGCAAGCAUCCCACUUAUGAUUAACCCCUCUCGCAAGCAUCCGCAACUAUGAAAGAAGAAUUAAGACAAAGUCUAACCAUAGCAUUAAACUAGUGGAUCCAAAUCAGCCCCUUACGAAGCAACACAUAAACUAGGGUUUAAGCUUCUGUUACUCUAGCAACCCAUCAUCUACUUACUACUUCCCAAUGCCUUCCUCUAGGCCCAAAUAAUGGUGAAGUGUUAUGUAGUCGACGUUCACAUAACACCACUAGAGGAAAAACAACAUACAACACAUCAAAAAAUCGAACGAAUACCAAAUUCACAUGACUAGUAAUAGCAUGACUUAUCCCAUGUCCUCAGGAACAAAAGUAACUACUCACAAAGCAUAAUAAUAUUCAUGAUCAGAGAGGUAAUGAGUAGCAUCAAGGAUCUGAACAUAAACUCUUCCACCAAGUAAUCCAACUAGCAUCAACUACAAAGAGUAAUCAACACUACUAGCAACCUUACAAGUACCAAUCGGAGUCGCGAGACGGAGAUUGGUUACAAGUGACGAACUAGGGUUUGGAGAUGAGAUGGUGCUGAUGAAGAUGUUGAUGGUGACGAGUCCCCUCCUAUGAGAGGAGUGUUGGUGAUGACGAUGGCGAAGAUUUCCCCCUCUAGGAGGGAAGUUUCCCCGGUAGGAUCGUCCUGCCAGAGCUCUAGAUUGGUUCUGCUCAAGUUCCACCUCGUGGCGGCGACGAAUCCACGAAAAAGCUCCUCCCUGAUUUUUUUCCAGACGAAACCCUUCAUAUAGCAGAAAAGGGGGGCAAGUGGGCGAGCAGGUUGCCCACAAGCUCUCAUGGCGUGGCCGUCGGGGGGGGGGGGGGGUGGCCGCGCCGUGCAGGCUUGUGGGCACCCCCUGGCGCCCCUUGAUACGUAACAAACGUAUCUAUAAUUUUUGAUGAUUUCACGCUGUUAUCUUUCCUUCUUUGUAUGUUUUAUGUACCUUUUUAUAUCUUUUUGGGACUAACUUAUUAAUUCAGUGCCAAGUGCCAGUUCCUGUUUUUCCGUGUUUUUGACUCUUUUAGAUCUGAUUUUGGAAUGGAGUCCAAACGGAAGAAAAACCCCGAAAUGAUUUUCUCCCGAACGGAAGAAGUCCACGGGGCUUUUGGGCCAAGCCAGGUGGGCUCCAGGGAGCCCACAAGCCCCCACUCCGCCACUAGGGGGGAGGCGGCGGUGGGCAGGCUUGUGGCCUCCCUGGCCGCCCCCUGACCUAGAUCUUUGGCCUAUAAAUUCCCAAAUAUUCUGCAAAAAAUCUCGGGAGUCUCGAAAAUACAUUUUCGCCGCCGCAAGCUUCCGUUUCCGUGAGAUCUUAUCUGGAGACUCUUCCCGGCGCCCUGCUGGAGGGGACUUUGGAGUUGGAGGGCUUCUUCUUCAUCAUCAUCGCCCCUCCAAUGACUCGUGAGUAGUUCACUUCAGACCUACGGGUCCAUAGUUAGUAGCUAGAUGGCUUCUUCUCUCUCUUGGAUCUUCAAUACAAAGUUCUCCAUGAUCUUCAUGGAGAUCUAUCCGAUGUAAUCUUCUUUGGCAGUGUGUUUGUCGAGAUCCGAUGAAUUGUGGAUUUGUGAUUAGAUUAUCUAUGAUAUAUAUUUGAGUCUUUGCUGAUUUCUUAUAUGCAUGAUUUGAUAUCCUUGUAAGUCUCUCCGAGUCUUCGGUUUUGUUUGGCCAACUAGAUCUAUGAUUCUUGCAAUGGGAGAAGUGCUUGGUUUUGGGUUCAUACCGUGCGGUGACCUCACCCAGUGACAGAAGGGGUAGCGAGUCACGCAUCGUGUUGUUGCCAUCAAGGGUAAAAAGAUGGGUUUUUUAUCAUUGGUUUGAGAUUAUCCCUCUACAUCAUGUCAUCUUGCUUAAGGCGUUACUCUGUUCUUAUGGACUUAAUACACUAGAUGCAUGUUGGAUAGCGGUCGACGUGUGGAGUAAUAGUAGUAGAUGCAGACAGUAUCGGUCUACUUGUUUCGGACGUGAUGCCUAUAGAAAUAAUCAUGGCAUAGAUAUCGUCACGACUCUGCACAAUUCUAUCAAUUGCUCGACAGUAAUUUGUUCACCCACCGUCUACUUGCUUUCAUGAGAGAAGCCACUAGUAAACACAAUGGCCCCCGGGUCUAUUCACAUCCAUCGUUUACAACUCCACUUUUACUUUGCUUUGUUACUUUGUUCCUUUCAGUUCUCACUUGGGAAACAAUCUAUAAGGGAUUGACAACCCCUUCAUAGCAUUGGGUGCAAGUUUUUGUGUUUGUGUAGGAUCUUGAGAUACUCCUCCGCCGGAUUGAUACCUUGGUUCUCAAAACUGAGGGAAAUACUUACCUCCGCUGUGCUACAUCAUCCUCUCCGCUUCGAGGGAACACCAACGCAGAAGGAUUCCUGGUGCCGUCAACGUGCUCAUUUCUGGCACCACUGGAAGGUCUUUUGUGCAGUAGCAUAACGGACAUCAGAAGCAUCUCUGGCACCUUGCCGGGGAUACACAGCAAACAUCAGAAGUAUUUCUGGCGCCGUUGCCGGGGAGGAGAAAUCAAGAUCUAUCCAAGUAGGUCUCACAAACUCUUCUCUUGCAUUUACUUUUGUUGCCAGUUGCCUCUCGUUUUCCUCUCCCCCACUUCACAUUUGCCGUUUUCAUUCGCGUUUCUCCUUCGCCAUUUUCUCUUGCCCUUGCCGUUUUCCUUUGCCGGUUUCUUGCUUGCUUGUGUGCUUGUUUGUUUGUUGAAGACAUCAUGUCUGAAAACACCAAACUUUGUGACUUCUCGAGCACUAAUAAUAAUGAUUUUAUAGUACUCCGAUUGCUCCCGCCACUAGUGUGGAAUCGUAUGAAAUCAACGCAACUUUGCUGAAUCUUGUUAUGAAAGAGCAAUUUUCUGGCCUUCCUAGUGAAGAUGCCGCAUCCCAUCUCAAUACCUUCAUUGAGCUUUGUGAUAUGUAAAAGAAAAGAGAUGUGGAUAAUGACGUGAUUAAGUUGAAACUUUUUUCCUUUCUCGUUGCGAGAUCACACAAAAACUUGGUUUUCUUCUUUGCCUAAAAAUAGUAUCAAUUCUUGGGAUAGGUGCAAAGAUGCUUACAUAUCCAAGUAUUUUCCGCCGACUAAGAUCAUCUCCUUACAUAACGAUAUCAUGAAUUUCAAGCAACUUGAUCAUGAACACGUUGCACAAUCUUGGGAGAGUUUGAAGCUUAUGAUUAGAAAUUGUCCCGCUCAUGGCUUGGACUCCGCCUCAGGUGGAACGUUCAUGGAAAUCACGUUAGGAGAUGCUACAAAACUCCUAGACAAUAUCAUGACCAACUACUCUCAGUGGCAUACUGAAAGGUCGCCUGCUAGCAAAAAGGUGCACGCUAUAGAAGAGAUUAACUCGCUUAGUGCUAAGAUGGACGAGUUGAUGAAUUUGGUUGCUAGUAGAAACGCUACCGUAGAUCCUAAUGACAUGCCACUAUCUUCUUUGAUUGAGAGUAGCAACGCUAGUUUGGACGUGAACUUUGUUGGUAGGAACAAUUUUGGCAACAACAAUGCUUUUAGAGGAAACUAUGUUCCUAGGCCUUUUCCUAGUAACUCCUCUAACAAUUAUGGCAAUUCCUACGGCAACACUUAUGGAAAUCACAACAAAUUACCCUCUGAUCUAGAGAGUAAUAUCAAAGAGUUCAUCAACUCUCAAAAGAUUUUCAAUGCGUCCAUAGAGGAAAAACUACUCAAAAUAGACGAUUUGGCUAAGAGCGUUGAUAGGAUGUCUUGUGAUAUUGAUGCUUUGAAAGUUAGAUGCGGUCCUCCCAAGAUCUACUUGGAUGAAACUUUGAAAGCUAUGCGUAUCUCCAUGAAUGAGAGCAAAGAAAGAACCGCCCAAAUUCGCGCUAGACAUGAAUGGUUUAAAAGGGUGCAUUCUAGUGAUGCAAAUCACAAAGAUCUUAAAGUGCUUGGUGUGUCUCCUCUUGAAUCUUUGUUUUCGCGUGACAAACCUACUUAUGGAGGGGCUGGAUAUGAAUCCACUUUGGUUGAAAAACGCCCCGAUGAUUGGAGUCCACCUAUCUUGAUGAUAAAGGUGUGGAGAGUGGAGUAGAAGAAGUCAAAAUUUUGGGUAGUAAUGAAACUCCCACUUUGGAUUUCAAGGAAUUCAAUUAUGAUAAUUUCUCCUUGUUUGAAUGCAUUUCUUUGAUGCAAUCCAUUGCAAACUCUCCACAUGCUUAUAGCCAAAGUAAAGCCUUUACCGCGCAUAUCGUAGAUGCUAUGAUGAAAUCUCUUCAAGAGAAGCUCGAACUAGAAGUCUCUAUACCUAGAAAACUUCAUGAUGAGUGGGAACCUACUAUCAAAUCAAGAUAAAAAACUAUGAGUGCAAUGCUUUGUGUGAUUUGGGUGCUAGUGUUUCCGCGAUUCCAAAGUCUUUAUGUGAUAUUCUUGGUUUUCAUGAGAUUGAAGAGUGUUCUCUUAAUUUGCAUCUUGCGAAUUCUACUGUCAAGAAGCCCAUGGGGAGGAUCGAUGAUGUUCUUAUUGUUGCAAAUAAGAACUAUGUACCCGUGGAUUUCAUUGUACUUGACAUAGAUUGCAAUCCUUCAUGUCCCAUUAUUCUUGGUAGACCUUUCCUAAGGACUAUUGGUGCUAUCAUCGAUAUGAAGGAAGGGAAUAUUAGAUUUCAAUUUCCCUUAAAGAAGGGCAUGGAGCACUUUCCUAGAAAGAAAAUAAGAUUGCCAUAUGAAUCUAUGAUGAGGGCUACCUAUGGUUUGAGUACCAAAGAUGACUAUACGUGAUUCCAUCACUUUCGCCUAGCUAAGGGCGUUAAACAAAAGCGCUUGUUGGGAGGCAACCCAACGAAUCCAUCCUUUUUCUUUCUGUUUUGUGUUUUCCACACUUUCAUAAUUCUGUUAUGAUUGUGUUUUUGUGUUCCUUUUUGCGUUUGUGCCAAGCAAAACCGUUAUGAUUAGUCUUCAGGAUGAUCGUUUGGACAUGCUGGAAAAGACAGAAACUUUCUGCUCACGAAAAGAAUUUUAAUUUAUUUCUAUAAGAGCUUUUGAGUUGAUUCUUUUUUCUGCUGAUUUCUACGCAAAUUCUUCAGACUGUCGUAAUUGUUCUAAAUUUUUGAAGUACCAGAGGUAUAAGAAAUAUACAGAUUGCUACAGACUGGUCUGCUGUUAACAGAUUCUGUUUUUGUUGUGUUGGUUGCUUAUUUUGAUGAAACUAUGGAUAGUAUCGGGGGGUAUUAGCCAGGGAAUAUUGAAAGUACAGUAACACAACAUCAUAACAAGUAGAAUUUAAGUUCGCUACAGUACCUAAGGAAGUGGUGGUUUGCUUUCUUGUACUAAUGUUAUCACGAGUUUCUGUUUAAGUUUCGUGUUGUGAAGUUUUCAAGUUUUGGGUGAAGUUCUUAUGGACAAAAAGAUAAAGAGUGGCAAGAUAUCAAGCUUGGGGAUGCCCAAGGCACCCCAAGAGAUUCAAGGAUGCCGUAAAAUCCUAAGCUUGGGGAUGCCCCGGGAAGGCAUCCCCUCUCUCGUCUUCAAUCCAUCGGUAACGUUACUUGGGGCUAUAUUUUUAUUCACCACAUGUUAUGUGUAUUUGCUUGGAGCGUCUUGUAUCGUAGGAGUCUUUUCUUUUUGUUGUGUCCCAAUCAUCCUUGCUGCACACCUAGAGAGAUAUACAUGCACACACCGUGAUUUUGUCGAGCUUCACUUAUAUCUUUUGGUAGACAAUUCAGCUCACAUGUGCUUCACUUAUAUCUUUUGAGCUAGAUACUUUUGCUCUGUGUGCUUCACUUAUAUCUUUUAGUGCGCAACGGUGCGUGGCUUGGUAGUUGAUCUAUGCUUUUAAAGUAGUCUCAAAAGGGGUAGUUAUCCAAAGGAAUACGAAAACUUCCACCUUCAUGUGCAUUGAAUAGUUAGAGAAGUUUGAUUCAUCUCAAUUAGUUUUGAGUUGUGGUUAUGGUAAUAUUGAAGUCAUGCUAGUAAGGUGUUGUGGAUCUAGAAAUACUUGUGUUGAAGUUAGUGAUUCCCGUAGCAUGCACGUAUGGUGAACCUCUAUGUGAUGAAGUCUGAGCAUGAUUAGUCUUUUGAUUGUCAUCCUUUGCGUGGUGGUCGGGAUCGCGCGAUGGUUUAUACCUACCAACCCUUCCCCUAGGAGUAUGUGUUGAAUGCUUUGUUUCGAUUACUAAUAAAACUUUUGCAACAAGUAUAUGAGUUCUUCAUGACUAAUGUUGAGUCCAUGGUUUAGAUGCACUUUCACCUUCCACCAUCACUAUCUUCUUAGUGCCGUGCAACUUUCGCCAGUGCACAAAACCCACCAUUAGCCUCCCUCAAAACAGCCACCAUACCUACCUACUAUGGCUUUUUCAAAAGUCAUUCCGAGAUAUAUUGCCAUGCAACUAACACCAUGACAUGUGCCACCACGUCUACAUUGCCAUUGCAAGAUUGUAAGAUAGCUAGCAUGAUGCUUCCAUUGAUGUCUAUACCAUGCUAGAUCAUUGCCACAGUACACUACCGAAGGCAUUCCAUGUAGAGUCAUAGUUGCUCUAAGUUUUGAGUUGAAAGCGUGAUGAUCAUCAUUAUUGGAGCAUUGUCCCAUGUGAGGAAAUAAAAGAGGCCAAAGAAGCCCAUAAAAAAAGAGGCCAAAGAGCCCACCAAAAAAAAUGAGAGAAAAAGAGAGAAGGGACAAUGCUACCACUUUUUCCACACUUGUGCAUAUUGAGCACCAUGAUCUUCAUGAUUGGGACUCUCUCAUUUUGUCACCACCAUAUAGCUAGUGGGAAAUUUUCAUUAUAUAACUUGGCUUGUAUAUUCAGAUGAUAGGCUUCCUCAAAAUUGCCUUAGGUCUUCGUGAGCAAGCAAGUUGGAUGCACACCCACUAGUUUUCUUUAUGAGCUUUCACAUACUUGUAGCUCUAGUGCAUCAUUUGUAUGGCAAUCCCUACUCAUUCACAUUGAUAUCUAUUGAUGAGUAUCUCCAUAGCUCAUUAAUAUGCCUAGUUAAUGUGACUAUCUUCUCCUUUUUGUCUUGCAACCUCCACCACAUUCCACACCAUCUAUAGUGCUAUAACCAUGGCUCACGCUCAUGUAUUGCGUGAGAGUUGAAAAUGUUUGAGAAAGUAAAGGUGUGAAACAAUUACUUGGCCAAUACCGGGGUUGUGAAAGAUUUAAAUUCAUUGUGCAAUGGUGAUAGAGCAUAGCUAGACUAUAUUAUUUUGUAGGGAUAACUUUCUUUUGGCCUUGUUAUUUUGAAAGUUCAUGAUUACUUUGCUAGUUUGCUUGAAUUAUUAUUGUUUCCACGUCAAUAGAAAACUAUUGUAUUGAAUCUAAUGGAUCUGAACAUUCACGUCACAUAAGAGGAAUUACAAAGGACACCUAUGCUAGGUAGCAUGAAAGCAUCAAAAAUUCAUUCUUAUCACCUCCCUACUCGAGGACGAGCAGGAGUUAAGCUUGGGGAUGCUUGAUACGUCUCAAACGUAUCUAUAAUUUUUGAUGAUUUCACGCUAUUACCUUGCCUUCUUUGUAUGUUUUAUGUACCUUUUUAUAUCUUUUUGGGACUAACUUACUAAUUCAGUGCCAAGUGCCAGUUGCUGUCUUUUUCGUGUUUUUGACUCUUUUCAGAUGUGAUUUUGGAACGGAGUCCAAACGGAAGAAAAACCCCGAAAUGAUUUUUUCCCAAACGGAAGAAGUCCAGGGGGCUUUUGGGCCAAGCCAGGUGGGCUCCAGGGAACCCACAAGCCCCCACUCCGCCACCAGGGGGGAGGCAGCGGUGGGCAGGCUUGUGGCCUCCCUGGCCGCCCCCUCACCUAGAUCUUUGGCCUAUAAAUUUCCAAAUAUUCUGCAAAAAAUCAGGGGAGCCUCAAAAAUACUUUACCGACGCCGCAAGCUUCCGUUUCCGUGAGAUCUCAUCUGGAGACCCUUCUUGGUGCCCUACCGGAGGGGACUUUGGAGUUGGAGGGCUUCUUCAUCAUCAUCAUCGUCCCUCCAAUGACUCGUGAGUAGUUCACUUCAGACCUACGUGUCCGUAGUUAGUAGCUAGAUGGCUUCUUCUCUCCCUUGGAACUUCAAUACAAAGUUCUCCAUGAUCUUCAUGGAGAUCUAUCCGAUGUAAUCUUCUUUGGCGGUGUGUUUGUCGAGAUCCGAUGAAUUGUGUACUUGUGAUCAGAUUUUCUAUGAUAUAUAUUUGAGUCUUUGCUGUUUUCUUAUAUGCAUGAUUUGAUAUCCUUGUAAGUCUCUCCGAGUCUUCGGUUUUGUUUGGCCAACUAGAUCUAUGAUUCUUGCAAUGGGAGAAGUGCUUGGUUUUGGGUUCUGCCAUGUGGUGACCUUUCCCAGUGACAGUAGGGGCAGCAAGGCACACAUCAAGGAGUUGCCAUCAAGGGUAAAAAGAUGGGGGUUUUAUCAUUGGUUUGAGAUUAUCCCUCUACAUCAUGUCAUCUUGCUUAAGGCGUUACUCUGUUCUUAUGGACUUAAUACACUAGAUGCAUGUUGGAUAGCGGUCGACGUGUGGAGUAAUAGUAGUAGAUGCAGACAGUAUCGGUCUACUUGUUUCGGACGUGAUGCCUAUAAAAAUAAUCAUGGCAAAGAUAUCGUCACGACUCUGCACAGUUCUAUCAAUUGCUCGACAGUAAUUUGUUCACCCACCGUCUACUUGCUUUCAUGAGAGAAGCCACUAGUAAACACUACGGCUCCGAGGUCUAUUCACAUCCAUCGUUUACAACUCCACUUUUACUUUGCUUUGUUACUUUGUUGCUUUCAGUUCUCACUUGGCAAACAAUCUAUAAGGGAUUGACAACCCCUUCAUAGCGUUGGGUGCUAGUUUUUGUGUUUGUGCAGGAUCUUGAGAUACUCCUUCGCCGGAUUGAUACCUUGGUUCUGAAAACUGAGGGAAAUACUUACCUCCGCUGUGCUACAUCAUCCUCUCCGCUUUGAAGGGAACACAAACGCAGAAGGAUUCCUGGUGCCUUCAACGUGCUCAUUUCUGGCGCCACUGGAAGGUCUUUUGUGCAAUAGCAUAACGAACAUCAAAAGCAUCUCUGGCACCUUGCCAGGGAUACACAACAAACAUCACUCCUCUGGCACUUCUUCGGCCCAGUAUUUUUGAUAAACCCGGAAAAAAUCCUCAUUGAUUUUCACGGCGUUUGGAGUUGCCCAGAAUAGGUAUCUCAACUUUGCUCCACUUUCAGGCCAGAAUUCCAGUUGCCGGCAUUCUCCGUGUUCAUGUAAACCUUGCAAAAUAAGAGAGAAAAGGCAUAAGAAUAGUACCGUGAAGUGAAAUAACAGCAAAAUAAGCGAUAAAUAUCAACAUGAAAACAUGAUGCAAAAUGGACGUAUCAGGUACUAGCCAUGGAAAAGUGAGAAUGCAGUAAUCUAACACCAAUAUAAAUAGAAAUCAAGUUUGCUACAGUACCUAAAGAGAUGGUAGUUUGUUUUCUUACGCUAAUGAUAUCAUGAGUUUCUGUUUAAGUUUUGUGUUGUGAAGUUUUCAAGUUUUGGGUGAUGUUCUCGUGGACAAUGGAAUAAAGAGUGGAAAGAGAUCAAGCUUGGGGAUGCCCAUGGCAUCCCAAGCCAAAUUCAAGGACACCAAAAAGCCUAAGCUUGGGGAUGCCCCGGGAAGGCAUCCCCUCUUUCGCCUUCAAUCCAUCGGUAACAUUACUUGGAGCUAUAUUUUUAUUCACCACAUGAUAUGUGUUUUUCUUGGAGCGUCUUGUAUUGUAGGAGUCUUUCCUUUUUGUUAUGUCACAACUAUCCUUGCUGCAAACCUUUUGAGAGAGACAUGCACUCAUCAUGAAUUUGCUAGAAUACUCUUUCAGCUUCGCUUAUAUCUUUUGAGUUAGGUAACUUUGCUCUAUGUGCUUCACUUAGAUCUUUUAGAGCACGACGGUGUCAUAUUUUGGAGAAAUAAGAACUCUCGAUCUUCACUUAUAUCUUUUUGAGAGUGAUCUCUCUAAGUAACUUGGUAGUUGGCUUGUGCUAUGAAAGUAGUCCCAAAGGUGAUAGGUACCCAAAGAGGAUACAAUAAAACUUCCAUGUUCUUGUGCAUUGAUUAGAAAGAGAAGUUUGAUUCCUCUCAAAUAGUUUUGAGACAUGGAUUUGGUAAUAUUAAGAGUUAUGUUAGUAGGGUGUUGUGAAUCUAGAAAUACUUGUGUUGAAGUUAGUGAUUCCCGUAACAUGCACGUAUGGUGAACCGCUAUGUUAGGAAGUCAGAGCAUAAUUGAUCUAUUGAUUGUCAUCCUUUGUGUUGGGGUCGGGAUCGCGCGAUGGUUAACACCUACCAACCCUUCCGCUAGGAGUAUGUGUUUAGCACUUUGUUUGAAUUACUAAUAAAAACUUUCGCAAUAAGUAUGUGAGUUCUUCAUGACUAAUGUGAGUCCAUGGUAUAGAUGCACUUUCACCUUUCACCAUUGCUAGCCUCUCUAGUGCCGCGCAACUUUCGCCGGUGCACAAACCCACCAUAUGCCUUCCUCAAAACAGCCACCAUACCUACCUACUAUGGCAUUUUCAUAGCCAUUCCGAGAUAUAUUUCCAUGCAACUCCCACCGUUCCAUCUCAUGACAUGUGCCAUCACUUUCAUAUUGCCAUUGCAUGAUCGUAAGAUAGCUAGCGAGAUGUUUUCAAUGUCACACGCCAAGCUAGAUCGUUGCACAUCCCAGUACACUGCCGGGGGCAUUUCCUAUAGAGUCAUCAUUGUUCUAAGCAUUGAGCUGUGAGUAAAUUAAAGUGUGAUGAUCAUCAUUAUUAGAGCAUUGUCCCAUGUGAGGAAAUAAAAAAAAGGCCAAAGUUGCCCACAAAAAAAAAGAGAUAUGGAAAGAGGCCAAAGAGCCCAAACAAAAAAUAAAUAAAUAAAAGAGAGAAAAAGAGAGGAGGGGCAAUGCUACUAUCUUUUCCACACUUGUGCUUCAUAAUAGCACCAUGUUCUUCAUGAUUGAGAGUCUCUUGUUUUGUCACCACCAUAUGCUAGUGGGAAUCUUCAUUAUAUAACUUGGCUUGUAUAUUCCAAUGAUGGGCUUCCUCAAAAUUGCCCUAGAACUUCGUGAGCAAGUGAUGUCUGCUAUGCUAAUGCACAAAUGUCCUUCCAAUGGCGCCAGAAACAGGUGUGUCGACGGCACGAGGAAUCCUUCAGCUGCGGCUACGCCUUAAGGGACUUCCUAGGAAAGUAUGCAAAGGAUUUCCCCCGUGGCCUUGGAACCUUCCGUUGGUGUUCCCUUGAAGCGGAAAGGGUGAUGUAGCACAGUUACGGUAAGUAUUUCCCUCAGUUUGAGAACCAAGGUAUCAAUCCUGUGGAGGAGUAUCACAAGAUCCUGCACAAACACAAAAGCUUGCUCCCAACACUAUGAAGGGGUUGUCAAUCCCUUAUAGAUUGUUUGCCAAGUGAGAACUGAAAGUAACAAAGUAACAAAGCAAAGUAAAAGAAGAGGUGUAAACGAUGGAUGUGAAUAGACCCGGGGGCCGUAGUGUUUACUAGUGGCUUCUCUCAUGAAAGCAAGUAGACGGUGGGUGAACAAAUUACUGUCGAGCAAUUGAUAGAACCGCACAAAGUCAUGACGAUAUCUAUGCAAUGAUUAUAUAUAUAGGCAUCACGUCCAAAACAAGUAGACCGAUACUUUCUGCAUCUACUACUAUUACUCCACACGUCGAUCGCUAUCCAACAUGCAUCUAGUGUAUUAAGUCCAUAAGAACAGAGUAACGCCUUAAGCAAGAUGACAUGAUGUAGAGGGAUAAUCUCAAACCAAUUAUAAAACCCCCAUCUUUUUAUCCUUGAUGGCAACUGCUUGAUGUGUGCCUUACUGCCCCUAUUGCCACUGGGAAAGGUCACCACAUGGUAGAACCCAAAACCAAGCACUUCUCCCAUUGCAAGAAUCAUAGAUCUAGUUGGCGAAACAAAACCCAAGACUCGGAGAGACUUACAAGGAUAUCAAAUCAUGCAUAUAAGAAAUCAGCAAAGACUCAAAUAUAUAUCAUAGAUAAUCUGAUCAAAAAUCCACAAUUCAUCGGAUCUCGACAAACACAGCGCCAAAGAAGAUUACAUCGGAUAGAUCUCCAUGAAGAUCAUGGAGAACUUUGUAUUGAAGAUCCAAGAGAGAGAAGAAGCCAUCUAGCUACUAACUACGGACCCGUAGGCCUGAAGUGAACUACUCACGAGUCAUUGGAGGGGCGAUGAUGAUGAUGAAGAAGCCCUCCAACUCCAAAGUCCCCUCCGGCAGGGUGCUGGGAAGGGUCUCCAGAUGAGAUCUCGCGGAAACGGAAGCUUGCGGUGGCGAAAAAGUAUUUUCGAGGCUCCCCUGAUUUUUUGCGUAAUAUUUGGGAAUUUAUAGGCCAAAGAUCUAGGUCACGGGGCGUCCAGGGAGGCCACAAGCCUGCCCACUGCCGCCUCCCCUAGUGGCGGAGUGGGGGCUUGUGGGCUCCGUGGAGCACACCUGGCCUGGCCCAAAGGCCCCCCGAUCUUCUUCUGUUCGGGAAAAAAUCAUUUCGGGGUUUUUCUUCCGUUUGGACUCCAUUCCAAAAUCAGAUCUGAAAAGAGUAAAAAACACGGAAAAACAGGAACUGGCACUUGGCACUGAAUUAAUAAGUUAGUCCCAGAAAAGAUAUAAAAGGUACAUAAAACAACCAAAAAAGACAAGAUAACAGCGUGAAACCAUAAAAAAUUAUAGAUACGUUUGAGACGUAUCAACAAGCAAGUUGGAUGCACACCCACUAGUUCUCCUUUUGAGCUUUCACAUACUUAUAGCUCUAAGUGCAUCCAUUGCAUGGUGAUCCCUACUCUCUCACAUUGAUAUCUAUUAAUGGGCAUCUCCAUAGCCCUUUGAUACGCCGAGUCGAUGUGACCAUCUCCUCCUUUUUGUCUCACAACCUCCACCACACUCUAUUCCACCUAUAGUGCUAUACCCAUGGCUCACGCUCAUGUAUUGCGUGAGAGUUGAAAAAGGUUUGAGAAAGUAAGAGUGAGAAAAUAAUUACUUGACCAAUACCGGGGUUGUGCAUGAUUUAAAUUAGUUGUGUGGGGAUAAUGGAUCAUGGCCAGACUAUAUGAUUUUGUAGGGAUAAUUUUCUUUGGCCUUGUUAUUUCGAAAGUUCCUGAUUAUGUUGCUAGUUUGCUUGAAGUAUUAUUGUUUUCAUGUCAAUAGCAAACUAUUGUUUUGAAUCUUACGGAUCUGAACAUUCAUGUCACAUGAAAGAAGUUACAAAUGACAAAUAUGCUAGGUAGCAUUCCACAUCUAAAAUUCGGUCUUUAUCACUUCGCUACUCGAGGACGAGCUGGAGUUAAGCUUGGGGAUGCUUGAUACGUCUCCAACGUAUCUAUAAUGUUUGAUGGUUCCAUGCUAUUAUCUUGUCAAACUUUGGAUGUUUUGUAUGCCUUUUAUAUCUGUUUUGGGACUAACUUAUUAACUCAGUGCCAAGUGCCAGUUCCUGUUUUUUCCGUGUUUUUGACCCUUUUCAGAGGAGAAUAUUAAACGGAGUCCAAACGGAAUAAAACUUCCGAAAAGAUUUUUCCGGAAUAGAAGAUAUGCAGGGGGCGUGAGAACCAAGGCACAUGCCACCACGGGAGGCCACAAGCCCCUAGGCGUGGCCAGGGGGGCCCGCACCUAACAGGCUUGUGGCCCCCCUGUGGCUCGUCUGCCCUACUUCUUCUGCCUAUAAAUCCCCGAAAAAUCCAAAACCACGAGUGAGAUCCACGAAAAUACUUUUCCGCCGCCGCAAGCUUCUAUCUCCGCAAGAUCCCAUCUGGGGCACAUUCUGGUGCCCUGCAGGAGGGGGGAUUUGGAUACGGAGGGCUUCUUCAUCUUCACCAUUGCCUCUCCGAUGAUGCGUGAGUAGUUCACCAUAGACCUUCGGGUCCAUAGCUAGUAGCUAGAUGGCUUCUUCUCUCUCCUGGAUCUUCAAUACAAAGUUCUCCAUGAUCUUCAUGGAGAUCUAACCGAUGUAAUCUUCUUUUGCGGUGUGGUUGUCGAGAUCCGAUGAAUUGUGGGUUUAUGAUCAAAUUAUCUAUGAAUCUUAUUUGAUUUUCUUCCGAUCUCUUGUAUGCAUGAUUUCAUAUCCUUGUAAUUCUCUUCGAGUUAUGGGUUUUGUUUGGCCAACUUGAUCUAUGAUUCUUGCAAUGGGAGAAGUGCUUGGUUUUGGGUUCAUACCGUGCGGUGACCUCACCCAGUGACAGAAGGGGUAGCGAGGCACACAUCGUGUUGUUGCCAUCAAGGGUAAAAAGAUGGGGUUUAUAUCUAUUGCAUGAAUUUAUCCCUCUACAUAAUGUCAUCUUGCUUAAGGCAUUACUCUGUUCAUCAUGAACUCAACACACUAGAUGCAUGCUGGAUAGCGGUCGAUGUGUGGAGUAAUAGUAGUAGAUGCGGACAAUAUCGGUCUACUUGUAUCGGACGUGAUGCCUAUAUGUAUGAUCAUUUCCUUAGAUAACGUCAUGACUUUGCGCGGUUCUAUCAAUUGCUCGACAGUAAUUCAUUCCGCCACCGUAAUAUUUGCUAUUUUGAGAGAAGCCUCUAGUGAACACUAUGGCCCCCGAAUCUACUUCACAUCAUAUUUUCAGCCUUACACUUUUACUUCGUUGCACUUCCCACCUUCAUAUCUCACUUUGCAAUCAAUCUUGAAGGGAUUGACAACCCCUUUAUAGCGUUGGGUGCAAGCUCGUUUGUGUUUGCGCAGGUACUCUGGAAACUUGGCUUGAUUCUCCUACUGGAUUGAUACCUUGGUUCUCAAACUGAGGGAAAUACUUACUGCUACUAUGCUGCAUCACCCUUUCAUCUUCAAGGGAAAAACCAACGCAAGCUCAAGAGGUAGCACACACCUACUUGAAGUCUUCCACGACAAAACCCAAGGUUAGUUUAUCCCUCUUAGGGGGGUGUCACAUCUAGGGGAGCUUUACUCUAAGACUUGAGUAUAAGCAUCUUCUAAACCAUGUCAACACAUUAAUGCUUUAUGUAAAAGUGGUAACCCCACCUGUGCUUAAUCGAUGAGUAUGACCUAUGAUCAAGUAUUCUUACUUGGCUCCUAUGUCAAUAUACACAUAUAUAGAUGACUUCGUCAUCGCCAAAGUGCUUGAUAGAUGCUAGAAUGUUUGUGCAUGUUCACCAUGUUUUAUUUGACAUCUUAUUGUGUGAGCAUGUUGGUAUGCUUAUUUUGUUCAUUCGAGGAUAUCCAAUUGUUGUUAUUUGGCUUUCUAUUUAUUUUGGCCAAUUGGAUAUGCAAGAAUGCCUAAGUACCUCCAUCUAGUUCUCUAUGCUUUCUCGCCUCAAAUUCAAUUCAUGCUACAUCACAAAAUUUGAGCAAGCACUUUAGGGACACUUUGUGUGAGGAGCACUCGGAGAUCCAUGUCAACAAGGGCUGAAUUCCGAGUCUCCCAAAGUGCAUUUUUGUGUGACCAACCUCAAAAUCUCGGUCCCACCGAAGCCUAGGGCUGAUCAGGUUUUCCCAUCUCGGUACCGCUGUGUUGUUGCUUUCGGCCUCACCGAGUUUCUCUCUCAGCUGGCAGUUAAGGAACUUGGCGGCACUGAAACAUCCAUCUCGGUGUCACCGACAACCAGUAGAUAUAUAUUGGGGAAAGUUGCAUGGGAAACAAAAAAUUUCCUACGCACACGCAAUACCUAUCCAUGGUGAUGAUCAUCUACGAGAGGGGAGAGUGAAUCUACAUACCCUUGUAGAUUGCUAAGCGGAAGCGUAUAUAACGUGGUUGGUGUAGUGGACCAUCUUCAUGAUCCAAAUCGCAGCCCGUCCUGCGGUCCCAUCAUGAUCCAUCCCGAUCUAGUGGCGAACGGACGACACCUCCACGUUCAGCACACGUACAGCUCGAUGACGAUCUCCGCCUUCUUGAUCCAACAAGAGGGGCGGAGAGGUAGAUGAGUUCUCCAGCACGGCGGCCUGGUGGUGGUGGUGGUGAACUAAUCCAACAGGACUUCGCCUAAGCACCGCCGAACUAGACUAGAGAAGAAACAGAUCUAGAGAGAAGUAGAGGCAGCCGUGCCUAAUUUGUGUCUCUCAAAACCCUCAAAACCUCUAGUAUUUAUAGGAGGAGGGGAGAGGAGGCAGACUUGGCCCCUACUCCAAGGAGAAGGGGUCGACCGAACUCUUCAAGGAAGAGUCCACCUUCCCACAAGGGAGGUGGACUACUUUGGGAGGACUCCUCCUUCCUUUCCUUUUAAAGGACUUUUGCCUUUUAUCUCCACUCCUAGCCACAUGGUAUUUUGAGAGAGGCUUCGUCCAUCCCACCAGGGGCUGGUCCACCUACUCUCACAUCCCAUAAGGCUCUUGGGUCAUCACACCCCUGCCGGUGGUCCCCCGGCACUCCCGGUACACUGCCGAUGAGCCCAAAACUUUUCGUGUGACCAAAACAUGACUUCCUAUAUAUCAAUAUUUACAUCUGGACCAUUCCGGAACUCCUCGUGACAUCCAGGAUAUCAUUCGGGACUCCAAACAACCUUCGGUCACCAAAACCUAUAACUCAACUAUACUGAAACAUCACCGAACCUUAAGUGUGCAGACCCCGCGGGUUCGAGAACUAUGCCGACAUGACCUGAGACACUCCCCGAUCAAUAACCAAUAGUGGGACCUGGAUGCCCAUAUUGGAUCCUACAUAUUCUACGAAUAUCUCUAUCAGUUGAACCUCCAUGUCAAGGAUUCAGUUAAUCCCGUAUGCUAUUCCCUUUGUCCUUUGGUAUGUUACUUGCCCGAGAUUCGAUCGUCGGUAUCUGCAUACCUAGUUCAAUCUCGUUACUGGCAAGUCUCUUUACUCGUUCUAUAAUACAAGAUCCCAUGACUAACUCCUUAGUCACAUUGCUUGCAAGGCUUGUAGUGAUGUUGUAUUACCGAGUGGGCCCCGAGAUACCUCUUCGUCACAUGGAGUGAAAAAUUCCAGUCUUGAUCCACGCCAACCAAACAGACACCUUCGGAGAUACCUGUAGAGCACCUUUAUAGUCACCCAGUAACGUUGCGAUGUUUGAUACACACAAGGUAUUCUUCAGGUGUCCGGGAGUUGCAAGAUCUCAUGGUCAUAGGAAGAGAUACAUUGACAUGUAGAAAAACAGUAGCAAUAAACUGACACGAUCAUAUGAUACGUUUAUAGUUUGGGUCUUGUCCAUCACAUCAUUCUCCUAAUGAUGUGAUCCCGUUAUCAAGUGACAACACUUGUCUAUGGACAAGAAACCUUGACCAUCUUUGAUCAACGAGCUAGACAACUAGAGGCUCACUAGGGACACUGUGUUGUCUAUGUAUCCACACAUGUAUUUGAGUUUCCAAUCAAUACAAUUCUAGCAUGGAUAAUAAAUGAUUAUCAUGAGCAAGGAAAUAUAAUAGUAACCAAUUUAUUAUUGCCUCUAGGGCAUAUUUCCAACAGUCUCCCACUUGCACUAGAAUCAUAAUCUAGUUCACAUCACUAUGUGAUUGUAAUGAAUCUAAUACCCAUAUAGUUAUGGGGUUUGAUCUUGCUUGUGAGAGAGGUUUUUAGUCAACGGGUCUGAAUCUUUUAGAUCCGUGUGUGCUUUACAAAUCUCUAUAUCAUCCUAUAGAUGUUGCUACCACGCGCCAUUUGGAACUAUUCCAAAUGACUGCUCUACUAUACGAACCCGGUUUAUUACUCAAAGUUAUCCGGAUUAAUGUCAAAGCUUGCAUCGAUGUAACCCUUUACGACGAACUCUUUAAUCACCCCCAUAAUCGAGAAAAAAAAUCCUUAGUACACUAGUUACUAAGGAUAACUCUUGACCAUUGUCCAGUAAUCCAUUCCUGGAUCACUCCUUUACACCUUUACAGAUUCAUGGCAAGGCGCACAUCAGGUGAAGUACACAACAUAACAUACUAUAGAUCCUACGGCUGAUGCAUAGGGGACGACCUUUGUCCUUUCUCUUUCUUCUACCGUGGUUGGGCUUUUGAGUCUUAAUCAAAUUCACACUUUACAACACACCAAGAACUCCUUCUUUGCCGAUCUAUUUUGAACUCCUUCAAAACCUUGCCAAGGCAUGCAUUUCAUUGGAAGUUUUAUUAAGCAUCUUAAUAUAUCUCUAUAGAUCUUAACGCUCAAUGUUCAAGUAGCUUAAUCCAGUUUUUCCUUUGAAAAACUCCUUUCAAACAACCCUUUAUGCUUUCUAGAAAUUCUACAUUGUAUUUGAUCAACAAUAUGUCAACCACAUAUACUCAUCAGAAAUUCUAUAGUGCUCCCACUCACUUCUUUGGGAAUACAAGUUUCUCAUAAAUGUUGCAUAAACCCAAAAACUUUGAUCAUCUCAUCAAAGCUUAUAUCCCAACUCCGAGAUGCUUGCUCCAGUCCAUAGAAGGAUCGUUGGAGCUUGCAUACUUGUUAGCAUCCUUGGGAUUGACAAAACCUUCUCGUUAUAUCACAUACAACCUUUCCUCAAGGAAACCAUCGAGGAAACAAUGUUUUGACAUCCUAUCUGCAAGAUUUCAUAAAUAAUGUAGCAAAUGCUAACAUAAUUCCAACAUACUUUUAGCAUCGCUACGAGUUAGAAAGUGUCACUCUUUGAACUUGUCGGAAACAUCUUUGAGACAAGUCGAGCUUUCUUAAUGGUGACUUUUCACCAUCAUCGUUUGUCUUCCUUUUGAAGAUCCAUCUAUACUUAAGAGUCUUACGACCAUCAAGUAGUUCUUCCAAAGUCUACACUUUGUUUUCAUACAUGAAUCCUCUCUCGGAUUUCAUGGCAUCCAACCAUUUGUCGAAAUCUGGGCCCACCAUCGCUUCCCCAUAGUUCGUAGGUUCAUUGUUGUCCAACGACAUGACCUCCAAGGCACGGUAAUCGUACCACGCUGGAGCAGUACGUGACCUUGUCGACCUACUAGGUUUGUAGUAACUUGAUCUGAAGCUUCAUGAUCACUAUCAUCAGCUUCCACUUCAAUUGGUGUAGGAGCCACAUGAACAACUUCCUGCGCCCUGCUACACACUGGUUGAACUGACAAUUCAAUAACCUCAUAAAGUGUCAACCAUCCUCCCACUCAAUUCUUUUGAUAAAAACUUUUCCUUGAGAAAGGACUCGUUUCUAGAAACAAACACUUUGCUUCCGGAUCUGAGAUAGGAGGUAUACCUAGCUGUUUUGGGUGUCCUAUGAAGAUGCAUUUAUCCGCUUUGGGUUCGAGCUUAUCUGGCUGAAACUUUUUCACACAAGCGUCGCAGCCCCAAACUUUUAAGAAACGUCAGCUUAGGCUUCUCUAAACAUAGUUCAUAAGGUGUCAUCUCAACAGAAUUCUGUGGUGCCCUAUUUAAAUCGAAUGCGGUUGUCUCUAAUGCAUAACCCAAAAACGAUAGUGGUAAUUCGAUAAGAGACAUCAUAGUAUGCACCAUAUCUAAUAGGGCGCGACUACGACGUUCGGACACACCAUAACACUAUGGUAUUCCACGUGGCAUUAGUUGUGAAACAAUUUCCACAAUGUCUUAAUUGUGUACCAAACUCGAACUCGGAUAUUCAUCUCUAUGAUCAUAUCGUAGACAUUUUAUCCUCUUGUCACGACGAUCUUCAACUUCACUCUAAAAUUACCUGAACCUUUCAAUAAUUCAGACUUGUGUUUCAUCAAGUAAAUAUACUAGUAUCUACUCAAAUCAUGUGUGAAGUAAGAACAUAACGAUAUCCACCGCGUGCCUCAACACUCAUUGGACCGCUCACAUCAAAUUGUAAUACUUCCAACAAGUUGCUUUCUUGUUCCAUCUCACUAGAAAACGAGGCCUUUAGUCAUCUUGCCUAUGUGGUAUGAUUUGGAUGUCUCAAGUGAUUCAAAAUCAAGUGAGUCCAAAUGAUCCAUCUGCAUGGAGUUUCUUCAUGCGUUCAUACCAAUAGACAUGGUUCGCAUGUCUCAAACUUUUCAAAAAACGAGUGAGUCCAAAGAUCCAUCAACAUGGAGCUUCUUCAUGCAUUUUAUACCAAUAUGACUCAAGUAUAAGUGCCACAAGUAAGUGGUACUAUCAUUACUACUUUAUAUCUUUUGUCAUCAAUAUUAUGAACAUGUGUAUCACUACGAUUGAGAUUCAAUAAACCAUUGAAGAUAUUUUUUUAAGAAAAUAGAAUAACCAUUAUUCUCUUUAAAUGAAUAAUCGUAUUGCAAUAAACAUGGUCUAAUCAUGUUCAUGCUCAACGCAGACACCAAAUAAUAUUUAUUUAGGUUCAACACUAAUCCCGAUGGUAGAAGGGAGUGUGCGAUGUUGAUCACAUCAACCUUGGAAUUAGUUCGAACACACAUUGUCACCUCACCCUUGAUAGUAUCCGUUUAAUCCGUAGCUAUAAUUUCGAGUUACUAACACUAGGAACUGAACCGGUAUCUAAUACCUUGGUGCUACUAGGAGUACUGGUAAGGUACACAUCAAUAUCACGUAUAUCCAAUAUACUUUUGUCGACUUUGCCAGCCUUCACAUCUACCAACUAUCUAGGGUAGUUCCACUUCAGUUGCCGUUCCCCUCAUUACAGACGCACUUAGUCUCGGGUUUGGGUUCAACCUUGGGUUUCUUUCACUAGAGCAGCAACUGGUUUGCCGUUUCAUGAAGUAUCCCUUCUUGCCCUUGCCCUUCUUGAAACUAUUGGUUUUACUAACCAUCAACAAUUGAUGCUCAUACUUGAUUUCUACUUUCGCGGUGUCAAACAUUGGGAAUAGCUCAACGAUCAUCUAUCCCUGAUAUGUUAUAGUUCAUCACCUAGAUCUGUAGUUUGGUGGAAGUGACUUUGGAGAACUAUGUCAAUCACUAUCUUAUCUGGAAGAUCAACUCCCACUCGAUUCAAGCGUUUGUAGUACUCAGACAAUCUGAGCACAUGCUCAAUGAUUGUGCUUUUCUCCCUUACUUUGUAGACAAAGGAUCUUGUUGGAGGUCUCAUACCUCUCAACACGGGCACGAGCCUGAAAUCCCAAUUUCAUCUCUUGGAACAUCUCAUAUGUCCCGCGACGUUCAAAACGUCUUUAGUGGCUCAAUUCUAAGCCGUUUAAGCAUUAUGCACUCAACUAUCAUGUAGUCAUAAAAAACGUGUAUGUCAGAUGUUCGCAACAUCCACAUACGACGCUCGGGAUUCAGCACACCGAGUGGUGCAUUAAGGACAUAAGCCUUCUGCGCAGCAAUGAGGACAAUCCUCAGUUUACGGAUCGAGUCCGCAUAAUUGCUACUAUCAUCUUUCAAGUAAAUUUUCUCUAGGAACAUAUCAAAAAUAGUUGAGCUACAACGCAAGCUACAACAUAAUUUGUAAAGACCUUUUGACUAUGUUCAUGAUAAUGAGUUCAAUUAAUCAUAUUACUUAAGAACUCCUACUCAAAUUGACAUCCCUCUAGUCAUUCGAGUGUUGCAUGAUCCAAAUUCACUAACUCAAGUCCGAUAAUCACGUGAGUUGAGUAUAGUUUCAAUGGUGAACAUCUCGAUGUUGAUCAUAUCAACUAUAUGAUUCAUGCUCGACCUUUCAGUCUCUUGUGUUUGGAGGCCAUGUCUAUACAUUCUAGGAUCGUCAAUUUUAACCCGAGUGUUCCGCAUGUGCAACUGUUUUGCACCCGUUGUAUGUGAACGUUGAGUCUAUCAGACCCGAUCAUCACAUGGUGUCUCGAAACGAUGAACUGUCACAACAGUGCACAGUCGGGGAGAACACAAUUUUAUCUUGAAAUUUUAGUGAGGGAUCACCUUAUAAUGCUAUCGUCGUCCUAAGCAAAACAAGGUGCAUAAAAGGAUUAACAUCACAUGCAAAUCAUAAGUGACAUGAUAUCCCCAUCUUCAAAGCACCGACAUGAUCUCCAUCGUCACCGGCGCCACACCAUGAUCUCCAUCAUUGUGCUGCCAUCGAGGUUGUCGCGCUAAGUAUGCUGUUACUACUAAAGCUACUACUAGCAAUAAAGCAAAUCAUCCCCAAGCGCAAAAUAAUUAAAGACAACCCUAUGGCUCCUAUCGGUUGUCGUAGCAUCGACGUGCAAGUCGAUAUUUAACUAUUAAAACAUGAUCAUCUCAUACAUCCAAUAUAUCAUAUCAUGUCUUUGGCCAUAUCACAUCACAUGCAUACCCUGCAAAAACAAGUUAGACGUCCUCUAAUUUGUUGUUGCAUGAUUUACGUGGCUACUAUGGGUAUGUAGUAUGAUUGCAUCUUACUUACGCAAAACCACAUCAGUGAUAUGCAAGUUGCUAUUUAACCUUCUCCAAGGACUGCCUCAGUCAAAUCCGAUUCAACUAAAAUUGAAGAAACAGACACCCGCUAGUGAUCUUUACGCAACAAGUUGCAUGUUACUCGAUGAAACCGGUCUCUCGUAAGCGUAUGAGUAAUGUUGGUCCGGGCCGCUUCAAACCAACUAUACCGCUGAAUCAAGAAAAGACUAAGGAGGGCAGCAAAUUGAACAUCAACGCCCACAAAAUCUUUUGUGUUCUACUCGAAGUAUCAUCUACGCAUAGACCUAGCUCAUGAUGCUACUUUUGGGGAACAUUGCAUGGGAAACAAAAAAAUUCCUACGCACACGCAAUACCUAUCCAUGGUGAUGAUCAUCUACGAGAGGGGAGAGUGAAUCUACAUAACCUUGUAGAUCACUAAGCGUAAGCGUAUAUAACACGGUUUAUGUAGUAGAACAUCUUCGCGAUCCAAAUCAUAGCCCAUCCCGCGAUCUCAUCACGAUUCGUCCUGCGAUCCCAUCACGAUCCAUCCCGAUCUUAUGCCGAACGGACAGCACCUCCGUGUUCAGCACACGUAAAACUCGAUGACGAUCCCCGCCUUCUUGAUCCAGAAAGAGGGGCGGAGAGGUAGAUGAGUUCUCCAGCACGGCGGCGUGGUGGUGGUGGUGGUGAACUAAUCCAGCAGGGCUUCGCCUAAGCACCACCGAACUAGACUAGAGGAGAAACACAUCUAGAGAGAAGUAGAGGCAGCCGUGCCUAAUUUCCAUGUCUCAAAACCCUCAAAACCUCUAGUAUAUAUAGGAGGAGGGGAGAGGAGGAAUCCUUGGCCCCUACUCCAAGGAGAAGGGGUCGGCCGAACCCUACAAGUAAAAGUCCACCUUCCCACAAGGGGGGUGGACUACUUUGGGAGGACUCCUCCUUCCUUUCCUUUUAAAGGACUUUUGCCUUUUAUCUCCACUCCUAGCCGCAUGGGAUUUUGAGAGGGGCUUUAGACUUCCCACCAGCGGCUGGUCCACCUCCUCUCACAACCCAUAAGGCUCUUGGGUCGUCACACCCCUCCCGAUGGUCCCCCGGCACCCUCCCGGCACUCCCGGUACACUACCGAUGAGCCCAAAACUUUGCCGAUGAUCAAAAUAGGACUUCAUAUAUAUCAACCUUUACCUCUGUACCAUUCCGGAGCUGCUUGUGAUGUCUAGGAUCUCAUCCGGGACUCCGAACAGCCUUCGGUCACCAAAACCUAUAACUCAACUAUACCGAAACGUCACCGGACCUUAAGUGUGUAGACCCUCCGGGUUCGAGAACUAUGCAGACAUGACCUGAGACACUCCCCGGUCAAUAACCAAUAGCGGGUUCUGGAUGCCCAUAUUGGCUCCUACAUAUUCUACAAAUAUCUCUGUCAGUUGAACCUCUAUGUUAAGGAUUCAGUUAAUCCGGUAUCUUGUUCCCUUUGUCCUUCAGUAUGUUACUUGCCCGAGAUUCGAUCGUUGGUAUCUCCAUACCUAGUUCAAUCUCAUUACCGGCAAGUCUCUUUACUCAUUCCAUAAUACAAGACCCCGUGACUAACACCUUAGUCACAUUGCUUGCAAGGCUUGUUGUGAUGUUGUAUUACCGAGUGGGCCUCGAGAUACCUCUCCGUCACAUGGAGUGAUAAAUCCCAGUCUUGAUCCACGCCAACCCAAUAGACACCUUCACAGAUACCUGUAGAACACCUUUAUAGUCACCCAGUAACGUUGUGACGUUUGAUACACACAAGGUAUUCUACCGGUAUCCGGGAGUUGCAUGGUCUCAUGGUCAUAGGAACAGAUACAUUGACAUGCGGAAAAACAGUAGCAAUAAACUAACACGAUCAUAUUCUACGUUUAUAGUUUGGGUCUUGUCCAUCACAUCAUUCUCCUAAUGAUGUGAUCCCGUUAUAAAGUGACAACACUUGUCUAUGGCUAGGAAACCUUGACCAUCUUUGAUCAACGAUCUAGUCAACUAGAGGCUCACUAGGGACAGUGUGUUGUCUAUGUAUCCACACAUGUAUUUGAGUUUCCAAUCAAUACAAUUCUAGCAUGGAUAAUAAACGAUUAUCAUGAACAAGGAAAUAUAAUAGUAACCCAUUUGUUAUUGCCUCUAGGGAAUAUUUCCAACAAUAUAUAUAUCUCGCAUGGACCCGACGGUUGGAAAAACUCUUCAAUCAUAGAGGAUUCACAACCAAGUUAGGGUAUGAAUCUGGCCCCUGACUGCGCUACCAAAUCUAAUUCUUGCGCAAAUAUGUUUUGACAAUUUCUGUCCACUUAUUCACUAAUUCUAUCCAGAAUAAAGUUCCCAUAGAUUAGAGAACAAUUGAAAUUUUAGGGUUGGUAGUCCGUAAAAUUGAAUCUUGGUGUCACCGAUUCAUAAAAGUCGGUCUUACCAAUUUGGUUUUAGGGUUACUAAGAACAUUCUUGGUGGAACCGAGUUCUCCUUUUCGGUGAAAACGAAAGGGUUGCCAAGUUCUUGUUAAUGAGAAAGUCAAUCUCGGUGGCUCCAAUUUUUUUGACUUGGUGGAACCGAAAUCCCCUUUUGCUGAAUAUUAAACCUAAUUUUUGAGAGUUCAACUUUUCAAAAACUUCAGAUUUUUGUGAUGCUCAUCCACUCCAGCUCUUCUAUAUCUCUUACACGGUGUGCUUGUAUGCUUGGCUGUUUGUCAGGAUGUGAAGAUCAGAGGAUAGUCAGAACAACUUCAGUGAGCUGAGUGUUGACAUGGAUUCAGGCACUAGUCCUGAGAGGACACCUUCUGACCCAGGUACUCCUAGCUCCCAUGGCUUGCCCAAGGCAGCUACCAGGUCCAGAAGUAAGAUCUAUUCUCACAAAGAAGAUGUUGAAUUUAUCCCUGAGGAAUCUGUUCCCCAGAAGCAAAAGGAAAAGACCACAGUCAGGAAGACUAUGAGGAAGGAGUAUGCUAGACAUGCUGGCAUUAGAGCUCCAGAAGCUAGGCUUGCAAAGAAGCCAGGACAGAAGAGAGCCGGAAAGAGAAUUGUCCAUGUUGUUGGUAGGCCAACCUCAAUGUAUGAAGAACUAGUAGAAGCUAUUGAUGAGGAGGAGGAAGAAAUUCCAGCUGAGGUUCCUCCUCCUAGGAAGGAAAAGUUGAUGGCUGAUCCUAUGCCUAAGAAGAAUGCCCCAAGCCUUCAGCACCUAAGGCUAAAAAAUUUGUAGCUCCCAAGGGGACUACAAAGGACAUUCCUCCAGCUGAAAAGAACAAAGGCUCUGCAUCCAGAGGAUUUGCUGCAAAGGAAGAAGAUGAUGCCCCUGUGCUUAUGAAGCUGAGAGCUCAUCUGCCUUCUCACAGUGAAGCUCAUCGAGUUGUUGAGGACAGGAAGAAGAGAAGAGAUCAAGUACUAAGGAAGUGGAGAUCAGUUGAUACAUAUGUUGUGAGAAGGAGAACAACUGUUGAUCCCCACUUUCACACAAAGGAGCAACACGAUUUCUAUGAGACAGUGUUGCUUGAUAAGAGUCCAGCAGUUAGUGAGAUGAGAUAUGUCAGUUGGGAAUACAUCAAGGCCAAUGAACAUUACUUUACCCAUGUGAGAGAAAACUUAAGGAUGGUUGAUAUUGAAGACUUUGUUGUCAGAGAGAUGACUGCAUGGAAUGAUGAGAUGAUCAUGCAAUUCUAUUCAACCGCUCAUUUCUAUUCCGAUGGAAGGAUUGUAUGGAUGAUUGAAGGUCACCCUUAUGAGUCUACAAUUGAUGAAUGUGCCACUGUCAUUGGUGCUCCAAAAGCACUAGAAGGAGAUUUGUAUGUGUAUUCAGAACUCAAGAGAAUCACAACUCCAUGGCCAACAUGUAAAAGCCAUUGCCUCAUAAGUAUGUGCAGACGCACAAGUUUGGAUGUGUCUAUUUCUUGCAAGCAGGAAUACCCACUACGGACACCAUUAUGAGAUACACCCUUAUGCCCAAAUAAGGAGAUGAUAAGAUGAUUAGAGGUUAUUCCAUCAAUACGCUGCAUCAUCUAGACACCCACACGUGGUUCAGAGUGAUGGACUUGAUAGUUGAGUCUGUCAGGAGGACUGCUGCAGAUCAGAAGAAAUCUUGUGGACAUGCCCCAUAUAUUCAGAUGCUCAUCAAUGCCAAUAUUGGAAAGCAGCAUAUCUACUUGAUCGUCCCCACCUUCCACUUCAACUAGAAUUUGAAGAUAAUGAAGCUGUGAUGCAUUCAAGCCAUCCCAGCUCAGCUACUUCUCGAGAGGCAGCAGAGGCAGAUGCUGCUAGGAAUGCUCCAGCUCCAACUCCACAUCUAAGAACCAGAGAUGAGCAGAUGUCAUUCUAGGUUAGCACCAUCCUAGGGAUGGAGAAGAAAGUUUCCGGGACCUUGCUGAACUAGAAGAGCCUCGAGAGGAUCGUCGAGACAAAAUUCCAUGACCUGGAUGUGAAGGCAACGGAGUUGACUACCACUGUUAAGCAGCUCCAGCAUGAAGUUGAUCCUGUGAAGAUUCCACGCUCCAGCAGUGAUGAUGAAGAGUCGCCUCUUCCUACUACUACUCACUUCAUGACCCAGAGUAUGUCAUCAACUGUGCUAGUUCCGGAAGCAAGACCAUCUUCAGUAGCUCAAGCUUCAGCACCUUCACCUCCUGGUCCUGCACCUCCAGUGUCUACAUGUGACACCCUCGAAUUUAAUCGUUCUCUAAUCAUACACGCAAAUGCGUACGACAAAGCUCAAGGAUUCAUGGGAAGAUAUCACAACACAACUCUAGACACAAAUAAAAUAUACAAGCUUCAUAUUACAAGCCAGGGGCCUCGAGGGCUAGAGUAGAGAAGCUCGAUAAACACACGAGUCAGCGGAAGCAACAAAUAUCUGAGUACAAACAUUAAACAUGUGGUGCCUUAGAGAAGGCUAGCACAAAAGAUACAACAAUCGAACGAGGCGAAGCCUCCUGCCUGGGAUCCUCCUAACUACUCCUGGUCUUCAGCGGCCUCCACGUAGUAGUAGGCACCAUCGGGGUAGCAGUCGUCGUCGGCGGGAUACUCCAUCUCCCGGGCUCCAUCAUCUGGUCGCAACAACGGAUAAAGGGGAAAAGGGGGAGCAAAGCAACGGUGAGUACUCAUCCAAAGUACUCGCAAGAUUGACAUGAGAACUAUUCUAAGUAUGCAUCAGUAUCAAAGGAAGGGGUUUAUAUGUGGACCGACUGCAGCAAUGCGAGAAAUAGAGGGAAGGCCUAGUCCUAUCAAAGACUAGCAUCUUCACUGGUUUUGCAGCAAUAGACGAGAGUAGAACAGGGGUAACACAAUUAAUAGUCAUAUUGUUGCAGCAAUAUUAAUAUGAGGUCACCCCAGAGAUUCUUCCUCGACUCCCUGCGAGAAAGAAAUCCCGGAGCAAACAUUCCAGUUAAGUAACAAUUAUAGUUGUAUAAGAUCGGGGCACAAAUCCAAGUCGUCCUAUAACCGUGGACACCGCUAUUAGACGUCACGCUCGAUAAAAUCUGGCCGGACACACUUUCCUGGAUCAUGCCCGGCCUCGGAACAUGGACACAACGCAACCCCACCUAGACUCAAUAGAGAGGCCAACCCGCCGGUCUAAAUCCUAAGCACACAUGGGUCAUGGGCCUAUCACCCUUUGCACUCCUGCACGAAGCGAGGGCGGCCGAUGUCAGUCCUAGCACCCCUUAUUACAAGCGCGAUGCCUAUCCGGACCACUCGGGGGCGCGCCGCUCCAUUGCUAACGUCUGAAGAGGUUCGGCUGAUAUCACGACGUUGAGUACCCAUAACUCCUCCCACGUAGACGGUUAGUGCGAAUAAGGUCUCUGACCAACCCAGAUCAAAUACCCAAAUCCAUUAACAUUUUAAUUAAAUUGUCGACCCAUCCACGCGGGAAUCCACCCGCCAAACAUUAUCCAUCAAUGUUCCUAGUAACACGGUCAAGUAAUUGUGUGGUUGUAACAUCAGGGGGAUCCCAGGUAUCACCCUCGUUGGAUUUCGAAUGAUGUAACCGUCAAGGUGGACUUAGAGGAAUCACCCUCGAGGGUCUCACACUUGAGGGGUUGCACGACAGAGUCAUCGCCGGGAGUGGUGAAGGAGGAAUCACCCUCGAUAAACACGACCGACUAGCUGCACUACAGAGAUAUCAUCAUGAGUACUUCGCGAGGUGUCACCCUCGGUACCUGAUAGUAGCUCUUUAGCAUCGUACAACUAAGAUGGGUGUAAGUGCUGUGUCGGCUCUUGGCUCGUCGAUCAGGGAUCGUGACUUUGUGAAAAAGGUGGGGGGGGGGGGACUAGACUAAGGGUUGGAGGGGAUGACUGAUCCACCUAUACUAAGCAGUUUAACGUGCGGUACUAAAAGUAGGAGUUCAUCAAAAUUAGGCUAUGCAUCAGAUAUAGGAGCUAACUACAACAGUAGCAAAAAUUGUAAUGCAAGCAUGAGGGAGAAAGAAUGGGCGAUAUAGGAAUGUUUGCUACGGCAACAAAAGUCCUUCCCUGCCGCUUAGGAAUUCUUCUUGUUACUUCUCUGGUUUGCGUCGGUUUUCCCUUGAAGAGGAAAGGGUGAUGCAGCAUAGGAGCAGUAAGUAUUUCCCUCAGUUUGAGAACCAAGGUAUCGAUCCAGAAGGAGGGCCUCGUCAAGUCCAGAGUACCUGCGCAAACACAAACAAGAUUGCACCCAAUGCUUCAAAGGGGUUGUCAAUCCCUUCAAGAUUGUUUGCAAAGUAAGAUCUGAAGGCGGAAAGAGCAACGAAGUAAAAAGUCUAAGGCUGAAAAUAUGGUGUGGAGUAGACCCUGGGGGCCAUAGUGUUCACUAGAGGCUUAUCUCAUAAUAGCAAAUAUCAUGGUGGGUGAACGAAUUACUGUCGAGCAAUUGAUAGAACCGCGCAAAGUCAUGAAGAUGUCUAAGGCAAUGAUCAUACAUAUAGGCAUCACGUCCGAGACAAGUAGACCGAUACUUUCUGCAUCUACUACUAUUACUCCACACAUCGACCGCUAUCCAGCAUACAUCUAGUGUAUUGAGUUCAUGACGAACAGAGUAACGAUUUAAGCAAGAUGACAUGAUGUAGAGGGAUAAUCUCAAACCAAUGAUGAAAACCCCAUCUUUUUACCCUUGAUGGCAACAACACGAUGCGUGCCUCGCUACCCCUUCUGUCACUGGGUGAGGUCACCGCACGGUAUGAACCCAAAACCAAGCACUUCUCCCAUUGCAAGAAUCAUAGAUUUAGUUGGCCAGACAAAACCCACAACUCGAAGAGAAUUACAAGGAUAUGAAAUCAUGCAUAAGAGAGAUCAGAAGAAACUCAAAUAAGAUUCAUAGAUAAUCUGAUCAUAAAUCCACAAUUCAUCGGAUCUCGACAAACACACCGCAAAAGAAGAUUACAUCAGAUAGAUCUUCAUGAAGAUCAUGGAGAACUUUGUAUUGAAGAUCCAAGAGAGAGAAGAAGCCAUCUAGUUACUAGCUAUGGACCCGUAGGUCUAUGGUGAACUACUCACGCAUCAUCGGAGAGGUCAUGGUGUUGAUGAAGAAGCCCUCCGUGUCCGAAUCUCCCCUCUGGAAGGGUACUAGGACGUGCCCCAGAUGGGAUCUUGCGGAAACGAAAGCUUGCGGCGGCGGAAAAGUACUUUCGAUGAUCUCCUGAUUUUUUUGGGAUUUUUAGGGAAUUUAUAGGCGCAACCCCUAGGUCAGGGGACGCUUAGGGGGCCCACAAGCCUGGAUGGCACGGCCUCCCCCCUGGCCGCGGGGUGGGGGCUUGUGUGGCCCCUGAGGCUCCCCUGCCUUGGCUCCCAAGCUCCCCGAUCUUCUUCCGUUCCAGAAAAAAUCGUUUCGGGGAUUUUCUUCUGUUUGGACUCCAUUCCAAAAUCUCCUCUGAAAGGGGUAAAAAACAUGGAAAAAACAGGAACUGGCACUUGGCACUGAGUUAAUAAGUUAGUUCCAAAAAAUAUAUACAAGGCAUGCAAAACAUCCAAAGUUUGACAAGAUAAUAGCAUGAAACCAUAAAAAAUUAUAGAUACGUUGGAGACGUAUCAAGCAUCCCCAAGCUUAACUCCUGCUCGUCCUCGAGUAGGGAAGUGAUAAAGAAUGAAUUUUUGAUGUGGAAUGCUACCUAGCAUAGUUGUCCUUUGCAACUUCUUUCACGUGACAUGAAUGUUCAGAUCCGUAAGAUUCAAAACAAUAGUUUGCUAUUGACAUGAAAACAGUAAUACUUCAAGCAACUAGCAAAGUAAUCAGGAACUUUCAAAAUAACAAGGCCAAAGAAAGUUAUCCCUACAAAAUCAUAUAGUCUGGCUAUGCUCCAUCAUCCUCACACAACUAAUGUAAAUUAUGCACAACCCCGGUAUUGGCCAAGUAAUUGUUUUCGCACUCAUACUUCCUCAAUUUUUUAUAACUAUCACACAAUACAUGAGCGCGAGCCAUGGAUAUAGCACUGUAGGUGGAAUACAGUGUGGUGGUGGUUGUGAGACAAAAAGGAGGAGAUGGUCACAUUGACUCGGCAUAUCAAAAGGCUAUGGAGAUGCCCAUUAAUAGAUAUCAAUGUGAAUGAGUAGGGAUUGCCAUACAAAAGAUUCACUAGAGCUAUAAGUGUGUGAAAGCUCAAAAGGAAAACUAGUGGGUGUGCAUCCAACUUGCUUGCUCACGAAGACCUAGGGAAAUUUUGAGGAAGCCCAUCAUUGGAAUAUACAAGCCAAGUUAUAUAACGAAGAUUCCCACUAGCAUAUGGUAGUGACAAAGCAAGAAGCUCUCAAUCAUGAAGAACAUGGUGCUAUCAUGAAGCACAAGUGUGGAAAAAGAUAGUAGCAUUGUCCCUUCUCUCUUUUUCUCUCUUCCCCUUUUUUAUUUGGGCUCUUAAGCCUCUUUUUUUCUUCUUUUUUUGUUUUCUCCCUUUUUUGGGCUCUUUGGCCUCUUUAUUUUUUUAUUUCCUCACAUGAGACAAUGCUCUAAUAAUGAUGAUCAUCACACUUUUAUUUACUCACAGCUCAAAGAUCACAAUGAUGAUGACUCCAUAGGAAAUGCCUCCGGCAGUGUACCGGGAUGUGCAACGAUCUAGCAUGGCGUAUGACGUUGAAACAUCUCGCUUGCUAUCUUACGAUCAUGCAAUGGCAAUAUGAGAGUGACGACACAAGUCAUGAGACGGAAUGGUGGGAGUUGCAUGGCAAUAUAUCUCGGAAUGACUAUGAAAAUGCCAUAGUAGGUAGGUAUGGUGGCUGUUUUGAGGAAGGAAUUUGGUGGAUUUGUGCACCGGCGAGAAUAGCGCGACACUAGAGAGGCUAGCAAUGGUGGAAGGUGAAAGUGCAUCUACACCAUGGGCUCACAUUAGUCAUGAAGAACUCACAUACUUAUUCCGAAAGAUUUUAUUAGUAAUCGAAACAAAGUGCUAAACGCAUACUCCGAGGGGAAGGGUUGGUAGGUGUAAACCAUCGCACGAUCCCGACCUCAACACAAAGGAUGACAAUCAAUAAAUCAAUUAUGCUCUGACUUCCUAACAUAGCGGUUCACCAUACGUGCAUGCUACGGGAAUCACUAACUUAAACACAAGUAUUUAUAGAUUCACAACACCCUACUAACAUGACUUUUAAUAUUACCUAAUCCAUGUCUCAAAACUAUUUGUGAGGAAUCAAAACUUCUCUUUCUACUCAAUGCACAUGAAGAUGGAGGUUUUUGCAUCCUCUUUGGGUAUCUAUCACUUUUGGGACUACUUUCAUAGUAUAAGCAAACUACCAAAUCAUGCACCGCCGUCCUCUAAAGAUAUAAGUGAAGCAUAAGAGCAAAAGUAUCUAGCUGAAAAGAUAUAAGUGAAACACUAUGAGCAAAAGUAUCUAGCUCAAAAGAUAUAAGUGAAGCACUAUGAGCAUUCUAGCAAAAUCACAAUGAGUGCAUGUCUCUCUCUCUCAAAAAGGUGUGCAGCAAGGAUAACUGUGACACAAAAAAAGAAAAGACUCCUAAGAUACAAGACGCUCCAAGGAAAACACAUAUCAUGUGGUGAAUAAAAAUAUAACUCCAAGUAAUGUUACCGAUGGAUUGAAGACGAAAGAGGGGAUGCCUUCCCGGGGCAUCCCCAAGCUUAGGAUUUUUGGUGUCCUUGAAUUUGGCUUGGGAUGCCUUGGGCAUCCCCAAGCUUGAGCUCUUUCCACUCCUUAUCUCUUUGUCCAUGAGAACGCACUCAAAACUUGAAAACUUCACAACACAAAAGUUAAACAGAAACUCGUGAUAAUGUUAGUACAAGAAAACAAACUACCACUUCUUUUGGUUCUGUAGCAAACUUGAAUUCUAUCUAUAUUGAUGAUGGGCUACUGUAUUCUCACUUUUCCAUGGCUAGUACCCCCCGAUACUAACCAUAGUUUCAUCAAAACAAGCAACUAACUCAACAAAAAACAGAAUCUGUCAAAAACAGACCAGUCUGUAGCAAUCUGUAUACUUCAUAUACUUCUGGUACCUCAAAAAAUCUGAAAAAUUAUGACGGCCUUGGAAAAAAUCAUACCAAUCAGCAGAAAAAAGAAUCAACUCAAAAGCUCUUCCUGAAUAAACAUGAAAAAUCAUCUCGUGAGCGAAAAGUUUCUGUGUUUUUCCAGCAGGAUCAAACAACCAUUACCAAGACUAGUCAUAAAGGCUUUGCUUGGCUCAAACACAAAAAGAAACACAAAAAACACAAUCACAACAGAAUUAUGAAAGUGUGGACGCAACAAAACAGAAAGAAAAAGAUAAAUGCAUUGGGUUGCCUCCCAAAAAGCGCUAUUGUUUAACGCCCUUAGCUAGGCAUAGAAGCGAUCGAAUCACGUAUCGUCGUCUUUGGUGCUCAAACCAUAAGUGGCGUGAUCACUUAUCAUCUUAAGGUUUUCAUCUUUCUUGCUAGAUGAUUCACCAGUACUUUUAGGAACAAAGACAGAUUUGGUGAUUUUAUUGUGGGCAAAAUUUGGAGUAUUCUGCACAGCGGCAAAAGCGGAACCCAAGUUGGUUAUAACAUCCUCUAGUUUGCCAAUCCUAGCGGAAUCAUGACCUAGCUUUUCGUUAACUGUGGGUUCCUUGUCCUUUAAAUUUUUCAAAACCAUUCCCACCUUGGAUCUGUAUUGAGUGAUUUGAUUGUGGAUCAUUUUAUCCAAAUUCUCAAUGAGUUCAAUCGUAGCGACUUUAUUUUCAAUAACGUCGAGCCUACGCAUCACAUGUUCCAGAGUUAAGGUAGUUCCAUUAACCAUGAGUGGGGGUGAGCCUACCAAAUUUAUCAAAGCUCCGUAAGAAUCAAUGGUAUGGCUACCCAAGAAAUUUCCACCUACGAUGGUGUCAAGAAUAUACCAAUUCCAAGGAGAAACAACCACAUAAAAACUGUGAAGCAAGACGGUAGUGGAUUGCUUAUGAGUAGGUCUACUCUGAGCGUUGCAAAUCCUAUACCAAGCGUCCUUUAAGUUUUCUUCCUCAAUUUGUUUGAAAUUAAGGACUUCGUUCUCGGGAGUAUCGAUUGAAGUGGUGGAUCUAACCAUCAGGAUACAUUAUCCCACACAGACGAGCAGAAAGCAAGCGAGAAGAAAAGGGCGAACGAAAAAGGCAAACGAAAAAGGCAAAUUGGUGAAGUGGGGGAGAGGAAAACGAGAGGCAACUGGCAAACAAAGUAAAUGCAAGAGAUGAGUUUGCGACACCUACUUGGAUGAGUUCUUGACCUGAUCUUCCUCCCCGGCAACGGCGCCAGAAAUUCUUCUGCUGCGGCAACAAAAGUCCUUCCCUCGCGCUUAGGAAUUCUUCUUGUUACUUCUCUGGUUUGCGUCGGUUUUUCCCUUGAAGAGGAAAGGGUGAUGCAGGACAGGAGCAGUAAGUAGUUCCCUUAGUUUGAGAACCAAGGUAUCGAUCCAUAAGGAGGGCCUCGUCAAGUCCAGAGUAACUGCGCAAACACAAACAAGCUUGCACCCAACGCUUCAAAGGGGUUGUCAAUCCCUUCAAGAUUGUUUGCAAAGUGAGAUCUGAAGGCGGAAAGAGCAACGAACUAAAAAGUGUAAGGCUGAAAAUAUUGUGUGGAGUAGACCCUGGGGGCCAUAGUGUUCACUAGAGGCUUCUCUCAUAAUAGCGAAUAUCACGAUGGGUGAACAAAUUACUGUCGAGCAAUUGAUAGAACCGCGCAAAGUCAUGACGAUAUCUAAGGCAAUGAUCAUACAUAUAGGCAUCACGUCUGAGACAAGUAGACCGAUACUUUCUGCAUCUACUACUAUUACUCCACACAUCGACUGCUAUCCAGCAUGCAUCUAGUGUAUUGAGUUCAUGACGAACAGAGUAACGCCUUAAGCAAGAUGACAUGAUGUAGAGGGAUAAUCUCAAACAAAUGCUGAAAACCCCAUCAUUUUACCCUUGAUGGCACCUUCUGUCACUGGGUGAGGUCACCGCACGGUAUGAACCCAAAACCAAGCACUUCUCCCAUUGCAAGAAUCAUAGAUCUAGUUGGCCAGACAAAACCCACAACUCGAAGAGAAUUACAAGGAUAUGAAAUCAUGCAUAAGAGAGAUCAGAACAAACUCAAAUAAGAUUCAUAGAUAAUCUGAUCAUAAAUCCACAAUUCAUCGGAUCUCGACAAACACACCGCAAAAGAAGAUUACAUCGGAUAGAUCUUCAUGAAGAUCAUGGAGAACUUUGUAUUGAAGAUCCAAGAGAGAGAAGAAGUCAUCUAGUUACUAGCUAUGGACCCAUAGGUCUAUGGUGAACUACUCACGCAUCAUCGGAGAGGUCAUGGUGUUGAUGAAGAAGCCCUCCGUGUCCAAUCUCCCCUCCGGCAGGGCACCAGGACGUGCCCCAGAUGGGAUCUUGCGGAGACAGAAGCUUGCGGCGGCAGAAAAGUACUUUCGAUGAUCUCCUGAUUUUUUGGGAUUUUUAGGGAAUUUAUAGGCACAACCCCUAGGUCAGGGGACGCUCAGGGGGGCCACAAGCCUAGAUGGCGCGGCCUCCCCCUGGCCACGGGGUGGGGGCUUGUGGGGCCCCUGACGGCUCCCGUGCCUUGGCUCCCAAGCUCACCGAUCUUCUUCCGUUCUAGAAAAAUAUUUUCGGGGAUUUUCUUCCGUUUGACUCCGUUUCAAAAUAUCCUCUGAAAGGGGUCAAAAACAUGGAAAAACAGGAACUCGCACUUGGCACUGAGUUAAUAAGUUAGUUCCAAAAAAUAUAUAAAAGGCAUGCAAAACAUCCAAAGUUUUACAAGAUAAUAGCAUGAAACCAUCAAAAAUUAUAGAUACGUUGGAGACGUAUCAAUGAUCAAGGGGGUUUGCUUGCCUUGUCGCUCUGCGGCAAAGGGCUGGUCGUCAGGAGGGUAGUCGUACCCGACAGCGGCGUCAGUCUCGGGGUCUACCGAUAAGAAGAGGGGGGAAGAAACAAUAAAUAUAAACACAGAUGCAAUUACUAAGCAUGACAUGUCAAGGUGUAGGGCUAGGCAUGAACUAACGCAGUAUUAUCCGUCAUAGACGGUUCGGGAAAAAUAUCAGAUGAUAUUUCCCGGGUCUCUGGCUACUACCGGUCAGACGAAAAAGGGUGGAAAAGUUCCACGUUUGCUAUACUAGAGACACGAGACAGACGAAUGGACAGCGUAUCCGGGUUCGUCUUGUUCUGCUGAUCAACUUACAUGUUCAAAAUAUUUUCAUUCGACUUACGGUUUAUUUUAUAUUAAUUUUUAAAGUUUUAUUAUUUAUUUAUAGAAAUUAGACAAUUAAAUAUGACAGCAUUGUGAUGCCAUCAUGACAUCAGCAGUCAACAGGGUUUGACUGGUCAACUAUGACCAGUGGGUCCCAUGUGUCAUAGACACAUUUAUUUAUAAGGUUUAAUAAAUAUUUAAUCAGGUUAAUUAGUGGGGUGGGACCCAACUGUCAUACACUGCUUAGGUUAUUAAUUUAUUUUAAUUAACAGAUUUAGCUAAGAGUUUGUUUAAUUAACUUACCCAAUCUUUAAACAAUAUAAUUAACUAAAUACUUAUUUAUUUAUAUAUUAUAUUAAAUCCUAAAUAUCCAAAAGAGUAAUUACUGUUUAAACUAAAUAAUUAAUCCAAUUAAUUUAUUUAUUAAUAUUAAACAUUUAUAAAACUAUUUUUAUUUUUAUUACUUUUUGCAUGUUUUAGGGGCGUGGCCCCGCAUGUCAUUGGGAGCACCACAUACACUAAACACACACACACACACACACACACAUAUAUAUAUACACUAAACACACACAUCCUGUACACAAUUUUAAUUAUACAUACAUAUAUAUACACAUGCAUUGCACAUACAUUCACAUACAUACAUACAUAUUCACAUACAUACAUACAUACAUAUAUGUAUCCUUUUUUUGUUCUUUUACAUAGACAAUACACUAAUCACAGGGGUUAUCCUCGUGUCUAACAGGGAGGUGGCCAGGGUGCACGCGAGCACGGGGCCGGCGGCUCGCCGUAAUGCGGGGAAAACGGGGAGGAGGAGGGUGGCCGGAGCCGCGGUGGCUCACCACCGUGUAGAGGAAGACGCAUCUUGGGGAAGGUCGAGGAGGCCGGUGGGGUGGUGGCGAGGUGGGAACCGACGGGUGGUGCGGUGGAGAGGUACCGGUGGUGAGCAGGGGGCUGGUCGGUGGGGAGGAGAUGGCCGUCCGGGUCAUGGCGGCCAGAGCGGAGGUGGUGCGCGAUGGAGGCAGGGGAGGAGCGGGAGGAGGGCCGGAGGGGGUGGCCGAUGGAGAUGGUGCGCAAGGGCGAAGGAGGAGCCGGAGGAGGGUCGAGCGGUGUGUGUGUGGGUGGGGGGGGGGGGUAGGCCGGAGGAGGGCCAGUCGGUGGGAGGAUCAGCCUCCCCAGCCCCUCCUGGAUCGAGUGGGAGGGAGGGAGCGAGGGGAGGGGGCUCGCUCGUGGGGGCUGGUGGAGGGGUUCAGUGGUGGGUGGGGUGGCUGCGUGGGGGAUUUGGUGGCUCGGAGUGGGAGGAGAGGGAGUUAGGGUUUGAUAUAGGGGUUAAAUACCCGUGGGUGGAGGUGGGCUGGGGUGGUCGGUUGGGCCGGUUGGGCCAGGGGAGAGGUUUUUUUCUUUUAUAUUUUGUUUUAUUUUCUGUUUCAAUUUUAGUUUUAUUGUACUUUAGAAUACCUUCAAAAAUAAUGAUUCCUAAAGGGCAAUUUCCUAUGUAAUAUUUGACACACACCGAACAUUUUUUAUUUUGACACUGAAAAAACUUUUAUCGUUUGACUUUAUUUUAAAUUUGAAUUUGAAUGGGGUUUGGACCAACGCGAGUUUAACAACAGUAAUCACAGUGACGUGGCAUCAUUAGCAUAAGAGUACUGUAGCUAAAUUAUAGAGAUCACUGUAGGAAAAGCUGAGGAUGUCACAACUCUCCCCUACUAACAAGAAUUCUCGUCCGGAGAAUUAAGAGGUAGAAGGAAAGAGCUCGGGGUAUUCAUCACGAAGAUGAUCCUCGCGUUCCCAAGUGGCUUCAUCUUCAGAAUGAUUUGACCACUGCACUUUAAGGAACUUGGUGACUUUGCGACAAGUCUGACGUUCAUCCUUAUCGAGAAUGCGGACCGGAUACUCUUUAUAAGAGAGGUCUUGUUGCAGCUCAAGCAUAUCAUGGUCCACUGCUCGAAUAGGAUCUUUCAAGCAGCGACGGAGCUGAGACACAUGGAAGACAUUGUGUUCCUGAGAAAGGUUCGAUGAUAGUUCCAAUUGAUAAGCUACUUUUCCACGCCUUUCUAGAACAGUGAAAGGACCAAUAUAGCGAGGAGCUAGCUUGCCCUUGAUCCCAAAACGGUGUGCGCCUCUCAUUGGUGUGACACGUAGAUAAGCCUUUUCGUCAGGUUGAUAGACCAUAUCUUGAUGAUGACGGUCAUACUGACUCUUUUGACGAGACUGAGCAGCCUUCAGAUUCUCAUGGAUAAUGCGGACUUGAUCUUCAGCAUGUUGGAUAAUAUCCGGACCGAAGAGUGAUCAUUCCCCAGUUUCUGACCAAUUCAAAGGAGUUCGACACCUUUGUCCAUACAAUACUUCGAAAGGGGCCAUCUUGAGGCUAGCUUGAUAGCUAUUGUUGUAGGAGAACUCGGCAUACGGGAGAGAUUCCUCCCAUUUCUUACCGAAAGAAUUGACACAAGCUCGAAGCAUGUCCUCGAGAAUUUGGUUGACUCGUUCAACUUGUCCCUGGGAUUGAGGAUGAAAUGUGGUGCUGAAGGACAGAUGAGUCCCCAUAGCUUUCUGAAAACUUUCCUAGAAUUUUGAGGUGAACAAGCUGCCACGGUCUGAGCUGAUUACCAAUGGAAUACCGUGAAGUGAAACAAUCCUGGACAUAUAAAUAUCUGCCAGUUGUCUAGCAUUAAUUGUUUCCUUGACGGCCAGAAAAUGUGCAACCUUGGACAGUCGAUCAAUGACGACAAUAAUAGCAUCAUUACCCUUCUCAAUUUUGGGAAACCAGUGACAAACUCCAUUUCGACAUGGUCCCAUUUCCAUUCAAGAAUAGAGAUAGGUUGCAAAGUUCCAGCAGGCUUUUGAUGUUCUGCUUUGACUCGCCGACAAAUAUCAUAUUCUGCCACAUAGCAUGCAAUGUCUUGCUUCAUAUUAGACCACCAGAAUCUUUGACAGAUGUCUUGGUACAUCUUGGUACUACCCGGGUGUAUAGAUAGCGAGGUAUCAUGAGCUUCUUUCAUCAUAGCUCCGGACAUUCGGUGAUUUUCCCUUUUUGUUGGUAUGAAUAAGCGACCCUUAAAGUACAAGACGCCAUCGUCUUGUACUUCUGUCACUGGGUGAGGUCACAGCGAGAAGUACAAGACGAUGUGUGUGUUUAGUGUAUAUAUAUAUAUAUAUAUGUGUGUGUGUGUGUGUGUGUGUGUGUUUAGUGUAUGUGGUGCUCCCAAUGACAUGCGGGGCCACGCCCCUAAAACAUGCAAAAAGUAAUAAAAAUAAAAAUAGUUUUAUAAAUGUUUAAUAUUAAUAAAUAAAUAAAUUGGAUUAAUUAUUUAGUUUAAAGAGUAAUUACUCUUUUGGAUAUUUAGGAUUUAAUAUAAUAUAUAAAUAAAUAAGUAUUUAGUUAAUUAUAUUGUUUAAAGAUUGGGUAAGUUAAUUAAACAAACUCUUAGCUAAAUCUGUUAAUUAAAAUAAAUUAAUAACCUAAGCAGUGUAUGACAGUUGGGUCCCACCCCACUAAUUAACCUGAUUAAAUAUUUAUUAAACCUUAUAAAUAAAUGUGUCUAUGACACAUGGGACCCACUGGUCAUAGUUGACCAGUCAAACCCUGUUGACUGCUGAUGUCAUGAUGGCAUCACAAUGCUGUCAUAUUUAAUUGUCUAAUUUGUAUAAAUAAAUAAUAAAACUUUAAAAAUUAAUAUAAAAUAAACCGUAAGUCGAAUGAAAAUAUUUUGAACAUGUAAGUUGAUCAGCAGAACAAGACGAACCCGGAUACGCUGUCCAUUCGUCUGUCUCGUGUCUCUAGUAUAGCAAACGUGGAACUUUUCCACCCUUUUUCGUCUGACCGGUAGUAGCCAGAGACCCGGGAAAUAUCAUCUGAUAUUUUUCCCGAUCCGUCUAUGACGGAUAAUACUGCGUCAGUUCAUGCCUAGCCCUACACCUUGACAUGUCAUGCUUAGUAAUUGCAUCUGUGUUUAUAUUUAUUGUUUCUUCCCCCUCUUCUUAUCGGUAGACCCCGAGACUGACGCCGCUGUCGGGUACGACUACCCUCCUGACGACCAGCCCUUUGCCGCAGAGCGACAAGGCAAGCAAACCCCCUUGAUCAUUGAUACGUCUCCAACGUAUCUAUAAUUUUUGAUGGUUUCAUGCUAUUAUCUUGUAAAACUUUGGAUGUUUUGCAUGCCUUUUAUAUAUUUUUUGGAACUAACUUAUUAACUCAGUGCCAAGUGCGAGUUCCUGUUUUUCCAUGUUUUUGACCCCUUUCAGAGGAGAUUUUGAAACGGAGUCCAAACGGAAGAAAAUCCCCGAAAAGAUUUUUUCUAGAACGGAAGAAGAUCGGGGAGCUUGGGAGCCAAGGCACGGGAGCCUCAGGGGCCCCACAAACCCCCACACCACGGCCAGGGGGGAGGCCGCGCCAUCUAGGCUUGUGGCCCCCCCUGAGCGUCCCCUGACCUAGGGGUUGUGCCUAUAAAUUCCCUAAAAAUCCCAAAAAAUCAGGAGAUCAUCGAAAGUACUUUUCUGCCGCCGCAAGCUUCUGUCUCCGCAAGAUCCCAUCUGGGGCACGUCCUGGUGCCCUGCCGGAGGGGAGAUUCGGACACGGAGGGCUUCUUCAUCAACACCAUGACCUCUCCGAUGAUGCGUGAGUAGUUCACCAUAGACCUAUGGGUCCAUAGCUAGUAACUAGAUGACUUCUUCUCUCUCUUGGAUCUUCAAUACAAAGUUCUCCAUGAUCUUCAUGAAGAUCUAUCCGAUGUAAUCUUCUUUUGCGGUGUGUUUGUCGAGAUCCGAUGAAUUGUGGAUUUAUGAUCAGAUUAUCUAUGAAUCUUAUUUGAGUUUGUUCUGAUCUCUCUUAUGCAUGAUUUCAUAUCCUUGUAAUUCUCUUCGAGUUGUGGGUUUUGUCUGGCCAACUAGAUCUAUGAUUCUUGCAAUGGGAGAAGUGCUUGGUUUUGGGUUCAUACCGUGCGGUGACCUCACCCAGUGACAGAAGGGACAGAGGUGGCCCAGGGAGCCCACAAGCCAGGGUGGCGCGGGCCCCCCUGGCCGCGCCAUGAGGGCUUGUGGGGUCCCUGUAGGCCCCGUGCCUUGAUUCUCCGGCUUCCCGAUCUUUUUCUGUUUCGGAAAAAUAUUUUUGGCAGUUUCAUUCCGUUUGGACUCCGUUAAAAAUCCUCCUCUGAAAGGGGUCAAAAACCUGGAAAAAAUAGGAACUGGCACUUGGCACUGAGUUAAUAAGUUAGUCCCAAAAAAUAUAUAAAAGGCAUACAAAACAUCCAAAGUUUGACAAGAUAAUUGCAUGAAACCAUCAAAAAUUGUAGAUACGUUGCAGACGUAUCAGUGAACAGAUACUUCAGACUUUGAUGGUCGAUGUAGAUCUCACAACGAUUACCGAGAAGGUAUUGUCGCCAUUCUUUCAGUGAAUGCACAACUGCGGCAAGUUCAAGAUCAUGAACUAGAUAGUUCUCUUCAUGCGCACGCAGCUGACGUGAAGCAUAAGCAAUCACUUUGCAAUCCUGCAUCAGGAUACAACCUAUUCCUUGACGAGAAGCAUCACAGUAUAUGACGAAAUCCCGUUUUGUAUCUGGAGGGGCAAGUACUUGAGCGGAUGUUAGUUUGUCCAAUAGUGCGUGGAAACUUUCCUGACACUUAUCAGUCCACUCAUACUUAACAUCUUUGUGAAGCAAAUCGGUUAAAGGCUUUGCAAUCUUGGAGAAGUUCUCGACGAAUCGACAGUGAUAGCCGACGAGUCCGAGAAAACUUCUGACUUGCUUGACAUUCUUCGAGGGAGUCCAAUCAAGAAUAGCUUGAACCUGUUCGGGGUUGUCUCCAAUACCAUCUUUGGAGAUCACAUGAUCAAGGUACGUCACUUCGUCCAGCCAGAAUUCACAGUUAGAAUACUUCGCAUAGAGUUUAUGCUCCCGAAGCUUAUCCAGCACAGGACGAAGAUGUUCGGCAUGUUCUCCUUUAUUCUUCAAAAAUACCAGAAUAUCAUCCAGAUAUACCACGACGAAUUUGUCGAGGUAGUCCAUGAAUAUAUAAUUCAUCAAUCGAGAGAAGGUUGCCGGGGCAUUGGUUAAGCCGAAGGACAUGACGCUAUACUCAUAUGAUCCAUAUCGAGUAACAAAGGCGGUCUUUGGGAUAUCCUCUUUGCGAACACGGAUCUAGUGGUAUCCCAACCUCAAGUCGAGCUUAGAGAAGACUGAGGAACCAACAAUUGACCAUACAGAUCAUUUAUCCGAGGAAGAGGAUAUUUGUUUUGAAUAGUGGCCUGAUUGAUAGGACGAUAGUCUUGAACCAAACAAUUUGUCCCAUCCUUCUUCUUAACAAAGAGAGAAGGUGCUCCCCAAGCAGAGGAACUCAGACGAAUGAAACCCAGGCGAAGUGAAUUGUCAAUUUCUUGCUUAAGUUCAAGGAGUUCAUGUGGUGGCAUUUUAUAAGGGCGCUUAGCGAUAGGAGUGGUACCAGGUACCAAGUCAAUGACAAACUCGACAGCUCGAGCAUGGGGUAUCCCCGGAAGUUCUUUUGGGAAGACAUCUUGGAAUUCCCGGACAACUAGAAUGUUUUCGAUCCCUUCAAGAGGUGACGCAUUUAAUGUAUUCAAGGCAUAUAGCCGUGCCUCAGCAUCUCAGACGAGAUGAGCGUGAUAGCUUAUUAAUUCAUUUGAAGGGUGUAGGAGGUGGACGGUCUUGGUGGCCCAAACGAUUGGAGCCAUAUGAGCUUUCAACCAGUCCAUUCCCAGUAUGACAUCAAGGUUGGAAGAACUCAAUAACAUGGGAGCAACAAGGUAUUCCAACCCUUCAAUUUCAACGGGGACAUUGGGGCAGACCAUGGAGGGUCGGCAUUGGCCCGCGAGGGUGUUUACCACUAUUGGGAUGUUCAUCUCUUCGUACUUAAUGCCAUGCAUGAAUGCAAAAUUUUCUGACAUGAACGAAUGCGAUGCUUUUGUGUCAAACAAUACAGAAGCAUGUACUGAGUUAAUGAGAAGUGUACCCAUCAUGGUAGCAGGCUGGUCUUGAGCUUGACCCAUAUCAAUGUUGUUGGCCUGACUACGAACAUAAGGAGGCUUGGCAUUGUUGUUGCGGUUCUGGUUGUUGCCACUACCAGUUGAAGGAAGUGCCAGCUGAUUCGGAUUCUGCCUGCAGUCUCUAGCACGGGGACCUGGACGACCACACUUGAAGCACAACAUAUCCUCAAGAAAGGAGGAACUCGAGGUGGUGGACUUGGAAGCCUCGACUGCCUAGGUGGUGGAGGAGGCAGAUGAGGUGCAACAUAGGACGACCUAGGAGCUGGAGAAGGUGCAUGGUACAUGUUGCUGGGAAUCCAGAUCUUCCGCUUCUGUGCAGAUGAGCCCGAAGUUGAGCCCAUGUCACGAUUGUGCUUCCUGCUAUCCUUGUAUUCCUGCAGACCAGUCUCAACCUGAAUGGCCUUGUUUACCAGGGUGGCGAAAUCAGCAUAGUCGUGAACAAGGAGUGCCAGUCUGCAAGCACGGAAUUUCACCAGGGUGGAGGCCCUCACGGAAUUUCUCCUGUCUGCGUGCAUCAGUUGCAAUGUAUUCUUCAGCAUAGCCGAACAAGUGCAGAAACUCCCGCUGAUAAGCAUCCACAGUCUUGUUACCCUGGACAAGGUUGCAGAACUCACGCUUCUUCCGGUCCAUGAUUCCCCGAGGAAUGUAGCGGACACGGAAAGCAGCCUUGAACUUCGUCCAAGUGAUGACAGUUCUGACGGGCUGAGGGCGCCCGUGAGUGUCCCACCAUUGAGCAGCGGGACCCUUCAGGAAGUAGGCGGCAAAGUUGAUGUAGCUCGCCAGGGGCACAUUGGCAGACUCAAGCUCAUAAGCAAUGUCACAGAGCCAGUCAUCAGCAUCAAGAGGCCGAGUUGAGCUGCACACCUUUAGCCCUUGCAUAAACUGGCGGUUUAGUUCAAACUGUUGGAUCAUCCCCGCCAUAUAUUCAGGAGGUGGGGGUGGUGCAUCGUUGGCGGGGCCAUGCGGGCGGCCAGCUGGUUUAACCAUCGUGCUAAAUAUUUAACAGGGGUAGUUUAGUUUAAUGUAAUUGCAAAAGGCAUUGUAGGCAUUCAUGAAGUAAUCAAGCAUGACGAAAGGGAAAUGCAAUAGAUACUUCAUAGUAGUUGAGUUUGACAUACAGACCCAUACAUAAGUUCGAUUACACACCAUUGAUUACAAAUUCGAAAUUUGGCGAUAACCUGGACUCAUUAGACGAUAACCUGGACUCACUAGGCGGCACACAGGCACGCGGUGGAACAGUACCACAACGAGACAUAGCGACAAGGCUACAUCAACGUCGGAGAAAAUGAUCAAAUCUAGGUAGCUGGCGGUGAUAGAAGCUAGGAGCAGGACCCUGCGUCCCGUGGUGACUCAUGUGUGGGUACCUCAUCCAAUCGGGGAGCAGAGGUCCAAGUGCAGGGAUACUACCUCCAACAUCAGUCCACUCAAGACCUGGUGGUAGCUCUGUCCUGCUCGGCUCGAGGAUGUUCACAUGGUGGACCCUCGGGUGGACUGUUGGCUGCAGCUCCGUCAACGCGUCAUAAAGACGGACACGUGUGGCGUACGACUCGAUAAUGAGAGCUCGAAAAGCGCGAUCCAGUGCCUCAGUGUACUGCACCAGAACCUGUGCGUCGUAGCGAUGCGUCAUGUAGGGGGCACAUACAGCGACAUAGGACCAGUCGUUACGCUCCCGAACGCGAGCAGUGUAGGCAGUGAGAUCAGACCCAGUCUCAUCCCCAGCAGGAAGAUACGGGAUGUAUCUGAAAGAAGUCCCCUCCAGGUGAGGGUACACUCCGUGGAGACGGGUGAUAGCGAUAUAGGUCGCAUCCUAGACGACCAUCUCGAUCGACAAUCCAAUACCGCAGAAGGUGUAGCGCUCGCGGGUGGAGGUGCCCAUCUGAUCAAAGCUACGAACCUCAUCCUGGUACUGGUACUGGUUGAACUCUCGGAAGUCCUCGUACACAUUGUACUCGGGGUACCAGCGAUAUCCUAGCCUGGUCAAGAGGUCGACCAAAAUGGCGGGAACCGAGUCGUCUCAAUGGACAGUGUCAGGCGCACUUGCUGCCUUGCGGGAUGCAUCUAAAAAGAAGAUUCAAGGAUGUCAAAUGACAGUGUGUGUAAUAUAUUAUCAGAAGGACAAUAACACAUAAUCCAGCUCUCCGGGUCGAUGUGAUUACGAGAACCAAAUGUUAGAGUUAGUAAAUUCUUUAACCCAAAAGAGAAGAGAAACUAGAACCUAGAGUAUAGAAAAGGAGUAAAAGAUACUAAUACCACUCAAUUGAGAUGUGGGCCCGUAAGCCACAACAUCAAAGUUAGUAAGUUUUCCAAGUACUAGACUCAACUUCGGCCAAGGAGUUGGAAAGGGGGCCACCUACAGGCAGUCAGCUCUGAUACCAAUUUGUGACGCCCUCGAAUUUGAUCAUUCACUAAGCAUACACGCAAAUGCGUAUGACCAAGCUCAAGGACUCACGGGAAGAUAUCACAACACAACUCUAGACACAAAUAAAACAUGCAAGCUUCAUAUUACAAGUGGGGGUCCUCGAGGGCUAGAAUACAGAAGCUCGAUAAUCAUAAUAGUAAGUGGAAGCAACAAAUAUCUGAGGACAAACAUUGAACAUAAGGUGCCUUAGAGAAGGCUAGCACAAAAGAUACAACGAUCGAAUGAGGCGAGGCCUCCUGCGUGGGAGCCUCCUAACUACUCCUGGUCUUCAGCGGCCUCGACAUAGUAGUAGGCACCAUCGGGGUAGCAGUCAUUGUGAGCGGGAUACUCCAUCUCCUGGGCUCCAUCAUCUGGCCGCAGCAACGGAUCACGGGGAAAAGUGGGAGCAAAGCAACGGUGAGUACUCAUCCAAAGUACUCGCAAGACUGACAUCAAAACUAUGCUAAGUAUGCAUCAGUAUCAAAGGAAGGGGUUUAUAUGUGGACUGACCACAACAAUGCGAUAAAGAGAGGGAAGGCCUAGUCCUAUCGAAGACUAGCAUCUUGAGGGGUCUUGCAGCAAUAGACGAGAGUAGAACAGGGGUAACACAACUAAUAGUCAUAUUGUUGCAUCAAUAUUAAUACGAGGUCACACCCAGAGAUUCUUCCUCGACUCCUUGCGAGGAAGUAAUCCCGAAGCAAACAUUCUAGUUAAGUAUCAGUUAUAGUUGUAUAAGGUCGGGGCACAACUCCAAGUCGUCCUGCAACCGUGGACAUGGCUAUUCGAAUAGGUAAGUUCUUCCCUGGAGUGGUGCACACCAUAUUCCCCGUCACGCUUGAUAAACUUUGGCCGGACACACUUUCCUGGGUCAUGCCCAACAUCGGAACAUUGACACGUCGCAACCCCACUGAGACUCAACAGAGGGGCCAACCCGCCGGUCUAAAUCCUAAGCACGUAGGGGUCAUGGGCCCAUCACCCUUUGCACUCCUGCAGGAUUCGAGGGCGCCGAUGUCAGUCCUAGCACCCCUUAUUACAAGCGCGAUGUCUAUCCGGACCACUCGGGCGCGCGCUGCUUCAUUGCUGACGUCUGAAGAGAUUCGGCUGAUACCAUGACGUUGAGUACCCAUAACUCCUCCCACGUAGAUGGUUAAGGCGAAUAAGGUCUCCGACCAACCCAGACCAAAUACCCAAAUCCAUUAAGAUUUUAAUUAACUCGUCGGCACAUCCACGCGGGAAUCCACCCGCCAAACAUUAUCCAUCAAUGUUCCCAAUAACACGGUCAAGUAACUGUGUGGUUGUAACAUCAAGGGGGUCCGAGGUAUCACCCUCGUUGGAUUCCGAACGAUGUAACCGUCAUGGUGGACUUCCAUUUAGCUUCCACAAGGAUUUCGGGCAUUACGAGUAAAGUACCGGGAGUGACGAAUGGGUUCCGGAGUUCCACCGGGAGGGCCACCCACCCGGGAGGGGACCAAAAAGGCCCAAGGGUGGUGCACCAGCCCCUGGUGGGCUGGUGGCCAGCCCAAGAGGGCCUAUUCGGCCGAAGGGAACAAGGAAAGAGAGGUGGGGCCAAACCAAAUUGGGGAAGGGGACUCCUCCUGCAAACCGUAUUGGAGGAGGACUCCUCUCCUCCUUGCGCCAGCCAAACCCUAGGGCAAGUCCCUAGGGCGCUACCCCUCCCCUCCCUCCUAUAUAUAGUGGAGGGUAGAGAGGCUUUUUGCACCUCAAGCCACGACGCAGCCCUCUCUCCCUCCACCACCUCGUGACACCCCGUAGCUACUUCGAUACGGUAUGACGAAGCCCUGACGGAGUAGCUACACCAUCAUCACCGCCACGCCGUCAUGUUGUCGGAGAAUUCAGCUACCUCUUCGUCUCUCUUGCUGGAUCAAGAAGGCGGAGAUUGUCAUCAAGCUGCACGUGUGCUGAACGCGGAGGUGCCGUCCGUUCGGCGCUAGAUCAGGACGGAGUUCGUGGGACGGAUUGCAAAGACGUUCAACUACAUCAACCACAUUUCUUAACGCUUCCCGCUUAGCGAUCUACAAGGGUAUGUGGAUCCGAUCUCCCCUCUCGUAGAUGAUCAUCACCAUGGAUAGGUCUUGCGUGUGUGUCGGAAGUUUUUUUGUUUCCCAUGCAAUGUUCCCCAACAUCGAACACAACCAGCAUUAUCAACAGCAGGGGGUAAUGCGGCGACCCCUCCUGCAAAUCAGCUUCCCGAGGAUCACGGUGAUGUUUCGGUUACCAACUCUGAAGUUGAGAGUGUAAUGAACCACCAUCGUCGGAAAGAAUCACUGCGUCAUCCUGAAUUUUUCGAACAUGAGUUUAAUGCCUCGAGCUUGGUGGAUGUGCACCUCGAAGCUGCCCGAGCACGACUUGAGGGAGUUUCCAACCGUAUGUCAACAAGUCUUAUGGUAUGUAUUUAGAUUUUCGCAAUUGUGUACACAUCUCAAACCACUAUCCCCCGAUCCUCGAUUGGACAAUAUGUCCGAACUAAGGGUCUAAACACACCUUUUGACAUGUUUUUAGGCUGCUCGGGGAAAGAAUAAGGAGUUGUCCUAGGAAAUUGGGAUGUACCUAACACAACUCGAGGGUGCGAAGGCAGAACUAGAGCAAGUAAAUAUUUUCACAAGAGAAGCACAUGGUAAGAAAUUUAUUUUCUAAUCAUGUCCAGAGUCGCCAUGUUACCUUUCUUAAACGAAAGUGUACUUUGUAGCAGCUGAUUCUAUAGGUCAAUUGCAAAGAGAUCUGGCAGUGGCGAGAGAAUCACAAUGAUACGCCGAAUGCCAGAAUGAGGCCAGCAAUCACUCAUUAUUAUGAAGUAUUGAUGAAAACAAAAAACUUAGGGCGGAAAAAAGAACAAAUCAGUCAAAUUGAGAGUUUAAAGACUGAGCUCGCGCACGCUACCGAAGAGAACAAGAGAUUAAAGGGUGGACUAUUUGGUAAGUAAUAUGUUGAACUGGUAAAUAUACGAAUAUGUGGUCUGAAACUAAGAAAUAUUCCACUUCUCCUUAUAUCACUCCUGACUAGGAGUCCCGAAGAAGAAGUCAGUUCAUUUAGUGGUGACCUUCUAAAGGAAUUAUCCAUAGUUUAUGAAUGAAGGCGAAAGGCAAUGAAGAUCAUGCUGAAAGAAUUAUGGCCGGCCGUGAAGCCUCCGAAAGGGAUGGGCCGAACCGGCAGAGCACUUCGAAGGGGCUCGACGCCGAUUUGAAUUGUGGAAAACAUGAAAGCACAAUUGCUCCCUAAGGUGGUUUUGGUAAUUAAUCACAACAUAUGUAUCAUUGAACUAAUAAUCUUAUUCAAGUAUAUUCCAUAAAAUUUCAAAGAUGCAUUGGCUAAAGGAUUGUGAGGAGAAACCCCUUGUUGCAAGGAAAGGAAUAGGAUUGGCUCAAGCUUCGAGGAAGAAGACUCUCCAUUUUACAUUUGUGAGAAAUCACUUUGAUUCCAUAGUAAAACCAAUAAUAUUAAAAGGGGGUGAGGUAUUAUGAUGAAAUGGUUGCUCAAGUGCUUAGAGAUAGCCACCAAAAAUAUUCACUCAUUCACCCACAAAUAUCUAUGUCCCCAGCCAUAACAGCAAAAGCGGCGCCACAACCUUUUCCCACUCAACCCAACCGAUUUUCCAGUGAUAGAUCCUUUUCCAAACCAUAAUCUCUCGGUACCACCAAGUUUCAUAUCGGUGCCACCCAGAACAAUGAUCAACUUUCUAGUGUCUCAAUUCCAAGAAUCAGGAAUUCUAAGAUUGGAAUCGGUCUCAGCGAGAUUUGGAAACUGCUCUAGGUCAUCGUAUCGGUACCACCAAGAUUCAUAUAUCGAUCUUACUGAGAAUUCNNNNNNNNNNNNNNNNNNNNNNNNNNNNNNNNNNNNNNNNNNNNNNNNNNNNNNNNNNNNNNNNNNNNNNNNNNNNNNNNNNNNNNNNNNNNNNNNNNNNAAUUCAAAAAAAAUACAAAAAAAUACAAAACUUGUGCAAUCAUCAUUCUAUGUGACUAACUCCAUAGGAAAAAUAAGAAAUCUGGACUAUGGAGUUUUUCAUGAAAAAAACUUCACAAACUUGGCUAUCACGAACGAGGUUGUAGGGUUUUCAAAGGUUAGGGUUGAGCAUAAGUAAUUCAAAAAAAAUCAAAAAAAUAGAAAACUGGUGCCAAUCAAUUUGAGUUGUUAGUAUAUGACAAAGUAAGAACAUGUGUACUGGUUUUCCAAUAUUUUAUUUUUUUAAUUUUUGAUGCUCAUUUCAAACUUGGUCAAACCUAAGUUUGACAAACAUUUAAACAAGUUUCAAAUAUGAAAAUGACAAACCAAGCCUGGAUCCUUCUUAGUCACUCCAAAAUGAAGCUUUUGUGAUGUUUUUGAAAUUUGAAGUUCAACACCCAAAACCACUUGUCUUCACACAUGAGUUUCAAAUUAGCUCCAAAGGGGGUAAAUACCCAUUUCUAAACAAGUUUUUUGUCCACCAUGUUUAAAACAGCCAAAUCAAUUUGAGUUGUUAGUAUAUGACAAAGUAAGAAUAUAUGCACUGGUUUUCCAAUAUUUUUAUUUUUCUUUUAUUUUUUAUGCUCAUUUCAAACUUGGUCAAACCAAAGUUUGACAAACAUUUAAACAAGUUUCAAACAUGAAAAUGACAAACCAAGCCUCGAUCCUUCUUAGUCACUCCAAAAUGAAGCUUUUGUGAUGUUUUUGAAAGUUUCAAGUUCAACACCCAAAACCACUUGUCUUCACACAUGAGUUUCAAAUUAGCUCCAAGGGGGUAAAUACCCCAUUUCUAAACAAGUUUUUUUGUCCACCAUGUCUAAAACAGCAAAAUCAAUUUGAGUUGUUAGUAUAUGACAAAGUAAGAAUAUGUGCACUAGUUUUCCAAUAUUUUUAUNNNNNNNNNNNNNNNNNNNNNNNNNNNNNNNNNNNNNNNNNNNNNNNNNNNNNNNNNNNNNNNNNNNNNNNNNNNNNNNNNNNNNNNNNNNNNNNNNNNNCUUUAGUUCCAGCUUAGGGACAAUUGUUUUUGUUUACUGCAGAUUGCUGGGCAGAGCCCCAAGAUCGGCCGAGCUGCCAGGAGAUCCUCACUCGCUUGCUCGACUGCGAGUACGCUGAGAGCUGAGAGCCUGAAACGAACCUGGUGAAUGCUUCACUCCCAACCUCCCAGUGCCUUCAGAGGUGGAACCGUUUCUCUGUAUAAAACUUGUAAAAAUCUAGCCCGUUGAUCCUGCAGACCGGCAAGGAUAUACAUAUAUUAAACUCUUGUAUUUCGGCUGUAUAUCGGCGACCCUUUCUUUCAAAUUUGUAAAGGAAAAAUUCUCUCCUUUUAAUAGAAGAAUGUUGCAGGGCUAAGGCUAACUCCAACGCAGACGAUCCAUUUUGUCCGUCCGUUUGAGUCCGCAUGAACAAAAACGCGGUCAAUGCGUCGCUAACGCAAAUGGAUGGGUGU
rnacentral:lncRNA from 1 species